rnacentral:lncRNA from 1 species
CAGCAUUUACUGUAGUCUAUAGAUCUUAUAGGUUAACUAAUUCAUUUGACAUAUUAUUUUUAUAUUCACUAUUAUCUUAUUAUUAAAAGAGAAACAAUCUUUAAAACUAGGAUUUUAUUUAUACUCAUGUCAUUUGCUCACGUUUAGUUUCCUCAUGUUUCCCCAACCUUCAAUCAUAACUACUCUUUCUACACUAAGGAGGUGUUAAUGGGGGUAAGAUUUAUAUAUAAUUUGUUGAUUUUAAAAGCUAAGAGAUUUGUUGAAUUUGGAAAUAGUUGGAGAAAAAUUUGAGUGAUCCACUGAGAAUAGUAUUGGAGUUAACGAAUAGUGACCAACGUGAAGAGGUUACUCCUUUUUUUUUUUUUUUUUUUAAUUGGGUAUAUAUGCAUGAGGCUGAGUAAUUUUUGUGGUCUAUGAAUUUGUUGCUGUAGAUUAUCCAAAGAAGCUAAGAAGGAUGAAGCAGUUAGACAUGCUCUCUCAGUUCGUGCAGCUGUUACAUAAGGAAAUUAUGUUCCGUUCUUCAGACUUUACAAGACUGCGCCAAACAUGAACAAUUACCUUAUGGUUGACAGGUGAGGUGAGAGACAUAUUACACAUGAAACUUGUUUUGAUAUGUUUGAGCAAUGGAAUAGGAUAAAUGAAGAAAUAAAAAGGAUGGAACGAAAACGUUUUCAUUUUUUAUUUGCAGAUCUCUAUGUGGAGAAGAUGAGUUACAAAGCAGUGAGUCUUAUAUCUCGGAGUUGUGUCCUACAAUCCCAAUUUCAUACUUAGCCCAAGUGUUGGGCUUUACUGGUGCUUCAGGCCAAAGUACUGGUGAAAAGGAAAGCGAUGGUAUGGAAGUGGGUUCUGAAUGGCUAAAAGCCCUUGGUGCUAGCCUCAUAUCUGACAGUAACGGAGAUAUGCUUCUUGAUACCAAGGUAAGUCUUCUUUUGAACUUGCCAUUAAGUUUUUCAUGAGACAAUGGGUUCAUUUUGAUUCAAAGCCAUAUAAACGUUGAGUAUCUUCAUACCCGAACCUGAAGUGCAGUUGCUCAUGGAGAACGAUAUCUAGAUGUCAAUGAUUUUUUUUACUCGUACAUGAUGAAGACAUUAAUGUUUGUGUGCACUCAGGUGGGGAAAAAGGAAUGCAAUAGUGCCAAAAUGAAGUUCAUAACAUGUUGUGAUCUACAGGAGACCAACGUAGACAAGUGAAGCCUCUCUCGCAUCAAUCGUCGUCUUUUGCCACACAUAGUCUCAUGUAUGACACUUUAAGUUUAUAAUUACUUGAUAGAUGUACUAAACGUUCGAAAGAAGAGAACCAAAAUGUGUUUGUAAUUCGUUUUUUUUUUUUUUGUGAAUUUGAAGAUCUUUAUUAUUUCUGAAGAAAUUAAUCCACGAAAUGUAAAUGACAGAACUUUCUACUAUCUUAGUCAUAGCUUGAAAUAGUAUCAGUGAGUGGUCAAGGAUCUAAUGCAUGUAGACUGAUGUUUCAUAUUGGUCAUUUACAAGUCGGUCCAAUAAAAAUCAAAACUUAAAUCUGUAAUAAAUGGCUACAAGACUAGCUAACUACUUCACUUGACCAACUUAAUGAAAAACUUUUAACAAAAUUCCGCAAAAGUCUUCAACUAAAAAAAGUCAUCUGAUCAUAGAAAACUAAAAUGGUAUUUUUAUUGACAUUUACUAUAGUAUUGAUUUUUUUUUUGUGCACCAAUUUUUCAUUAGAAAUUUAAAAGGUCUCAGGCUCAAAGUUCAGCCCGUGGAGGGUCCAUAACAAGAGAGUUUCUGAGAGUGGUUUUUGCCACUAUAGUAUUGAUUUAAAGUGCACUUUUAUAUGUAAAAUCACCAAAAUAUUCCCACCUACUAAAAUUCUCUGGUCCAAGGCGGUGAUAGUGGAUUAACAUAUGUAAGCAUUAAACAUUAUAUUAAGGAAAUGAUUUUACAAUUCCACUCAUAUAUUGACUUUUUUGUCAUUAACUUUUGUUGACUCUUGAUUAUUAAUGCCCACUCUUUUCGUGCCGCCACGAUCAAAGGACGUGAAGAAGAUUCAUGCCCAUUUUAUUUUGGUUAUCAACAAAACUAAGAGCGUAGCCGGCUUUAUAUUAAUGGAACUAGAGCCAUGGAACAUUGUCUUUUCUAUUUAAGUUACUAAUAACUAGUAGUUUUUUUGGGUGUUACAACGAGUCAACGACUAAUUUACAAAGGUUCCAAAGGACGUGAAGAAACCUUUUCGCAGAAAAUUCAUAUGUUUUUUUAGAAUUUCAAAUGUCAUCUCUUUUUUAAGCCACAAAAUAAAAUUUAUCCGCAAAUCUCGCAUGGAUCCAUAUUUGUCUUAAUCUCAUUUUUGUCGUAUUCUAGAUAGAAUAGCACACGACAAGAGUCGAGAGUAUUUGUCAGAUCUUUGUUGUUUUCGUCAGACCCUCAAUGCCUAAUAGAUGAUUGAUCUAUCUUUCCUUCCAACAAGGGCAACACACUUAUCAUGGGCCAUUGGUCACCUACUCACUCUCCUCUCUGUACUGAGGAUCUAAUUGUAGCACCUCCCAUCAAUUACGGUUAUGGUUAGUGGACUUUUCACGUCUGUUCCCUUGGUCUCUAGGUUCCACUUCGUAUGAUGGUCAGUGCAUUAAUUUUUAGAUAUUUGAACAAUUUUGUUUACUCAGUUUGUAAUUUAUUUUUUAUUUUUUUGCUAAGGUUACACGAUAUCUGACAUCAUUAGUUAUAAUUUUUUCAUUACUCCAGUUUAAACAUGUUUAAUUUAAAGUCAUUUUUAAAUAGGUGAAAGAAAAAGUAAAUAUAUUUCGGUAAUAUAAAUAACUAUUUUUUUAAUCUUUCUACAUGCACCACUACAUACUACAAAACGAGAUAUUACCUGAAUAUCCACAUAUAUUUCUAUAACUUUGUGUUCCACAUAUAUGAACAUGUCUAUUGGCCUUAGCUAGUAGUGAAUUUACUACAUCUGUAGCGAUAAACCAAAAGCUAUCAUGCCACCACACGCAUGCAACAAAAAUGAAAAGUAUUAAUGCAAAUAAAUAUAUAGAAAAGAAUAGCAAUAAUAUGUUUAGGAUUUGCAGUGCAUGUAUACAAACAAUGCAUAAACAAAUAGUGUGUUCUCUCCUUCUCCUCCUGUUCAAACAACACUCUAUAGUAACUUAUAUACUCUUCUUCUUCAGAUCAAUCUCUUUCUCUCGUUUCUUCUCCCACCACCAUUCGCGCGAAAACCUUACUCAUUGAGACCCCUUCUAUAUCUCCCAUUCCAUUCACACUAAACUGCACCGUUGACCCCACAACACUAGCCUCUGGACCAUCAUCCACCAUUGCUUCUUUCUCAUCUUUCGUUUGAACCUGAAGCAUGAACUCUAGGUUCCACAACAAGUCUCCCAUUGUUGGUCUCUCAACUCCAUUUUGAGCCAAACACUUCUCUGUCAACUCACAGUACUUCUUCACCUCCUCAAGCUUCACAUUCCCAUCAAGAAAAGGGUCUAUGAUCUCUUCCAUCUUCCCUUUCUUCACCAACUUCAUCGCCCAUUCGAUCAAAUUCACUUUCUCUCUCGGAAGAGAUGGAUCAAUGACCGGUCUCCCGCAUAGUACUUCAAGCAUUACCACACCGAAAGAGUAAACAUCUGACUUCUCAGUCAACUGCUGUCUUGUCAAGUACUCUGGAUCAAGAUAACCAAAGCUUCCUUUAACCGCGGUACUCACAUGAGUCUGGUCCAGAUCAGGACCAGUCUUAGACAAUCCAAAAUCCGCAACUUUGGCCAUGAAAUUAUCAUCUAAUAAAAUAUUAGCCGACUUCACAUCGCGGUGUAUGACCGCUCUUGUUGAGCCUGUGUGGAGAUAGUGAAGCCCUCUAGCUGCACCAACACAUAUCUCAAGCCUUUGUCUCCAACUCAACCUUUGAUUCUCUGAGUCAUACAAGUGAUCCUUAAGUGUCCCCUUCUCCAUAUACUCAUACACAAUGAUCAUCUCACUGUUCUCAUCACAGUACCCAAUCAAAGAAACCAAGUGUCUGUGUCUGAACUGAGACAGCAUCUCAAUCUCUGUCUUGAACUCAGCUAGACCUUGGCGAGAUUUUGGAGCAGCGCGCUUCACGGCUAUCUCGGUCUUGUCUCUCAAGACACCUUUGUAGACUUUACCAAACCCACCAACUCCAAUCACUAAACUUUCGUUAAAGUCAUCAGUUGCUUCUUUGAUUAAAGCCAAAGGGUAUCGAUAACCGAUCUUCGAGCUGGAAAAUAUCAAGCUUUCACCUGUUUCGUUCUGCUGCUUAAUCUCCUCAUCUCCAGUCUGUAUUUGUCUUCUUCUCCUUAUGCACAAAGAAAGUAUAACCACACCAAACACUAAAGCAACACACAGAGCUGCAGCUACUCCACCUAUCAAUCCAAUACUCGGUUUCGAACUCUUUUUACCCUUCGGAGAAACAGCAUCAGAAGCAUCAACACUCUUCUUAUCAUUGCUAAGCUUCAUAAUCUCAAACCCGUUAAUGAAAGACACAGGGUAAAAAGACACGUCCAUAACUCCACCAAUAGAAAGACUCAACUCUCCUUCCAAACUCAUCGCCUUCAGCAUCACCGCGUCGACAAAAGAAGGAGCUCCAAAGGUUCCAUUCGCGACUUCAGACAUAUCAACAGACUCAACUCUCUCCGAGUUAACGUAAAUGUCGAAGCUUAUCUGACGAAGAUUCCCGAAAUGAUCCACUAUGAUGUUACAGAAGUGGAACCUGAGAAAGUAAUCGAAACCAGGGUCGACUCUGAACGUCCACGUUAAGUUGGCGUUUGUGUUUGGAUUGUCCUCGGAGUUCAACCUCGUGGCGGUUCCGUAGACGUACACUGGCGCAAUGUCCUCUGUUAUGUUGUUGCCACCAGCGCUGAAGUUAACAGCUUUGAGGUUUACCACAGGGAGACCAAAGUGAGCUACUCCCAUGUAGGUAGAGUCAGCAUCCCAUUGCCUCCAUAGCUUGUCUUGACCACGAGAGACGCUCAAGUUCCCCAUGUUUAUCCGAGAGACGGUCUCCAUGGCGUGAGUGCUGAGUUUGCGACUCUUUGUCGUCGUACUAAUGAGUCCUGCUUCCUCGGGGAGGAGAUUCUCUGGAAGCUUGAAGACUUCCAAGGCGUUGACGAAGGCGAAGGAGCCUGUUUCGGGACGGAAGUGGAGAGAGAGAGUGCUGGUGGAGAUUUUUAAAGUGUAUUCUUUCACAACAGAGGUCGUUGAAGGUUUGUUGUGUCGGAACAGAGUAAAGUUCUGAGAGGAAACAGAGAAUCUAGCUGAGGUUAGAUCUCGGGGGGAAGAUGAGGCGAAGGGUUGGAAGUAGAGACGAAUCAAGAACCAUCCGUGUUGGUUGAUCGUGAAUCGGUAAGUUGAUUCGUUGGAGAAGACUCUCGCCGUCUGAAACAGAGUCGACUCUGUUCCUGGAGGAAGGGUGUUGGAUUCGGUGGUUGUGACGGAGACUCCUCCCGAGGAAACGUUGAUUUCCCGACCGAGGUUGCUGUCGGAUACGAAGGUUCGGUUGUUGACUGUUGCAUUCUCCGGCGAUCCACAGUUGAUGAAGAAAGUGUCGGAAGAAGCAGAGGAGACCCGUGAAAAACAGAGGAUUGUUAGAACUAAUAAAGUUGAGAGCUUUAGGCUUAUCAUAGCCAACGAUGAACAGAGGAGAGCACAGUUGAAUCUUGGAAGAGAGUUUAAGAACAGAGAGGCAAAUGGGUAAUCACGAAAUCUUUAGGACACACAGAUUAUGUCGGAGAAGAUAAAAGUAAAGGUGGAAAGAAAGGUUACAUGAACAAAAACAUUUACAUCAGCUCAAUAACUAACGCUUUUACACUUGUUGGAGAGAAGAAAAAGUCUAGAAAGUUGUUAUUUUAGAGUCUUGAAAAGUGGUUUAUAAAUCAAGAAGACGAGAAAAAGAGAGAGAGAGAGAGAGAUGAUACACAAGUUGAUUAACAAAUCUGUUGACAAAAGCUGUAAUAACAAAUGUAAAAUCAACAAGAAGAAGGGGGAGAGGCACGAGAAAGUUUUUGUAUUUUUAUGUAUAUUUCGUUUUCAACGUUUGGGUUUUGACAAGCUCAUCAAGCUGGAAAUUCAAUAAGAUGUUAAGAAUAAUAGUAAUAUAAUAGAAAUGAGGAUAAGAAAGCCAAAAAGAGGAGGAAGAAGAUGAGAUUGGAGAGGCAUAAUAAAUGAUAAAUCAAAGAUAAUUAUUUCCCACCGGCUUCAAACGUGCCGUUAGGUUUGAGUUGUUCAAGACAACGACAGUAUAAUUGUCCUUUUUGAUAGUAUUUGAAUCAAUCAGUAUUUAUUCAUGUAUGUAUCAGAGAAAAUAUUGAUUUUUAUUAUUAAAAUAUUUUUAUUUAACAAAUAGAUUAAAAUUUUAAAACAUUUAUAGUAAUGAAUAUAAAUACUUCAUCUGUUUCAAAAUAACAUUUAAAAUAUUUGAAAACAUAUUAACAAAGUUAUUAAAAAUUUCUACUUUACCUAUAAUUAGUAUAUUAUUUUAUGUGAUUUUUAGUUAAUGAGCUAAGAAGAGAGAUAAAAGUUAUAAUUUUUAUUUAACAAAUAUAUUAAAAAUGUAAAACAUUUAUAUUAAAAUAAUAUAAAUCAAAGUAAACAUUUUAUAUAUUUUUUGUGAGUUUAACAGUUUUACUUGUAUUAUAUUGAAAAUUAGUUUUCUUACUAUAAAUCACAUUAUAUGUAAUUCCAUUCCAAACUUUAAAUUUGUUAGUGUAAAACAUUAAUAAACCAUUAAAUUAAAAGACUUCCACAAAAUGAGAUUGGUUCGAAGAAUGAAAUGAACAACAUAAUGUGAACAAAAGUGUCAUAUAAAUAGAAACAUUCCUAAUUACAUUGUUUCUAAAGAAUGAAAUGAAAUCUCUUUGUGAUGUCAAAAAAAAAAAGAACUCUCUGGGUGUUAUACAAACGACAACGUCUUAUUAUGUAAACAAUACUUUUUCGAAAAAACAUAACAUCAAAAAAAUAUAACUAAAGCAGUUUUAAUUUUUUUGGACAUGUUUAAAUUUUUUUGGUCAAAAAAAAAUAUUAAAAAUAGGAAGAACAUGUUUAAUUAAUUACAUAAUUUAUUUUGAUCAUUAUCUAGCUGUUUUUUGUUAUUACAUGUAAUGUAUAUUGCUUUUGAUAUACAUGCACCACACAAUAUCAUAUAUGAUGAUAAUAUAUAUAGUAGCCGAUCCACGCCUCCACAAACAAAAGUUCAUUUGGGUAUCACUAAAUAGUAUUGUUUAAUGUCGUUGAUAUAUAUGUUUUCUAUGCAACAUAUCGUAUAUUUUUAAUUAAGAGAAUAUUUGGACUAUGUCUUGAGGUGUUCCGUGUAUAAACAUUCUACGUUUAAACUUUUAUUACCAACUAUAAUUAGGAGACUAUCGUCUAUCAAGUUUUAGGAUUGCAUAAACUCGUGAUUAAUUUAUUCCUUCUUCCGACUAGUGUCAUUAUUUAUUCAUCAAAUCAGAAAAUAUCACAUGGUUGGUUUGUGAUCUAAGGAAUUUCUGUUGAGAAAUUUACUCAAAAAUAAUAUACACCAAUUGUUAAAAACGAAUUCUAAAAAAAGAACAAGCAGAGACAUUGGGAUCAUGUUCUUCUAUGCAUUAAGAGCAUUUGGGAUGAGUGAAGAUCUUGUGCUUCUGCAGUUCUGCUUGAUAGGCAAGUGAACAUAGACCUCGUGAACUUCCUGCUGACAAACAUCUCUCUUGUCUCGAUCAAUGGCCUGACAAAACAAACAGAGAUUGUGACUAUCACAUUGUCAAGAACAUGUACAAAGAAACCCAAAAUCAGAAUCAAUACGAGCCUGCUAGAAAGAUUUUUUUUUGAUCAAACAACCUGCUAGCAAGAUACAUAACAUCACAAUUCAACGGGAAGGAAUAAACUUCAUGCUCUUACUCAUUGAGAAAAUGAUUGAGGGUACAAUCUAUUGCAAAGACUACCUACUGUAACAGGGAAAUAAUGAAAAUUGGUCCCUUUUUCAAUAAAACCUAAGAUAUAAUAUACAUGAGCAAUCAUAUAAGAUGAUGGCAGCUGGAACUUGUUGCUUGUUUCACAGACUAUCCUUUAAGCUGAUUUUGAUGUUCUGCACUUUGAUGGACACCUGUAACUUUUGAUCUUCCAUUUCUUUCAAGACCGAAAGUAGGUUAGUCCUGUAGGCUUCACAUCUCCUGUUUGCUAAUUCCAGCUCGUUUCUGAGCUCAAUAAUCUUCUUGUCCAUUUCAUCCUGCAAAACCAGAACCAAUAUGGUCAUCCAUUACAAAACACUGACUGUGCAGGACAAAACCAGAACAAAAGAUGCGUUACCUCGGGCUCAUCUUGCUGAGAGUCCUCAUUACGGAGUAUCUGCUCUCCACCACUUGCAGAGUUCCCUUUAACAUGCCCGUUAGCCAUAGUUCUCCUAACUUCGUUUUUCAUUUCCAAGGACACAGUCUUGGCAGCUUCUUGCAGAGCAACUAGAGCGACGUCACAAGUAUACAGAGAUUUCCCCGCUUCUUGCACAAAACUAAAAGCUUUAUGGCGUAAGGUGUUGUACCGGACAGUAUGAGACUCCAAGUAAUUAUCAUACGCAUGCAAACCAUAGUCAUCGAAUAUAACACUGCUCUUGGCAUUUCUCGUCCAUCUUUUCAGGAUAUAGUAAGGCGGAAGCGUAAGGAGAUUGGUGACACGGAAGACCGCCAAUAUAUGUCUACACACAAUCCCAGAGAACUCAAACAUCUGGCAACUGCAGUUCGCUCUCAUCUCCAAAAUGUUGAACUUAACGCAAUGAGCCUUGUGAGUCUCUCCGUACUUCGCAACCUGGUAGGUACCGAGAUCCCCAUCGUCAUCAGCUUUGGACGCCAUGAAAGUCAAAGUCCCCACAAGCUCCUCCUGAAACCUCGUGAACAGCUUCCUCGUGUAAAGCUCAGACGCCUGCUUCUCCAUCGGAGACGGAGUCUUCAGAACGGGAGGCGAGUUCAUCGUGUCGUAAUCCGCUUUAACUUCUUUCUCGAGACGACUCUCCAAAGCUUUCUCGUACAGCUUAAAGAACUGGCUCAGAUUAGUCGAAGCGUUGAUGUAACCAUCAAAAUACGAGUUGAUACUGUCACUACGCUGAGUGGAAGACAUCUCCGCGAAAAAUGUAUCACGGAGAUAGACAGGAACCCACUGGCGUCGAUCAGAGUACAACGCUUGUAGCCAGUCAUGAUCCCUCAGCUCAUACUUAUCAAGAAGCGAAAACCAGCAGGACUCAAAAUCCUCAACAGAGUCGGUCACAUUCACACUCUUGUGUAAAUCAGACUCAAACGAAGGAUGCCUGAGAAACACAUGAGACAACUUCUCCUGACAUUUCUUAAAAAUAUGCCACUUGCAGAACCUGUGACGAGCCUCAGGAAAAACCUGCAUCACAGCAGCACGUAUAACCGCGUCGUGAUCAGUAGUAAUCGAAACAGGAGAGCGUCCCGACAUCGCUGAUAACCAAGUCUUGAAAAGCCACACGAAAGAAGCCUCAUUCUCAUUAACAAUAAACGCGCAUCCAAACAGAAUCGGCUGCCCAUGAUGGUUCACACCAGUGAAAGGAGCAAAAGGCAAACGAUACCUAUUAGACCUGUAAGUCGUAUCAAACGUCACCGUAUCACCAAAGUAAGUAAAAUCAGUUAUAGCUUUGGGAUCAGCCCAAAACACGUUACCAACAGACUCAUGAUGAUGAUGAUCAUCCUCGACGGAGUAAAAGAAGGAGGGAUUAUCAGCAUUCAUCUGCCUCAAGUAAUCAAGAAGAAGCUGAAUCUCUCCCUGUAUACUCUUCUGCCUAUUGUUCCUCAUGUAAUUCCUACAAUCCACCUCGGUAAACCCAACUCUGCUAAUCCCACCGUACUCUUUAAUCAGAGCGGACAUUAUCCUCCUGGGCCCCAUCCCAGCGGCCUGCAACGUGUCAAUCAAAGUCUUGGCGGGGCCCGAGAUCUGCCUGUGGGACCUCAAGCAGUGGACCUGAUCUGGAGGAACCAGCUCGUGAUUGUGCUCUUUAACGAACCCAGAUACGGCCCAUUUACCGGAGGAGUCGUGCAUCUUAACGGAUAAGGAGGCUUUGCAACCGACACGUGUGAUGGUUCUGGGACGUUUGAUCUCUCUGUCCUUGGUGCGUUUCUCGUUCAUGUUCCUGAAGCCUUCUUUGGCGCAGACGAACUGUCGCUGGAUGAUGGCGCCGUCGCGGCGGGAGCGGCGGGAGGAGCUGACGCGGGUGCUGAAGCCGAUGCGGCGGGCGUAGGAGUUGUAGAAGGCUUUGGCGGAUUCCUCGGAUUCGAACUCGAGGCCUUCGUAUGGCUCGAGGUCGCCGUCGGGGAAGUAGGUGGCGGCGUCGGAGGAGUUGGUGGUGUCGUCGAGCAUGUCGAUCGCGUCGUUGGGCUCGAUGUCGAUGCCGUCGUCGUCUACGUCGAAGUCGAGCACUUCUUCGUUAUCCAUUGCGAGAUCGUUCGUCGGAGAACAGAAGAAAUCGACACAGAGGGAAGGAGGAUCUUGAUUUUAGAGAACCCUAAAUCGAGUGGGAAUGAUGAAGAACUAGUGGAAAUAAAAGGGCUUUUGCGCAAAAUCUAUAUGUUGAAACGAAAUAAUACGAUACUGUUUACUUCCAUACGAUGUCGUUUUAGGCGUUAUCAUAGGAUGCACAAAUGCAAAGAAAAUGAUCCCAAAAUAACUGGCCGGGCCUGUCCACCAGUUACUUCUCUAAUACCGCCAAUAUAUAACCUGAUCGAUUUAUCAAAGGUUCAAAACCAUGACACUGAUCACUAGUCACUUUGAAAGCCACCUACUCAUAAAUGUGUUACCGUUUGCAUUAAGGUAGACAUGAAGUUAAUUUAAUGUCAUCAGUGGAUGUUUUUAGUGUAAUAAAACUAUUACUAUUCCAAUAAAUUUUGGUAUGCCAUGAUUAUACAGUGUAAUUACAGUUUACGUAUGGCAUGAUAAGUCAGAUAUUCUUAUACACAACUCAACAGUGAAUCCAUACUGGAAUAGUUAGAAGUUUUUAAAAUACUAGAAAGAAAAAUUAAGUUUUGGCAGAUGUUCUAAAAAUCGAUAUAAACAGCAAUUUCCUUAAUAUUGGUUUGACCAUAUACAAACUGAUCCAAAUCCAAUGGACAUAUAUAUUCGGAGUAAAGGGUAGAACCGGUUUAAAAUAUGAUCAUCUUAAUUUUUAACCCCAAGGCUUUCACUCACAGCUUGAUCAGAAAACAAUAAUGCGUUUGUGAAUCAAAAUCUAUCAUUCAGAAGAAUCGGUAAAAAGGAACAUAAAACAAAAAGCCAAGUAGCCAACUCACUCGAGAGAUAAUAUUCAAAACACAAAGAUUGAUGAUGUGAUUAAUAAUAAUUAAGAACAAGGUCAAGGUUACACCUUAAUAGCAUACUUUCUAAUUGGAAAGUACAUUUCUUUCUUCUUCUCCCUUUCUGUCUUCAGCGAUGCCUGUCCAAAAGCAAGCAACAAUUCAUUCAGUAUCAACACACCAUAUGUUCAUUACUCAAAAUCAGUUUUUUUGCUUCUACUAAACACAAUACAGUAAACAGAGAUUGCGAGAUAUGAAUAAAACAUGAGUUUACCUGAUGCUUGGUGAGUCUCCUCCUGAUAGCUCUAGUCUUCUUGGGACGAAGAUCAAGAGGCAAAAACUUCUUGUUCUUGUAUGCCUCUCUCAGAGCAAGCUUCUGCUUCUGUGAGAUCACUGUCAACACCUGAGCGAUUGAUUUCCUCACCACCUUACUUUAAAAACCAAAAACAAACAGAACCCAUUUGAGAUCUAUGCUUCCUUAAUCACUACCGCUAGCUAAAUCAUAAACAGAGCUAUAUAGUAGAGAUUACGUGUUCGUCACGUUAAUCACUCAAUGUGAAAAAACAAUUGCUAAAUCACUCAAAAUGUGACAAAAAUGAAGAUGUGGAAAAACAUACAUCUUAGAGAGCUUGUUGGGAGCACCUCCAGUGACCUUGGCGACGCGGAGAAGAGCUAGCUCGGCCUUGAAAUCUUUCAACUGAGUCGAAAGAUCGGUUUUUGAUUUCUCUCUCAGCUCAUGAACCUUGAUCCUCGCUGUUCAUGUUCCAUUUCACAACACAAGUCAAGACCCAAACAUAAACGAAAAAGAUGUUUAACAGUCGAGGAAUGUAAGAAACUUAGACUGGCUUACCCAUGGCGUCUUCGAGUUCUCUGGCUUCCCCUUACUCUGUUUGAGUGUUGUGUUAUGGGGACGAUGACGGCUAAGACUUUUCGAUCGGAACUUAGGUUAUAUUUACUUGGGCUUUGACUGAGGCCAUUGUUAGUGGGCCUGUUUUGAUAUUAUAUGGCCCAUUGUGUAAUAGUUACACAAUGUGAGUCGUAUACGUAAUUGUUUUUUUUUCUUCUUUUAAGAAUAUUAAUGGUUUUGUUAUUUCUUACAAGUCAAAGGCUAUUUAAAUUACUACUAGUACAUAUUUCUUUCUUCACGCUGGUUUUUUUUCUUAUAACAGAAAUUUUGAAAUUUUAAUUCAUAAUAUUUAAUAAUGUUUACGAAAAUGUUGAUGGUAAAAUGUUUAAAAUGUAAACCACUUCUUUAAAACUGAAUUGAACUCGCAAUUUCGAAUACCUUCAGAACUCCUAAACCCACCAACUAUGAUAUCCUUCACAUUGUUAUAUCGGUUAACUCGCUAAAUAACAACUGAUUGGUUCUAUUACAUUUUUUUCGAAAGACAAUCGGUUCUGUUACUGCAUCUAUAUAACAUAUAGACAUUGUUUAUGUCAUAUGUGGUAUGUCAGUUCAAAUUAACAAGAAACAUGAUUAUACCAUUUGUAGACGAAUCAAGAUCUUAAUCUAGAAGGUGUUUGUGCAUGUUACUUUCUUAUACUCUAUAUUUCAUAAAAUGAUUGGAGGGAGUACAAGGCAAAAAAAUAUAGGGAAGAAUUAUUCAAACAAAGGAAAAGAUGUUACAUGUAGGAUAUACCACUUGCAUAGAAUACACGGUUGGCAUGAAAAAUCUGUUUAGAAUGUCCUUUUCUUUUCGUUUUUGACAUCUAGAGUUAGACUGAAUGAAAGAAUUCACUUACAAAGAAGUUUUAGUUGAAGACGUUAUGGUGAUUAAUAAAUGUGACAGAGAAAUGUAAUUACGAGUAGAGUGAUGUUAAUGAUCUCUAACAAAUACAACCGCUCUAAAGUGGCUUUCCUUGUUUCCGGGAGUCGCUCGAGUCCUUUGGCUUAAGGCUCUUUCCUUCGCUUGUUACAUGUUUCUUGGGCCACAUUGUUAGGAUUUGAAGAAAUAGAAGUACACGCCGUUUAUAACUUUAACGUAAGAGCUAAAUCAACUUUUCUAACCACAACUUUUUUUUUUCUUUUUUUGACUAAACCACAUAAAUUUUAUUGUGAUCAAUUUCAGACUUCUUAUAAGAUUUCGACUUGUCUCAAUCUCCCUAGCUCUCUACGACUAAUCAAGUACAACGAUUACAUGUAUGACAAAAAAAUCUGAAGAAAAGUAAACUUGACUAAAAUAUUAAAAAUACUUUCAAAUUUCAAUAUUCACUUUUCAAAAAUUAUUGAAGUCAUUCCCGGACAAUUCCGUAAAACCUCAUAAAGAAAUAUUUGUUCUAAGGUCACUUUCCACUACCAAUCUAAGUUACCUCAAAAAUAUAUACAAAUAAUUUCAGUUCUGUAACUCAACAUGCAGUAUGUUAAUCAGAAUAAUAUAUGGUUUAGAAUUUACUUGAACUGAAACAUUGUUUUAUAAAAUGUGUAUUAUAUAGUUAACACAUGUUCUACUAAAAAGUAGGCAUAUUUAACGGUUUGAGAAUCCCUAAAUGGAAAACUGGCCACAGUUUUGGGAUAUUUUAUUUUAUUCCACACUUUUAGCUUUACUCAAACGAUUCAUUCCUCAAAGGCUGGCUGCAUAUUUUGUUUAUUGUCGAUGAUAUGACAUGUUGAUAUGCUGAUCAAUCAAAAAAAUGUGUAUUUGUCACUUUGAACAUUGAAUCAUAAAUAGUUUUAGAAACUUUUUUUUUUUGAAAAAGUAGUUUUAUAAACUUCUAUCAUCGUAUUGAGGUGUUAAAUGUCUUUAUUAUUAAAUUAAUAAAGAAAGAUGUUAAAAAUAUUCAAUGGAGCAGAACUUUUAUACCUAAGUAUUUUUAUACCUAGGUUUAAUUAGUCAAUAUUAAAAAAAAAUUAUAUUAGUUAAUAUUUUUAUAUGUAAAAUAGUAGAAAAGGUAGAUUUGACAUUUUGUAAGUUUUGUAUGCUUUAGGUUCCGUAAGCUCAUGCGCUACUGUAGAUCUCACAUUUGAUGGUUGACUUUGUUAUGAUCGUCCGUUUAGUAUUUUAUAAUAUAGAAAUAACAAGUAUAUAACAUUAUUCAUCUCACUUUCCAGCUUGAUGUUCGAUGAGAUUAGAGAACUUCUACGACAUCAGUUGUUUAAGUGUCUUGUAUGCCCUUAUCUUAAUAUAUUGUAUUUGCUUCUUUGUAAUAGUUUGUUAUUUGGCCAUGAUGACUUUAUUAUCAUGUUGUAUGAACACUUUUUCUAUUUAUAGAGAGUAAUAAGAAUCUAUAAAAUUGAAGUUUGUCCAAAAAAAAUAAAAUAAGGUGGAUAGAAUGUGACCAAUGACAGUGCGAAAAAUGUUAAAUAUCUGUCAAGAGAUUGAAAUGGUUUUGUUAAUUAACCUUAGCAUAUUAUAAUGUAGAUAUGAGUUUCAAUUUGGUGAUGACAAUCUUUCAAAAGAUAUGUCAAAGACUCAAAGUUUUACAACGCAAAAUUGUAUAGCCAAUUUACACAAACUUUGCUUUCUUCUCCCCAAAAUGAAAGAAUUCUGAGGCAUGGGAGUUUCUGUACGAUUUGGAGGCUAAUGAAAUAUUUUAAAACUUGAGGUGUUAAUCGUGUUAUUUUGAAAGUUGAGGGGGUGUUUCCGAACGUCGCCAUACUUGAAAAGUUGCCACUUGUCAGAAAAUCUGUCAAUGACUUUUUUUUUUGUCAAGAAGCAAACAAAACGUGUUGGAGUGCGUGGAGAGGAAAGGGAUCCGUUAUUUCGUCACUAUCAAACCAAAACGGCGUCACAUUGUGGUACCAUCUUUUCUUAACUGCCCAAUAUAAGCAGAGCCGUUCAGCAAUUACAUAUCUCUUAUCAUUAAACUCGUUCGUCUCCAACAAAACUUAAAACAGAGAAAGUAAGAGACUUGGAUCAACCUCUUCUUGAAAAUGGUAUACUCUCUGCCUUCUAUCUCUUUCAGACCACAUCUGAAAAUAUAUUAACUCGUUGUUCUUGUGUUGUGUGAAGGCUAGUGAAACAGAUAACAUCAUGUAUGAAGAGGUAUGUGUUCUAUUAUGCUAGUUAAAAAAAGAGUGUGUUAUGUUCUUUAUAUAGAUAGAGGAAUCUGUGUGUUUGAAUGAUGAUUAAUUAUAUGCAGAGUUUCAUUAAGAACACUCGAGGAAUGAAGCUAUUCACGUGCAAGUGGUUACCAGCAAGUCAAGAGCCAAAGGCUUUAAUCUUCAUCUGCCAUGGAUAUGCAAUGGAGUGCAGCAUCACCAUGAACAGUUGAGAUCAGCCCACUUCAUGAUUUUCUAUUAUUCAUUAAAUAACGAAGUUUUAUUAAUGUUUUGUGAUGAAUAUGAUUGGAUUAGGUACUGCAAGGAGGCUUGUGAAGGCAGGAUUUGGAGUGUAUGGAAUGGAUUAUGAAGGGCAUGGCAAGUCUGAUGGGCUUGGCGCUUAUAUUCCAAACUUUGACCAUCUCGUUGAUGACGUGUCUGCCCAUUACACAUCCAUAUGCGGUAAUCUUGACUUUUAUACAGGGUGAAUGUGUAAUAUUUUGACUUUGGAAUGCUUAUCUUUUGAAAACGUUGGCUCUGGACACACGGUCAAAGCCACUCUUCGUUUACCAAUUACCAUUCACAAAUAGAAAAAAUGUGAACUACUCAAUAAUUAGCAUGAUAAAAAAAUGUUCUUGAGUUGAUGUUAUUGGAUGAGAGAAAGUGACUCGUACGUAACUUUUUGUCGUAUCACUUUGUCAGAAAAUGAUUACGAUGUGUUUUUGUCUGUGGUUGGAAUGAUUAGAGAGAGAAGAGAAUAAAGGGAAGAUGAGGUUUCUGCUAGGAGAAUCAAUGGGCGGGGCAGUGCUUUUGUUGUUACACAGAAAGAAGCCUGAGUUUUGGGAUGGGGCCGUCUUGGUUGCUCCAAUGUGUAAGGUAACAUUCAUUCUAUCUUUUUAGGUUACUGACAGUUCUCACUCGUAAGGAAAAAAAUAAAAUUAUAAAUAGAAAGCCACAACUGCAUAUAUUUUAUAAAUUCUACAAAAACUUUGUAUAUAUUGGAAGUAGAAAAUGUAUGAGCGAGCAUGGCUUAUAAUUUGAGAGGCCAGUAGGGGAAAAGUAUUAACUGGAUAUAUGAGAAGAAGAAAGGUAUUAUGAAAAAUACAAUUUUCAUUAUAUCUUCCAUACAGAGAUUAGUGGCCACCUAGUUUGUAUUUUUCUCUUUAAUUUUUUGACAUAUUUAAAACAUUUUACUACUUUGGCGUGGGCAACAUUUUGCUGCCUAUCAGAUCCAAUAAGAACGGACAUAUGCAAAUGCCAAAAUCUUGGCUGUCAAAUAUUAAAGGGGGCAUUAUGAUGUGAAACUAGCUGAUUUUAAUCAAAUAUUGGGUGUAACUGGUUAUCAAUUUAUGGAAUAUCAUGAAUGAAUAGAAUUAGAAAAAAAUGGAAUGUAGAUGAAUGGAAUAAGAGAAGUUAUGGAAUAAAAAAAAAUUGAAUUCCAUUCCACUCAUUCCACUUAUUCAUGAAUUUUUUUAACCAUGAAUGUGUUAUAACUACAUUCCAUUUUUUUUUCAGACAUUCCAUAAGGAAUCAUUAGAAUGAAAUUUGUUUUUUAUUCCAUUCAAAUGGUAAAAAAAUUUUGGAAUCUGCAGGAAUAAACCAUUCCAAAUAAUCUCAUUCCAAAAACUUGUAAUCCAGUUGCACCCAUUGUAUUAGUUACGUGUGAAGUUCAACCUCUUAAAGCAUGAAUACAUUAAUGAGGAAAAAUAUAUAUUUAAAUAUAUAUGAAGAUUAGUCAAAUAUCUUGUUAAUUAUUAAAGCGCUCCCACUAAGUUUCUGAAGUAAUCAUGCAAAUAAACUAAUUUAUAAUGUAUACUCAAAGCACAUGCAUAUGCAAAUCACUGAAGGUGCCUGGAUGAGAAUAUUACUCACUAAUCUUCGUUUGUUAUUAUAUAUGUCACAGAUCGCAGAAGAAAUGAAACCAAGCCCUUUGGUUAUUUCGAUAUUGUCGAAGCUAAGCGGGGUUAUACCCACAUGGAAAAUCAUCCCUGGCCAAGAUAUUAUUGAGACUGCUUUUAAACAGCCAGAAAUCAGGAAACAGGUUCUUAAGCACAUACUUAUGACCUAUUAUAAUGAAACGUAACGUAUAGUUCAACUAAUUAUAUGAAGUGAAAUUAUUGAAGGUUAGAGAAAAUCUUUACUGCUACAAAGGACGUCCACGUUUGAAGACUGCUUAUGAGCUCUUGAGGGUUAGCACCGAUCUUGAGAAGAGACUUAAUGAGGUAUUUAACUCUUCGUUUACUAUGCAGAAGUACCUGUCUAUCAUUUUUAAACUUCAUAAUGCUCUUAAAGUUUGUACAUUAUAACUAAGAUUUUUGCACCAAAUCGUGAUGUCAUAAAAAACCAGGUCAUUUGCCUAUUGCUCCAGUCCGAGCCUGCUACGUAGCGCUGAAAAUUGAAAUGUUAUAUAUAUAGUUAGGAAGUUAAUUUUCGAUUAAUUUCAUGUAAUGGUUGAUAGGUUUCGUUACCGUUCUUGGUGUUGCAUGGAGAAGACGACAAAGUCACGGACAAAGCAGUGAGUAGAGAACUUUACGAGACUGCGUCGAGUUCAGACAAGACUUUCAAGUUGUACCCUGGGAUGUGGCAUGGUUUACUGUAUGGUGAGACACCAGAGAACAUUGAGAUUGUUUUUGCUGACAUCAUUGGUUGGUUGGACAAGAGAGCUUCUGAUGGACAUGGAGGGUUUGAAUCCGAGCUUAAACGUGAAAAUGAUGCUUUCCAAUUGAAAGAGUAGGUAGUUGCAUUAUUUAUCAAUAUCACAAACGAAUAAAAACAAUAGUCAAGUUCUGUUUGUUUUCCUUAUCUCUCUCUUUUCUCUUGUGUAUCUUUGUUGUAAAAUGAUAUUUGUAACUUAAAUUUAAAAUUAUGGGUAUUUGAUUUGGUUAAACAAUGAUGAUUGUAAUAUUAAAAGUUAAGAACAGUUCUUAACUUAACAAAUUAAAAGUUAAGACAGUAUAAAUUCUGUCAUAGUCGCUACCGCUCUUCAACCAAAAUGGAAGCUGCAAAAUCUCAAGUAAAAGUCAUUGUUACUAUGUAUUCAUUAGCAAAUAAUUAUAUAUCAACAAGUCCAUUAAUGAUUUACAGAAGUUGACUUGUACUUUAGUUGUUGUUACGAGAGCUACUAUUGAUGUUAGAGAAUGGAUGAAUGCAACAAUAGUUGAUCAAGGAAGGUACACAAGAAGGUGACAUACAACAAGGCUCUCACAUGGAAACGCUCACCAAGAAGUUGGUUUAAAUGCAAUUAUGAUGUUUCUUAGUCAGUGUUGAUAAGAUGGUUGGUAGGUUCCAAAACCAUAGCAGGGCCGUCUCAAAUUAAUUUUAGGCCCUGUUCAGAAAAUAAUUUAAUCGUACAUUUUAUCAAGUAAUUUUAAAAUUUAAUAAUUUUGUCUGAUUUUUUAAUUAUAAAUUCUAAAUUUAGCAUUAUAUCUAAAAUUUUAAAAUUUCUAACCAUAAUUUAUUUAUAUAUUUUGAAAAAUUCUUAAAUUUUUUAUUUUUAUAUUUUGGGGCCGUGUUCAACAGCUCCACUUGCGCGUGCUGUUAGACGGCCCUGGACCAUAGUACUGUUGAGGAGGCUGAAUUAUCUACACUAAUCUGGGCACUACAAUCUUGUUGGUCACUAGGAUACACACCCAAGUUGAAUUUGAAGAAGACAACCAAAACAUUUCUUAAAUCCUCAAUAUGAUGGUCACUGAUGUUCACCUCUGUUUGUAUAAAAAGAGAUCAGACAACCAAUGUGCAAAUGUUCUUGCUAGAAAGUACAUACAAUCUUCUGGUAUGUAGUCUUUUUGACAUACUUGUCCUUCUUCUUAAAAGAAUAUGUAGUUACUUACUAAUUUAGUGUAAUGAUAUAAAAUUGAAUUGGCAAAAAAAAAGUAUCAUUAAGUAAAAAGUAUUUGGCUAACUCAAAUACUAAAAUAGAGGAUACUAAAAUAGAGGUUUAGUUGACUCUCAAACUCAACUAAAGCACAUAAACAUUAACAACAACUCCACUCUAAUAACUCCACAUCCCAAUCACACAAUACCAAAUUCUCACAUGCUCCUUAUAUAAACCCAUUAAACCAUUCCUCAGUAAACAUCAACACACAUAAGCAACUCUAGAAUCCAAACUAAAUACCAAAAAUGGCCAAAACUCUUCACAUAACAAUCAUUCUCUUCCUCAUGGCCUCUAGUCUCCUCGCAAAUAUCGACUCCGCUAGACUUCUUGAUGAGAUCCAACCUCAGUCUCAGUUAGUCCCUACAGGCCAACUCCCCACCGUGGCUCCAACCGAAGCUGAGGAAGAACCUGCACCAUCAACUACACUCCCAGCUGGUCCAGCAGGGGGUGGACACGAGCCAUUACUCGAGUUCUUCAUGCACGACGUGCUAGGCGGGUCACACCCAUCAGCUCGUGUGGUCACAGGAAUAGUAGCACAAACCGAAGUGAACGGCAUACCAUUCUCAAAGGCCAGCAACAGCAUCUUCCCUGUAGACAACGGAGUCCCACUAGUCAACUCAAACAACAUCAACAGCGUCAUCAACCCAAACACAGCUCCACUUCUCACCGGCCUUGGCGGCGCUCAAACCACCACAGUGAUCCAAAACACCAACGGCAACUCCAACGACGCCCUCAGCACCAACAGCCUCCCCUUUGUAACCGCGGGAAACCUCCCUCCAGGUGCUGCGCUCCAGCAUCUCAUGUUCGGUACCAUAACCGUUGUGGACGAUGAGCUAACCGAGAGCCACGAGCUCGGGUCAGCGGUUAUAGGGAAGGCUCAAGGGUUUUACCUGGCUAGUUCAUUGGAUGGGACUAGCCAGACUCUUUCUCUGACUGUUCUGCUAGACAGAGAGCAUGAUCACCAUGACACUUUGGAUGAUGCCAUUAGCUUCUUUGGUGUUCACAGGACAGCCUCUCACGCCUCUCAGAUUGCAGUUAUUGGCGGGACAGGGAAGUUUGAGCAUGCUAAAGGGUAUGCAAUAGUGGAAACACUGCAUAACCAGAACAACCAGCAUAUCACUGAUGGUCAAGACACCAUCCUCCAUUUCAGUGUUUACCUCACCUACAAAGCUUGAGUGUUGACCAAGCUAUGAUUGCUUAUGCUUGUGGAUUUUAUCCUUUUGUUUGUAUUAAAUGAGACUGUUUCAAUCAAAAAUCUUGUUUCAUUCACACUUUGACAAAUGGGUACAAAUGUCACAGUAACUUUUAUAGCAAUGUGACUGAACUUUCUAAGAGGCCAAUCCUAGACCUGACAACAAAAACAAUUUUGUAUGCACAUCUCCCUUUGAUGAUGCAACAACAACAACUACUCUCUCACUAUUCUCAAUCAAAAUACAGAGAAUGCAAAAAAAAAAAAAAAAGAAUGAAAAGAAUCACUUUGUAACUCUACAUGAAGACUUCAAGCAACAACUCAUCCACUAUCAUACUUUCUAACUCACAAACCACUCUCUCAUCAUCAUCAUCUUCAAGUUUGAACCAAUCAUCAAGGUCUAUUACCGCCACUUUGUUGAAUGAUUCUUUCUUGGCUAGCUUCUCUUGUCUGGCAAGUACUUUACAGAGUUCUUGUUUCAGUCCACAUGUGCUUAGCUCAACGCCAAGCCUCCUUGAGAGAGGUUUCUUCCAGGUUGGUGUAGCUGUAAAGGAUUCUAGAAUCUCUGCUAGACCUGAACUGACUCUGUCAAACAAAAUCCUUCUUUCAGACCUCUUCCAAGAUGUCUCAGUGUAAUACUUUUUCUCCAUCUUCUCGAAGACCUUGAAGGUCAGAGUAUCAGGAACACAAUUCUUGUCCAUAAGUGAAACUUCAGACAAAAUAUCAUCAAUGUAAGAAGACUCUCUCCUUUCUUGAGUAUCCAAGAGCCUGACUUGUUCACUGUCCUCGGUUUCAGAAGCAAUCACAGGCUCCUCAUCAUCGCUUGAUACUUCCAUCCCACUCCCAUCUGAAUAACUAUCUGAUUCAGUUUUCAGGUCGUCAAGCUGCUUCUCUAUACCUUUUGCCAUUAGAUGGUUUUAGUUACAGUUUAUACAAAAAGAAUACACAGAAGCUAACUUGUUUGUUCCUUACCAUGAAGAUCUAGAUAAGGAAGCUCUUCACUGUCGUCAUCUAACACAUCGUCGUUAAACAUUGGCUCAAGAACAGAAACAGGACUAGGCUGAUGAGCUUCAUCCGUCUGACAUCCAGGAGAAGAUGCUGUGGAGCAGUCUGAUGAAUCCUCACUUUCAUCCUGCAGUUCCAAUCAAGAGUUUUCACAAUCUUAUAUCACACAACAAGUCACAAUGUGCUCUCAGAGAAUCAUUACCUUGCUAAUGGAACCUGGAGGAGAUACAUGUCUGAACUUGACAUCUUGUGCGAAUCUGUUCCGCUCCAAACUCAACACUGAGUCCCUCCUAGAGGUACUAACAAUCAACUUAGAACCAUCUUCUCUCACAGCUCCAUCCUUCUUCUGAACCAAUGUAGUAGUAGUAGUGACAUUACAAAGUUUACUCAUUUCAUUUGGUUUCUUCUUCUCAGGGGUGACAAUGUAUUGCCCUUUCCUUCUACUAUCUCGCAACUGAGAGUCACUACCGAAACCAAGAGGAGAGAACCGUCUCGGAGAACUCUCUUUCUUCUCAGCAUUUGUGUGUUGUCUCAGCUUCUUCGGCUUCAAGUUCAAGUUUUGCUGAUCAAAUCUCCCACCAAAUCUCCUCUGUUUUGGCUUCUGAGAGUGAGGAGGCUUAGCUCGUGCAUCGAUGAUACCCUUGGAGGCUAACAACUCUGUUUUGUGUAGAUAAACACGACACAGCUCCUUCGUUGGCACCACCUUGAAACCAGAAUCAAAAGCUCUCGCCUUUACGUGACGCAGAGGUUGAGAUACCCCAUUGAAACGCACCGUUUUGGCGAAAACAGAGGAUCUAAUCUCUUUAGACUCCAUCUCUUUCAACGACCUGCAACUACUUCAAGAAAUCAACACAUACCCAGAUAUUGAAAUGAAGUAACGAUAAAGAAAGUUGAUUCCUUUUUGUAGAAAGAGACAAAUCUAUAAAAGGAAACUCAACAACAGAGAGACAGAGAUCAAAUCGGGAAAGCAAUCUAACCUUUUUUUAAUGGAAGUAAAGAUCUUUUGCAGAUCCCAUCUGCGGAAAAAGAAACUUUGGGAGACGGAUACACAAUUGGCUCCUCUGACUUUUCUGAAAACGAAAACAGAGCAGAUGAAUUUGAAAACAGAGAGGUCAAACAAGAUUGGUUGAUUGAAGAUGAGAAACGUUUCUCUCUCUCUCUCUGUGGGUCACAAUCACUCUUUCAAAUUUUUGUUUUGAUAGAGAAGAGAAGACACGAAACGGAAUCGACGUCAAAGAUGGGUCAGUUUCAUCACAAGAAAUCUCUUUGCAAUUUGAUAAUUAAUAUUUUAGUUUUUUAUAAACCGUCCAAUAAUAUUUGCAUGGGGCCGCCACAAUUAUUCAUGCAGAGAAAAUUACGUCCCUCACUUUAUUCUUCCUGUCAACAAAACAUUUUUCAUUUUUAAAAACUACAAUAUCCAAAAAAAGAUGUAUAUAAUAUGUUAUCUUACCACAAUUAAUGACUUCUUAGGCUGGCCGGCAUUUGUUUAUGUUUAAAUCUACAUAUUUAAUUUGGUGACGUAAUGACAAUUAUAUUGGAUGAAAAUUUUACUUUGUUUUAUAAAAAGUGAUUUAGUAUAGAUUACUAUCUUUUAAUAUGCAAACAAAAUAAUAGAACCACAAAGCUGGUAUGGUAGUAUGUUAAGACAGGAUAUAAAUUGACAAAAGAUGACAGAUUAGGAGAACACACAAAAGCAACAUAUAUACUGAAAUAAAUAUUAAAUUUUUUUUGGGCAUAUGAAAUAAAUAUUAUACUAAAACAGACGAAUAUCUCUACUUUAAAAUUCAGGCAUCCAGCGUUAAGAAUUUAAGAUUAGUAGAUUGCAGCUAUUUCGUAUUAAAAAUUCAAAUGUAUAUAUAUAUAUAUAUUAUUUUUUAUUUAUAGUUUUAAUUGUUCUGGAUUACUUUCUAGUCACUGAAUUCUUUUGCUGUAAAUUAAAAAAAAUUCAACAAAUCUCCGACGAUUCAUUUUGCAUGAUUCAGCAAAUUUCAUCCUUUUUGUGUUGACGACAAUUAUAAAUUUUUGAAUGAUAUAACACGAAGUUAUAAAUUUAUAUUUCACAAUAAAAAUGUGAGAAAUUUAAAAACAUUUACUGAAAACAAAAUUAAAAUAUACGAAUUCUAAGUUUUUCUAAUCAAAAAAAGAAUUCUAAGUUUUUCUACAAAUUGAAAUUUGAGCUCUUUAACAUAAUGGGCUCGAUUUGGGUAUUUGAGUAUUUUUCAGGUGAUGAAGCGCAUCACAAAACCGUUAUAUAUCUUUUUUAUCUUCCAUAUAGGCUUUAACAUUAGAGGCGAUUAUAAUAUUAGGCCCAAGCAAUCUAGGGUUUUGCCUUCUCUUUUAUCAACAUCAUCCUCACCACUCCCCACUAAUAAAAGUGUCUGCCGCUGCAAAACUCACCUCGCGUAUUCAGCUGCUUUCACCUCACCAGGUUCGUGCGUCUUCGCCAAUGAUUCGUUAUGUCAAAGCUUCGUUCUUUAGCUUUCUUACAUUUCAUUUUCAUGUCUUCUAACAGAUUUUGAAGUGGCAAGGAAAAGUCCAGACCAGAGCAAUGUCUCCUGCUAAAGGUACGGUCUUUACGUUGAUAAUCAUUUUCCAUUUGCUCAUCCUUGUUGAAUAUUCACUUGGGUCUCUUACAAAACUUGUUUUAAACGCAAACAGUAAUAACUAGCCAUGGCUUUAAUGUUCUUAAGUUUUGAAGGAUAUGUUUUUAUGUUUUUAAAAGUUGUUAAAGCUCUCUUGUGUUGGUUAUUAUGCAGUUGAUACCACGAAGAAGGCUGACCCUAAAGCCAAGGCCUUGAAGGCUGCAAAGGCAGUGAAGUCUGGCCAAGCUUUCAAGAAGAUUAGGACUAAGGUCACCUUCCACAGGCCAAAGACUUUGACCAAGGCUAGAGAUCCCAAGUACCCGAGGAUCAGUGCUACUCCUAGAAACAAGUUGGACCAUUACGGUAUCCUCAAGUACCCACUUACCACUGAGUCUGCAAUGAAGAAGAUUGAAGACAACAACACUCUUGUCUUCAUUGUUGACAUUCGUGCUGACAAGAAGAAGAUCAAGGAUGCUGUUAAGAAGAUGUAUGACAUCCAGACCAAGAAAGUCAACACCCUCAUUAGGCCUGAUGGAACGAAGAAGGCUUACGUUAGGCUUACACCUGAUUAUGAUGCUUUAGAUGUUGCUAACAAGAUUGGCAUCAUCUAAGUUUUAUCUAUCUCUGCCAUUAUAAAAACAGACUUGUGGUUUUGUUUCUCUUGGUAGUCUCUGUUUUUACAAUACAUUCUUGUUGCAGUUAAUUGUUGAAUUCAAGUUCUCUGUUUUUGAAUUUGCUUAUGGACAAUCUUACCACAAAACACCCUUCUAAACUCUGCCAAAAUGCAAACUAUUCUGUGUCGAUGGACGAUCUCUUGAAUGUCUCUGUUACCACAUUUGUUUGGCUCCUUCGCUAUCUAUUUAUCCACAUGUUAACGAAUUGAGGAAACUGAGAAAUGACAGAAAGGAUUAAGCCUAAGAUCUGGACCGACAAAACUAAGGCAAUAUUGUUCAUUGAUUAUACACAUUUUCUUACCAGACGGAUAUUCUCUGUCCAAGUGCAUCACUGAAAGCUUAUUGUUCACUAUCAACCGGCAAUAAUCUUGGCUCCUCAGUAAGAAACCAAACUCUUCUUCACACUGUUCUUCUCUUCAUUAACACUUGAAUAGCUUACAAAAAGUAAAAGGAAGCGGAAGCAAUUGGAAGAGAAGGCACGCUCUUGUGGGAAUAGGAACUUUAUUGGCAACUUCAGUUCCAGUAACUUUGCUUGUUGCUGAAGGUAACCUGCCAAAAACGACUUCUUGUAUUUUUUCUUCUUUCUUUUGUGACAAAGUAUAUGGCUUAGUUUGGUCUUAUAAUGUUUCUGCAGAGAUACCAAAAAGCCAUUCGUCUUUGUGGAUCGACUGGAGGGUGAUAAGCCAUGAGUUUGUUAUAUAUUUUGUUGUAAAUAUGAAACUUAAAUGAAAAAGCUUUGGAUUGGUUUCUUACUAUUAAACUCCAAUGAUGAUUGGUUUAAUAAAUAGAUGAGAUUUCAAUCAAACUUUCAUUUAAAAGACGUGCCAAAUAAAGUGGAUACGAUGUAUUUACAAACAAGACGCCUAACCAUUUCACAUUCUCCACCUAAAUCACUCACAUCACUAACAAAAACAAACCUCAGCAAAUAAACUGCCUCUAAUCUUGAGUUUCAAUAAACAAAAUGAUAUACCUUAGAUACCAAGCAAUGAAUAAACACAGUCCUACUUCAAUGCUUCGUCUCCUGAAAGAAUAUGGGAAUCUACGUCUACAAGCUCCUACUUUGCUUACAGAAACUACCCGUGGUUGUACAUCUGCUACUCAUAUGAUGUAGUUCCCAAACCGAAAAGCCUUGGUCAGAUUGCAAGUUAUGUCUUGUCAUCGCAUCCAAUAACAGUAUCCCGUGGCAUCACGUGAUAGUUGUUAUGCGACUCUGAGCUAAGCGUUGGUGAAGUGGAAAGUGUUCAAUCUCUCUAGAUCAGUCGAUGUUGGCGUAGACCCUUGCCAUAAUGUGGUUGCAUUAAACGCACAUACAAUCCGUUCUUACUCGAUAAGGUAUCAUGCGUGCCUUGUUCAACUAUUUUGCCUCCAUUGAGAACCACAAUGUUGUCCACAUGUCUCAUCAUCGCUGCUCUAUGCGCUAUCAGAAUCGUUGUUUUGUUCCCCAUUAUCAACGUAUCAAGAGCUUCCUGCACAACACGGCUUGACUCUGAUUCAAUAGACGAACUCGCUUCAUCAAUCAACAGUAUUGGAGCGUUCUUCAGUACUACACGAGCUAUGGCGAUUCUCUGUUUCUGUCCUUGAGUUAGCUCAACACCUCUCAUCCCGAUAUGUGUGUCGUAACCGUGGGCUAAGCUGCUUAUGAAAUGGUGAGCAUUUGCAAUUCUCGCUGCUUCCUUCAUCUCAGCUUCACUGGCGUUAUGCCUUGCGUAUAUGAUGUUUUCUCUGAUCGUCGUGGAAAAGAUUAUUGGCUCCUGUUGAAUCAGACCCAUGUGGCUUCUAAGCCAUCUCAAAUUAUAUGACUUCAAGUCUCUCCCGUCUAAUAAGACCUGACCAGCGACUGGAUCGUAGUAUCUCUCGAUCAACGAUAUUAUUGUGCUCUUUCCAGAACCAGAAACACCAACCACAGCUAAUGUUUGUCCCCCGCUAACCUUGAGACUGAAGUUGCUUAGUACUAACACUUCCGGGCGAGUUGGGUAGCAGAAGUCGAUGUUUUUGAGUUCAAUGCUUCCAUAGACGUUAGGCGGGCUAAGAGCAGAGGUAUCAUCAGGUUCGAUUGUAGGCACUCGAUCUAUAAUUUCAAAUACUGAAGCGAGAGAUCUACGGCGCUUAAGAAUGUAAGGUGCUAAUCCGAAUGGCUCGACAAGGGCAAAUGUAGCAAAGGAGAAAACCAUGUACUCGGUUAGAGCUGUUGACAAUUUCAUAUAUCCACGCUUUACUGAAAAUGCGGUGAACCAGAGUAGGAGAGCAUUGCAGGCGAAGAGGAGAAACUGGGAGAAGCCAAACGCUAAGCCAAUAGCCAUCCCAUGGAGAAAGCUCUGUCUGAGUAUCCGUUGAAGUUGCAGUCUGUAGAGUUCCAUCACCUUGUUACCGGCACAAAAAGCAACAACAGUGUAUAUGUUUCUGACAGCAUCCUCGAGUACUAAAGACGCCUUUCUAUGCAUCUCCUGGAUGCCCUUUGAGAAUCCAGCUAGCCAAAGUUUCUGUUUGAGGGUUAUAUUAGAAACCAGUGUCAGGAGAAUAUACAGAUAAGCGAAGUACAUGAAACAGAGUAGAGAGAUCCACAUACUAAAUCGACGCUACUUGAACUCGAAACACUUUAUAUAAAUCAGAAAUACAAUUUGACAAAGGGGAGGCAUGCGACUACUGAACCGGAAUUUGUUAACAAAAACAUAAGGGUCUGUUGGGGGAAGACUAAGAAACGAAACGAACCUGAGCGAUGGCGGAGAGAGUUAGUAUUGGCAAAGUUGCCAAUGCAACAAGGGCCAAGCGCCAACCGAGAAGCAACCCAAUAAGAAUGGCAACGAUAACAGCAAAACUAUCCUGAAUAAGUAUCGAAAGCCUAUUGCUGAAGGCGGCUCGGACAAAAGUGGCGUCAUUUGCUAGGCGCAUGGAUAACGUAUCUGGACUGUUCUCUUCUUCAUCAUACCACCCAACUUCAUUACGCAGCAUCGCUGGCACAGAGACAGAUCAAUGAGUGAGGCAAGUGAAAGCUGUAAAACAAGUAGUGAAAUGAGUUAAAUAAAGAAGGAAAAUAUUGCAGUACCUGAGAACAUCAUCCGCCGCACUCUCUCCGUCAUUUUCUCCCCCAUAAUACCAAAGUAGAAAUGCUGCAAGAAAUUGGCAAAAACUGUCACUAGUCCCAUGCCGGCAAUGAUCAAACACCACUUGUCAACCUCCUUACGCAGGUGGCUUCCCUUGCUAUUAUAGUAUGCUGUCACUACCAAUGCAAUGACGUAAGCUAAAAGAGGAUUGAAAGAACCAAAGAUGGCAGCACCAAUACUCCCUAAUACAGCAUAUAGCCACUCUGGAAAACUAAGCUGAGCCAACUUCCAAAAGGAAGGUGACUCCACCUUAACAUUUGUUUUAGUGUCAUCAGAAUGGCCAAGAGGGCGGCUAAACGUCUGUGAAUGGGAGCGCUCAUUUUGGGGAUCCGAUAUCAAAAGGGGUAAUAUAGGGGACUCCGGAUCUGAACCAUUUGAUUUCUGACGUUGUGGACACUGAAUGUCAAUUUUUGGUAGUUCUGGCAACCGCAUCUCGAAGCUAUCUUGUCUUUUAAUGGUUGGUUCCUUUUCAGCUACAUCCAAAGACGAGCCAUUUUCUCCCACUUUAUCUGGAGCAGGGCUAUGAUCAUUGUGUGACUCUUCACUAUUAAAGCACAUGUCCUGGGGGCGAAAAACAUUGUGACCUCUCUGAAGAGAUGGAGACUUGGCCAUUUUGGGUGAUGAAUGUUCUUGAAAGCCACGACCAGCUGAAGAAUCCCUCUCAGCUUGGAAAACAGCAGGGUCGUUGUAGUUCCUAACUGGCAUCCUGUAAGAAGAUAAGAUUUUAUAAACAAGUAAAUCGUCAAAGCCGGACAACAAAAUAUUCUAGCAUCACGUUAGCUAUACAACAGAGUAGUACAGACUUGACAAGUUGUUAGAUAUAUGUCUUGGCUGGAGAAUCAUACCGUCUGGGUAGCUUUGUUGCUUCUUCACACUUCAGAAGCUCGGCAUACAAAUUACCAAGGUUGAUUAAUUCAUCAUGUGUACCCAUCUCAAGUAGCUGACCCUCUUCCAUUACAGCAAUAUAGUCAGCAUUUCUUAUCAGACUUAAUCUUCGAGCUAUUAUUAUGGUAGACCGUCCUAACAUGAGAAGAUCAAGAGCUUCUUGGACAACUCUUUCAGCUUCAAAGUCUAGUCCUCCAGUGACCUCAUCAAGCAAAAGAAUUUUUGGAUCUAAGAGUACAGCUCUAGCAAUCGAUAGUUUUAUUUUCUGCUCCUCCGUCAACGUUAAACCAGCUUUUCCAACCUACCAAACAAGUCAUUUCCAACUUCUAAACUAAAAACAGAAGCACCAAAACUGCAAUGCGUAACUACAAACUUUACAGUGGAUGGCUUACCUGAGUUUCAUAUCCUUUUUCAAGGGAGCUAAUAAAUGUAUGUGCACGAGCCUUUUUAGCCGCCUCCUCUAUCUGAUCCAGAGUAGCAUCUCGGCCAUAUGCAAUAUUCUCUUUUAUGCUCAAGCUAAGUAAAGCAGGCUCUUGUGUGACCAGACCUAUUUGGCUUCUCAGCCACUCUAAUUUUAGAUUUUUAACAUUUUCCCCAUCAAGUAGAACUUCUCCUGUUUAAGAGAAAACCACAGAUCUAUUCAGAUCAAUAAUAGUCUCCGCUGCAGGCAAGUAACAAAGGCAGAUUUGAAUAAAUUAAUGAUACACCCAAUCACACAUCAUCAUACCUAGUGUAGGAUCAUAAAACCGUUCCAUAAGAGGAAUAAUGCUGCUUUUUCCAGAACCGUUUCUACCAACAAGUGCAACAGCUUUCUUAGCAGGCACAGUGAGGUAAAAUCCACUCAAGAUUGGAAUUUCAGGCCGUGACAAAUAGCUGAAAUAUACAUUCCGAAACUCAAUAUUUCCUUCAACAGCAGACAAAAUAGUUCCUUCUUGAUUAGUCCCAGAUGAUGAACGACUUAUCAUCUCAAAAAGCCUAUAUGCCGCAAUCCUUCCUUGAUCAAAUGAAUAAAAGUUUGUAGCAGCUUGAUUUAAACCCCUGCACAGCACAACAUGAAUAUGAUUAGCAAAUCAAUGUGUAUACUUUUAGAAGAAAGAUACAGGCAGUAAAAGUAGAAUCUGAAGCUUACAGCCCACUCAAAAUAACAGCGAAAAGGGCUGUAAUGAUUUCUCCACCAUUCGCCCUUCCAUGAAUAACAAAGAACCGACCAACCCAAAGUUGCAGAGCACAUGAACAUAUAGCAAGCCCAUAUGUAAAUCCAAGUCCAAGUCCUUGCACAAGACUAAUCAAUAUACCAUAUCUCAGAGUUGCUUGGAGAGAGGUUGCAUAAGAGUAUUUUGCAAGAGUUUCAUUUGUAAAAGCAUACAACGUCCUAAUAUAAGAGACCGCCUGCAAAUUUAGAAGAAACUCAUUUAAGCAUUAGACGGCGACAUAUUCACCAGUAGGGAAUACAUUUCAAAAGAACUUGUACAUAUAAGACAGACUAGUGGUCGUGUAAUUGCCAUGCAUCUAAGUUGCUGCGAUAUAUCGAGUUAUGGAUGCAAAAACGAUUAUGCAUGCAUCCUAACAUAACAAAAAACGAAGCAGUACAGCCGCAUCACGUAACCUAAAAUUCCGACCUAUCUAAAUACAAUCUAUUUAGAUAUCAACCUCUGCACAUCGAAAAUGAACUUCAACGUUCACAAGUCAAAAAUAUUUCAAAGCUUAAAUAUCAUUGUUGGAAACAUUUCAAAGCUUAAUGCUUGCAACAGGAUUCGAACAUAAAAUUAAAGAUCAAUCCUAUCUGUAUAAUGUCCCCCGCAAACCUAGCAAUUAUAGUACCUGUUCAGCAAUGCUGGCUGCUUCAGCAUAAGCAUCUUGAAUGUUCUCCGCAAGUCUGUGGAGAAAUAUAUUUGAUACGCCUCCGGCAGCAACAAUGAAAGGACCAGUGGCUAACGUAAUGAGCGCAAUUUCCCAGCAGUUGACAAAACCGAUAACAAGCCCACUGAUAAAUGUAGCCAUAUUAUGAAUGUAAUUUCCAACCUGCGAAUGUCCAAGAUCUCAAAGAUUAAAGAAAUGCCGGAAGACGUACCAAACCUUGCAUACAUAAAGAUAUUUACAAGCAAACUUGAAACCAAAUUUAGAAGUUAAAACAUACUUUCUCGCUUAGAGCCGACUGAAUGAGAAGGACAUCACUCAGCACUUGGCUUACAAUAUCCCCGUUAUUCCCAUAGGUAUCAAAGAAACUCAUAUCCUGAUUUAGUAGUACUUGGACGUACUUUGACCUGAUCACAGCAGUCUGCCUCUCUCCAGUCAGUAUCCAGCAAGACACCUCUAUAACAAAGAACAAUUAAUAAUGGUUUUAGCUAAUAGCAUCAUUACAGCAAGGUUUUAUAAGUAUAGUGAACCUACCAAUCCAGCCAGAUAUGAAAACACCCCCAGCGAUGUAUACAAUGGUCAGCGAAAGCUGCAAAAAAAGGUAAAGAUUACUUAAGAGGGGGCACAUCAUCCAUAAGCUUAAGCAAGCUGAGCUAACCUCAACAAGGCGAUCAAACUGAUCCUCAGCUCCCCGCCGACCCGAUCCAGUACCGUAAGCAAGAACCUGAACAAUCUUGGCGAAGUAAUGCAAGUAAACAAUCAGCGCAGCUCCAUGAGCAGCAGCAGCCACGGAUCCGAGCACCAUAAGCACCCAAUCGAACCGAUCGGCGCAAGCGAAGAGCUGGGAGAAAGGAACAGCUGCGGGAGGAGGCUCCAUCUCCUCGGGCUCAUCCAUCUCCUCCUCUUCCUCCGCCUGCGUCGCCAUCCCCGCGCCGCCGCCGCCGCCGUUCUCGGCGCUGGGAUCGAGGUAAGGAGAUGGAGACUCGGGAGGCUCGGAGACUUCGGAGACGGGAGUUAAGGGUUGUAUGUGCGGCGGAGACCAGCCGAAUAAGCCCCUGGAAACCAUCAUAGCGACGGGUGGGAGGGGGAGAAGGUCUCUAGGUUUUUGGGGAUUUUUGAUUUCAGUGGAUCUCUCUCUGUUUAAAGGUUGGUUGAGAGGAAGGAGGAGGAGGAAAUAGAUUAAUGUUAUUUUCAUGUGUUACAUAUUACUAAUUAAUAAUAUAACCUUAUAUUAUUUCAGGUUACGCAUUUUUAAUGAUUGUGUAUUAAUUAAUUUUCACCGGGGUGGCUGCUAACGGUCAACUACGGCGACGAGUUUUAGUUUUUUUUUUUCAGGUAUUCUUCGUUUAUUCUCUGCUUGUUUUGUUUUCAUUUUUCUUCUAGAAGAAAAAUGUUGAAAUCAGUAAUUAUAUUAAAAAAAAAAAAUUUUGUUGACAAAAAAAAACUAAUUUUUUUUUUAUCAAAGACUCAUGUAUAAAUCUAGAAAAAUAUUUUCUCAUAAAAUAUUUCAGUCAAAGAAAAAAAUCACAAAAUAAUAUAAAUAAACAUAAUAUUUUAAAUUAUUAAAAAUAAAGUUGUAUGAACUUUUUUUCUAUUAUCUAUAAUUCCUAAAUUUCACACUAAUUCAAUACAAAUCUAGCCUCUUUUAAUUGAACCCUAACCCAGUUCUUUCUCCAGUAUUGCAUUAUUUGCAUAAUGUCUCUAACAGUUGCCAAAAAGAUUUGUAAUAGCACAAAAAGAUCGUUAUUAAAAUUUACUAAACAAAAAAACAGUUUGGGUUCCAACAAAUUUUUGUUGUUGUGUUCACUGUUAAUAUGGUUGAUGUGAGGUAGUUGAAAUUGGUCGAUAAGUAUAUUAUUUCGUCAUAAGUUCUAGAGAAGGUGGUUGUUCGAAUAUCGUUGUCUUCGAAAUUACAUACAUUUCAUAUAUUCGUUUUCCAACCAAACCAUACAUAUAUGAUAUAUCCCGAGAAUACCGUUUUGAUUAUAUACUUUUCUGUUAUAAGUCAAAGUUAAACAAAGAAACCCUAACUAAUACUAAAUUUAUACUAACAUUAAUCAAUAGUUUGCACCCAAAAAAAACAUUAAUCAAUAGUUACGUAUAACUCUUAUAAUAAACGAAGAAAGAAGAAAAAAAUGUAUUUAAAAAAACUUGGAAAGAUGUGCAUGUGGAUUGGUGUGCCGUGAAGAAUUGCAACAAAUAGCUGUCAUCGUUUCUUACCAUUCUCGCUGUCGAAAGCCUAGAAGAGGCAAGCAAGGUGCGGGUGAUGACAGAGAAGGGUGCUACUACAUGUGAGACUAGAAGUACUCAGUGGGGGCAGGGCAAGUAUCAUUGAGGCAGUAUGGAGAGAGACUCAUGUUCUGCCAGUGCAUUUGAUCUUGCUCACUUUUUGUUAAAAAUGUCACAGCUUUUCUAGAUCUUUAGCAAAACUCCACACAUGUUUGAUUAAAGAAAAAGACUAAAUGAGAUAGUAAUCUUUGAACAAAAAAAAAAAAAGAGAUAGUAAUGUUUUUGAAAAGUGACCAAUGAGAAUAAAUAGAACAAGAAGAUGAACCCAUAAUAUAAUGUCUCUUUACGUCACUUAUUGCAUGAAUGCUCUCUUCGGCCCAGUAAUUACGAAGCCCAUUAGAAAACAAAUAUAAUAUUAAACAAAAAUAAGGGCCCAACCGGGUUCGAACCGGUGACCUAUUGAUCUGCAGUCAAUUGCUCUACCACUGAGCUAUGGACCCUUGAUGUCUAAGAUCGUACUGUAAAUCUUAAAUUCAUAAACGCGUAGCAGGCUGAGCUAACCUCGACAAGGAGAUUAACUGCUGCUCAGGUAUCCGUCGACCCGAUUCAGGAGAAGAUGAGGAAGCACAGUAAUACGUAAAAUUUUAAUUUUGUAAUAAUAUUUCAAAAGUUUAUUUUACUCUUCAAAGUAACAGUGCUCGGUUUUCCCGUAAGGAACACUUUUCUAUUUUUUCUAAAAUCAAAACAACAUCGUUACCUUGUUAACGAUAGACUAAUUUAUAUUAGACUAUGUGCGAUAGAAUGUUGAAAUAAUAAUUUUAACAUUUGACUAGGUGCAAUGAUUGGUUUACUUAUGAAUUUAAAAUGAGUUGGCAUUUAACAUGUUGAAAAAAUUAAACACUUUAAAAUUAGAUGAGGAAGAGAGAGAUUGUCGAUAUGGUGUGAUCUCAUUAGCCAAAGAAAAAGUAGUGCUGAUGACUUUUGAUUGUGUUGAAUUUUUUUCUCUCCUACAUUACUAAGGUGCUCUAAAGGUUGUUGAGUUUGCUUUAGUUAUUUUCUCUUGUCUCCGGGUGGUAACUUGUACCACAUGCAGAUGCGUGCCUACAGUGUAUUGAAAAAGGCAUUCGCCUCAGACCCCCGAUUAAUAUGACUGUUUUUAGGGCCCCAAAAUUUAAAAUAAUUUAUAGUCUAGUAGUUUAGACUUAUUUAAGAAAAAAACAUUUCUACGAAAAUUAAUUAACUCACUUUCUGAAUUCAUGUAUUUUUUUUCUAUAUGACAUAAUAUAACAUAUUUACAUAAUAAAUUUAUUCUUUUACAGUAUUAGACUUGUGUAUUUGGUGAAAAUAAUAUAUCAUAUUAGAAAAUUGUUUUCAUUACGGUUGUAAAUAAGUUUAUUUUUAAAACUUGUCUUGGACCCCUAAAACUCUUCGCACGGCACUGACCACACGGAUUUAUGGCUUUGGAAAGAUGCCAUAUCUUUGCUGGCUUUGUGUAGUGAUCUGUUCAAAUCAAAUUCUAAUCUAAUAGAUGACAAAAAGGAUAGCUAUGUUGGUUUCUUACCACUAAUGGUGUUCUAAAACAUUUUCUUUGUAAACAGUUUUCUUCUUAGUGAUCUUUAAACAUCAAGUUUAGAGCUACUAAUUUUCGAUACCGGCCACUUGUUUUAUAAAAUGUUAUGGUUCAGAGGAUGAGCGGCUUCGAUCAUUCCUCAUCUUCAAUCAUUGAUUGUAUAGCUCAAACUUCCCGUGAUCGUAUAGUAUUAUAAUACUAACUUUUUAUAGGAACAGUCAGCUAUAUUUUCUAUCUUUUAAAACUUUCCCUCAUAUCACAAGAAUCAACAAAACAUGUGUGGAAACUGUCGUAGUUGUCUUGUAACCGUUUUUCUAAGAUUAAUAAAACGUGGUAGUCACCAGAGCCUGCUCAACAAAAUUUGGUACACUUGAACGAAAAAAAUAACUAAAAAGUACAAUUAAAAAUUAUUUUUCUACUUUUAAUAGUAAUAGGUCAUGAGAGGUUCGCACUACCCCGCCUUAGAGCACCCCCAUUAGUGAACUUAUGGGGGGGUUCACACAGAUUCCAAAAAAAAAAAAUAUUAAAAUAAGGAAUAGUGAUGAACCUGUCUCUCUCCACCACUUCCCAGUGAACCUGGUUCAUCACUGUAGCGCGGACCCCACGGCACGUGGCGGCCCGCGACUGGUCCGAAAAAAUAAUUUUUUUUUUUUAAAACAAAAAUCAAACCAAAAAAAAAAAUAAUAAAAAAAUGCUUUGUGAACCCUUUUCAUGGGGUUCACUAAUGGGGAUGCUCUUAUUAUCUAAGCCGGCUCUAGUAGUCACUUUGAAAGAAGAAAGAACUAUCAAUGGUUAACCACACUUUUGGCUAGGAUGCUCAACUCUAAACAAACUCAGAUAGAACCGAGAAAAUUAACAGAGAUACAGAAGAAAGGGAUUUUUUUUGUCACAAAAAAAAACAGUAAAACUGAACUAUAGUGAACAUACGUAAUCUCAUCCGUUAACCAACGGUCCAAAACAAGGCCUAAACCGACAAAACUAAAUAAACAAACAAUUUUAAGAACUAGUAGCAAAAAUAAAAUAAAGAACCGUGGAGUAAAAAAAAAAAGAUAGGCAUCUUCUCAAUUCUCAAUGUGUGCGCAUGUAUGUAUACACAUUUUUUUUUGAAACUAGCAUGUAUGUAUGUAUGUAUACACAUCCGUGCAUAAAUACCCGAUUACAUGCACUCACAUUUUGUUCAUCCAGUAACAUUCAAAUCUCAUCAGCUAAAUAAACUCAAAAAGGAUGAAUCCUAUGUUUUACUUCCUUCUUGCCUUAACCGCUGUUUUUGCCGCGAAAACACAAGCCGGUGGACCCAUUUUCGACACUGAUGGUGAUGUCAUAUUCGGCAGCACUAGUUACUAUGUUCUCCCCAUCUUCUGGGGCGCUGGAGGUGGCGGUCUAACUCUCGUCCCCGGCCAUGGCAACCAAUGUCCCCUCUUUGUCGGACAGUACGGUUCAGACCUGAAGAGGGGCAUUCCCGUAAGAUUCUCAAACUGGAGGUCUAGAGUUACGAACGUUCCCGAAUCAGAGAACCUCAACAUCAAGAUGGAUACCGAACCAACGAUCUGCCCGGAUUCACUGUAUUGGUGGGUCACUCCGGCGGUCAUGAGUGACUUUAGAACGUUUUUCAUAACGGCUGGUCCUAAGCCAGAAGCUGGAGAAGAAGAUUCGUCCAGGAGUUUCUUCCAGAUCAUCAAGAAAACUGUAGGACAACUUGACGCUUACAACAUUGUAUUUUGUAAUGACCAUAACGAUUGCGUCGAUGUCGGUGUAAAUACGGACCAAGGUGGCGUUCGGCGUUUGGAUGUAGGCUCUACUACGCCAUUCAAUGUUGUGUUCGAGAAAACUACUAGGACAGCGACUUUAUCCAAGACUAUGUCCAUUAUCUAAGAGAAAUUAAAGACUACAAAAUGAAGAGGAGAAGAGCUAUAACUUACGUCUAAUAAUAAAACUCUUAUCUUAUCUUUUUGUCAGCUUAAUAAAACUCUAUCUAUGUUGGCUGUUUUCUUUGUUCAUCAAUCAUCAUCAUAUCUGGAAGAAAACAUCUUUCCUUUGUUUCUUACUUUCUUUGUUCUUUUUUUUUUUUUAAAUUCUCUCUCUAGUUCAUGUAACUUGGAAACUAAACAGAAACAUUUUCCAUUUUAGAAUAACCACAUCAAAAAAUACGUUAUCUAAGAGCAUGAUGAAUGAUGAUUCUUAGCGGAAUCCCACUCUAAGAACUCCUAUUAAUCAUGCUCUAACACCACUGCACCACAAGGAAGGGGAAAUGCUGUAAACAUUUAAUAUUAAACAGUACCAAAAUGUUAAAAACAAAUACUAUGUUUUACUAGAGAGAGAGAACGAGAGAGAGAGUCAUCUCCACACGAUACCUAGUAGACAAAUAUAGUGUAUUAGUUAUGCAGCACCAGCCAUUUUCCGUCUUGAUAUCAGUGACCUUCCCAGUGCUAGAAUCAAUUCAAUUUUGUGCAAUCAUAAAUGUUGCAAUCACAAACUGGCUAAGCUCAACUACUGUCAGAGGUUCAACCUUUGCAGAGCUCCUUGACAAAGAAGUUUCUGUGUUCCACUAUCAUCUCUGACCAAUAUGGUGAGUAUCCCGUGAGAGUGUGUUAGAUAAGUAAUCUAAUAGAGUGUUUAUGGUUGUAAUCAAGUAGAAAUGAUCAAAAUACUUUUAAAAAUAACUCUCGCAGUUGAACCUUGGCAUUCAGGAACAAGCAGCCUGCAAAUUUAUGGUUGGUUAGUGUUUCUAUAAGCAUCAUGGUGGAACUCCUACAAUCUUGGGAUUAAUGCUUGUUGCAACAAUAAAACGUGGAUCAGCCUGUAAGCCUUCAAUUCUAGUUGUUUGUGAAAUGAUACAACUUGAGAGUCGAACACAUUCGAGGUGAUAGACAGAUCGCUAUUAAGGCUAAAUAGAGGAGGAAAUGCUUAACGUACUUGUUCAAAAAUAUUUUGGCAUCAAUUAUCAAAGUGAAGAGGCCUUUAUAAAAACAUAAUUAUAUAUCAAUUUCAUGGUUGCCAUGACACGGUCCUUGCCUUAUGGAGGGUCACUAACAAUAUUCCUUAUAGCAGUUAGCUGACAAAUAAUGUAUGUGAUAAGAUGGAUAUCUUAAAUAUCUAACAACUUUGAAAGAUGAGUUGGGGAAGCAUCAAAUAAGAGGAUUAUCUGGAAGAUUGAUGUUGGUGUUUGUACUGCAUCUAGAUAUGUCUUAAAUCUCUAUACACCAGUAAAAGUCUAACAUUUACUAUUUUUUAGAUAAGUAUAUAUUUCUACAGGAAAAAAAAAAUCAAGUUUUUGAAGUUGCUAUAAAUAUGGAUCUAAGGAAUUGUAAAGUUAUCCAUCCAUUCACAUAGUAAUAUACAAACCCUAAACUGCUGUUUGCCUCAAUUCGUAUUUACUCUUUACUUUUUUCGAGUUUGAUUCACGUUUGUUCAUAACAGUUUGCUAGGCCAAACAGCUCAUUGUGCUUGCGGAACCGGAACGUUCUUCAUGAUUUGGACUAACCGGUAUAGUUAUCUCAUUUAAUGUGGUUAAAUCAAAUAUUGAAUCGAAUCAUAGAGGAGAGCCAUAUAUCUUGAAGUUCAAAUUUCUCUGGGUCACAUCUAAGUCAUUAAACCUGCUUUUGAAAGAUGCUUGGAGGUGUUCAAAAGGUGGACGUUGACGGUGGUUUGCAUGAGUAUCGCCUGCAAUACAUGAACAAAUGGAAACAUAGUCAACAAGCAAAAUAUAAAGUUUAAUCAUCUCCUAAAAAUGAAAACUUCUGAAAAAAAAAUUGAUGAUCAAUACAUGAAAAAUGUAAAACGAAAUCAACAAACGAAAAUAUAAUCAUCUACCAAAUAUGCGAAAUUAAUAUUCUGUAAAAAAAAAUAGGUGAUUAUGAGUUUUAAGGCCAUAAUUCAGGAGCAUGUCUACGUCCAUAAACUCACCCUUUUUUGAAUCAUCCCUCCUUUUGUUUUUGUAACUUAGUUAAGACUAUUUGUUUAGUUAAGUUGAUUCAUAUUUAGAGGGUAAGCUGGAUAAAUUAUCUAUAUAAAGUGUGUCACUAGUCCGAUGUGUCAUUUGGUGUAGUUGAAAAGAUAAAAUAUGUCAUCUACUGGAAAUCUACUGGAAAAAAAUUUUAUAAACAAUUUUACUAUAAUAAUUUUAAGAGAUUGAUUGGAAGUGGGUGUAGUAACUGUGGAUAGUCAUUUUCAUUCCUACAACUUUUUAAAAACAAUCAUAAUUUACUUUUAAAAAUUGAAUCUAAAGCAAAAAAAGGGAAAAUUAUAAAAGAAAAAAAAAUUAAAGCUACAACUAAAAAUCUAAAAUUUAAAUCUUAAGAGUCAAAAGCAUAAAACCAUAGCCUCAACCAAUCUAACCCUAAGAAUCUUGAAGAUAUAUACAAUAGUUUAAAAUAUUUGCUGUAUGAAUUAAAUUUUAAAGAAUUUGAGUCUUAAUGACACUAAAUUUUGAUAUAAUUAUAUAACUGUUAAAAACCAAAUUUUUUGAAUAACAAAGAAUUGUAUGUCAUUAAAUCUAUCUUAUUAAAACAGAAACAUUGUGACUUUUUCUAGGUGGAUUUUAAGUUGGACUUACUAUUAGAUAUGAUAUAUUUUCUGAUUCUAUUAGUUAACAAUUAAUAUUAGUAAAUUAUUUCCUUAUUCUAUUUUGAUAACUUAAUACCUUAUAUGCAUUUAUUUAUCAGUUGGCCCAUAUGCCUUAUAUUCAACAAAAAAAAAUCUUGCCCAAUCGAUUUCAUAAACAACGUGCAACAAUGUUUAAUUUUAAGAUUUCAUAACCACCAUCCAAUAAGUUUAUGAGAUAAUCACCAUGCAGUAUAUUACUCUGUAACCAAUUAAUUAUAUAUAUAGCCAUACUAUAUGAUAUAUUCAAAAUGGAUUCAAGUCAAACUUCUUAACCCAUUACCCUUUAACCAAUCUAAAUUGGAUUACAUAUCAGAUUAACGGGUUUACCGGCUCGAGAGUAUAAGUUAGAUUUAAAAGUGUUGGUUUAAAUACCAAUUAUUAAAUAGACAAAUUUUUUAUAAACUAAAAAAUAUUUGUAACAUUGUUCAUAGAAUUUUGAAUAAAAUAUUCUGCGUUUCCGAAGCGCGGGUCAUGAUCUAGUAGUCAUUAAAUCAAUAACACUUGUUUUUGGUAAGAACUUUAAAACACGUAUAGUGGUUGCUAUUUAUAAUGAGUAUCUCAUCAUUUAUCUAUCUUAUUAUAACUCAAGUACAAAAUAGAACUAACCCAAUUUUUUUAUCAAAUUUAUUAUAUUAUAUUUUAUUUUAUUUUUACUCAUUUUAACUACUUUAUUUAUUAAUUGAUAUUUCCAAAUAAUUCGACAGCAUUUAUUAUAUAAGUUCAAAAACAUAACUUACCUAUUUUUAAAUGUUUUAUUAUAUCUUUUACAUUUUUAAUACUUCUUAAUUACUUCAGUCUUUACCAUAAUAAUUUGAUAUCAUUUAUUUUACGUGUUAAUCGUAAUAAUUCUACAUGAUUGAAUAAUUUUUUUUUCAAUCGUGAUAAGAAUUCAAACCAGUUAACAAAUAACUAUUUAUUGUUUACAUAAUUAUUUAGAUAUGAGUAUUUAUAUAUUUGUUCGGGUAUGGAUCUUACGGAUAUCGAAUUUUUGGGUUUUGAAAUUAAGCUCCAUUCGGUAUUAUAUAAUUUUCGGGUGGAAUUUGAAUCGGAUUGGUUUUGAUGUAUAUGAACCUAAAAAUGAACAAAUUUUUUUUAUGGAUUUAGAAAUGUUAUUAAACAGUUUAUAAAAAAUAAAUAACAUCAGUGUGAAUGCGCAUGUCAACUUUACUAAGUACUAAAAUUAUUAAAGAAAUGAAUAGUGUUGUACAAUGAUGUUCUUAGAACCCAUCAACCAAUAACCAUUUAAUUUGAAAAUUGUAAUAAUCAUUACAAAUUACAAAUUAAUCUCCAACUAGCACCCCUAAAUGAUGUUUGUUAUUUUUUUUUUUUUUUCAAAAUGUUUCUUUUUUGGGGCUAUGGAGAAUAUAUAUCUGUUCCGGCUUAGUUUCCCUUUUCUGAGUUAUAUAAAACUUUUGAUAUUCGAUAUAGUUCCAGAGAAAAAAACUGUUUCUCAGUUUGUAAUUAUUUAUACAGACUAUAUACACAGUUUAAAAUCUACAUGAUCUAGAAAAGUAUCUCAAUAAAACGAAUGGGCACAUUUAAACUUGGAUCCAGCUACAAGCAGGAAGCUUCUUGAUUCUUGAUCCAUCAUUAGUAUCUCCUAAUCUCAGUUCUUGACCAUAAUGAGAAGGAUUAAGUGGUUCAAGCUUCACCAGCUGACACAAUGCAGCAUUACUUAACCACAAGUUACAAUGCAUUCUUGAACAACUCAAUAGAGCUCCCCACACUCCUACACUUGCUUUCACUCUCAUUCUCCUCACCAUUUCCACUGCUUCACCAAACAAACCAGCCUUCCCCAAAAGAUCAACCAUACACGCGUGAUGUUCAACUUCUGCUUCGAUCUCGUGUCUCUCUUCCAUGUCCUUGAACACUCGUUUUCCUUCUUCAACUAACCCUGCGUGUCUACAAGCUGAGAGAACGCUGAGGAAAGGAACAGAGUCUAGUCUAAGUUCGUUUUCUUGCAUCAACAAGAAGAGCGAGACCGCAGAGCUAGCUAAACCAUUGACUGCGUAAGCGGAUAACAUAGUGUUCCAUGAACCCAUAUCUUUGUUUCUUAUCUCAACAAAGCAUCUCUCCGAAGAUUCAAUCAUUCCACAUUUCGCAUACAUAUCAAGUAGACUGUUUCCUACGGCCGUGUGGGAAGAGUAUCCUAACCUGAUGAGCCUGGCGUGAACACACAUUCCAACUCUCAAGGCUCCUAACUGUGCUGCGGCGUGUAAGAUGUUAACAAAUGUGACUAUAUUUGGCUGAAAAUUCUCAUUCUUCAUCUGACGAAAAGCGGCAAUAGCUUCUUCAGCUUGGCCGUCGAUUAAGUACCCAUUCAUCAUUAUAUUCCAAGAUACAGUACUUUUCUCGAAUCCACACUUGUCAAACAAGGAUUUUGCUGCAGCAAGGGCGUGACAUUUGGUGAACAUGUCGAGCAGAGCAUGUGCCACGUGACAUUCUGAGUCGAACCCAUGCUUUAUAGUUUGCCCGUGGACACAAGAACCCCGAUCAUAGUCGCUACAGAGUGCACACGUUUGAAGCAAACCCACCAUAGUUCCUGAGUCUGGGCGUACUCCAUGUAACAUCAUCUUAUUGUACAAAUCAAAUGCUUUACAGGCAUCACCAAUCUGGGUAUACCCUUGCGCUAGAGCGUUGAAAGCUACAGCAUCUUUAGUUGGCAGUCUUUCAAAAGCUUUUAGCGCAGGUGAAAAGAGACCGCUUUUGGCAUACAUUGAGAUGAUGGCUGUGGCUGUCGCUAACUCCGAGUCAAUAUCAGCCUUUAUAGCAUAGCAAUGUAUGCUUUUGCCUAAUCUAGAGUCGGGUAUCCCUGCACAAGCCGGAAGCACACUUGUCAAAGCCACACCAUUAGGUUUUACGUCUGUUUUCAGCAUAUCCCCGAACAAAGUGAGAGCAUCAUCGUGAUGACCUGCUAGCUCAAACGAAGCAAUCAUUGCAGACCAAGUAACGACAUCUCUAUCUUUAAUAUUUGUGAACAGUUGUUCCGCUAUCUCCAACUCACCACAUUUAGAGUACAUACUCACAAGAGAAGUUGCAACCGAGACCUCAUCCAUCAUCCCUUGCUGUACUACAUAUUCAUGAAUUGCAACCCCCUUCUCUAAGUCCCCUACAUACGCAGCAGCUUGAAGAGCACUAACUACAGCUACCUUACUCACUCUAACAUCAUAGCUCCUCAUGACGUCAAAAAACUCCAAUACCUUAGUGAAGCACCCAUUAUGCGCAUAACCUGCCAUCAUUGUACCCCAAGAAGAGUCAUCCUUGCUCCACACGUCUUCAAAAACACAUUCAGCAGCAUCUAAAUCCGCGCAUUUGCAGUACAUGUCGAUAAAGCCACUAGAGAAACCAGAUGCAAAACCUUUCUUAACCACAAGUCCGUGAAGACAUCUACACACAUCCUUACUCCCUAUCUUCGAAACCGCAGGGAUCAGAUUGUACACACUCACAUGAUCAAUCUCAACACCACUCAAACACAUAUCACGAAACAACCGCAAAGCUCCAACAAAGCACCCAUUUUGAGCCAACCCAGAAACCAUAAUGUUCCAACUAAUAGUAUCCCUCUCAGGCAUUUCAUCAAACACCUCUCUUGCACUAACCAAGUCUCCACCUUUACAGUACAUCUCAACAAGAGCAGUCCCUAUAUAAACAUCAGACUCAAAACCCAUCUCGGAAACCAACUCAUGUAUCCCUAAACCUCUCUCCAAGUCCGAAGCUCCGGUGCAAGCUUUCAAAGCGAAGGCCAAACUGUACUUGUCAGGAACGAUACCUUUCUCCUCUGACAUGUAGCGGAACAACUCGAGAGCUUCUCUGUGCAAACCGGCUCUCGUGUAUCCUCUGAUCAUCGAGUUACACAAAACGACACCUGGGUCUUGUACAGAGUCGAAGAUGAUGCGAGAAAGGUUUGGUCUUUGGAAGAGAGAGUAAGCGUUUAUUAGCUGGUUAUGGGGCUUGAGGCCUGAGACGGUUAAUUUUCCGUGGACUUGGAGGAGACAUUGGAGGGUUUUACAUUCCCGGAGCAUACGGAGGAGCGCGGUGCUGGUAAGUGCCAUUUCACCGGCGACGAUGAUACAACAGAUUUGUGGCGGUAUAAAGGCAAGAAUCCUGUGGGUUCGGUUCGGUUCGUUGGGUGGGUGGGUAAUUCGGUUAGCUUAAGUAUAUGCCGUAUAGAACCGAAACAAAUUUUGAUUCCAAUAUCCGGUUUAGUUUAAUCUGGAUUUUUGGUUUCAGUUAAAUUUGGAAAAUUUUGGUUAUUUUGUUUGGUUCGGAUUGAAAUUUUAGCUAGUUUGUGGUUAGUCCAGUUUAAAAUCUAGUUAAACUCGAUGAGUUGGUUUAAUUAUUAAAAAUCUGAACUAAUUGAUUACCAAACUGAACGGAUAACUAAUUUUUUUUAAAAUAUUGAAUUGAAUUGAACUAUAAAAACCAAAUGGUUUGGUUCAAUUCAUAACCACGGGGCUGGGAAGAUCAUUGCCGUUAAACUUCUCUAAACUUUUAUAAUUUUCAAAGUAAAAAAGAUUAACCUUUUUAAAGGAGUCUAAUUCAUGCCAUGAAGAUGUAAAAACUCAAGCAGAAUAUGAGAGCAUAGUAAUUGAAACGUUAAGUUAUUACCAACAUCAAAAAUCUAGAGCUGUAGUACUGUCAUCACAUGAUAGCCUGUUAAGGUUAUGAUUUUUACAUCUAAUGAAAGAUAGAUUUCAACAAACCUUUCUAUAGCCUCUUUGCCUUUCCUUGCUUUGAUCAGAAGACAUCAAACGUAGUAUCCUCUCUGCAGUAAACUGCUCUCUAUGUAUAUAGUUCAAUGUGUCUUCUCAUGCGUGAUGGAUCUUCCACAUACCAGUUCUGUAUCCUGCAGACAUUAAAGCAAGCUCCCAAAGCAUGUUGGGAAUGCUCAGCAGACUGACUUUAGACCCGGGGAUUUCAGACCAGUUCACAGAGAUCUCAAGCAUUGGAAUGUUAAAACGUUUGCACAAGAACACCAACUCAACAUCAAAGCACCACCUGCGUCAGAGACAGGGAUGCUCUUAUCGAUUGCUUCUACUGCUAGUAUAUCAUCAUCAAAAAUUGUAAAUACCUUUUCAGAUGGACGUUUGUGAAAAGUCUUCUCGCAGCAGCUCUAGUAAACAUCUUGAACCCACACUGAAAAAAAAAAACAAGUCUCUAUGAAAACAGAGUAACUACAUUGACUAGAGAAGCAAACAGCAAAUGAGAUUUUUAGAGAAGUCACCUGCGUAUCUCGAAUUCCAGAACCAGCAGCCAACAAGACCACAAGAUGGAACCCCUUCAUCAAAAAGUUGCGAUACCAUUUCCUCUGAAAUUGACAAAAUGAAGUCAAUUAGCACAUGCAUUUAUAUGUGCAUGGAUCUAUGAUACUGUAUCUAGAACUUUGCAAAACUUAACUGUAGCAAGAGCUUUCUCCUCAAGAUGAGCACGAGAACCAAAAGCUGAUACUUGCACAUCACCAAUUCUGAAAUCCACAUGCUUUAGCGCUGGAUCUCUGAUUGAACUUUCUUCUCUAGCUACUGCAUGAAUCUGAGAGGCUAUAGGAGAUCAGGACAUUUGUAAUACACAGUUUCCAGAUUGUCUGAAAUUUCAAGAGCAGAAACUAAGACAAACCUGAUUUUCAAGUUUUUCAAGGUCUGUUACUUUGGUUGCUCCAUCCGCAUCCAACAUGAGAAGUAGUUCACCACGCGAAUGCAUCAUUCCCUAUUUAAUGCUUUCAAAAAUUUAGAAAGCUUCGGUUAUUUUCGUUUUAUUUCUACGAUGAAAUGGUAAAAGAAAAUACUAUUACUCAGUCACGUAGAAUAAACAGGUUAGAGUUGCUUUCAACUACUACGAGAUGAACUCACAGUUCUUAUAGCUUCUCCUUUCCCUUGAUUCUUCCCAAGGGGUAUAAACCUUAUGUUGUCAACUGAAUACUUUUUGACGAAAUCAAAAGCUACUCUUUUUGUUCCAUCCACACUUCCAUCAUCAACAAUCACCACCUACAAAAGAGAAAACAUUAUAAUACUCUACUUCUGCUUAUGCAUAUAGUAUUGAAAAACGAUGCAGAUUAAUUGAAUGAUUCAGUAUGCUUAGUAAGGUGCAUUAAUUAUACGGACAAAAAACCUUGGAAAGCUCAUUCAUACUCAACCUUAAUUAAUUGAAAAGAGAUGAAAGAAAACUAUAUACCUCAUAAGAAAAACUCUUAUCCCGUGACGCACGACCUUGAAGGUAACUGCAAAUCAUAGGAGAAAUUAACGUCGUGCAUAAGUAUAAGACUUGCCCUGCUGUUUUGCAAACUUGUCACGAAUUGGAACACAAUUCUGACAAAGGAGAAGUGAAAGUAAAUGAAAUUACUCCAUUGUUUCCUCAAGAGCAGCAGGAAGUCUCUGCUCCUCGUUAAAUGCUGGAACUAUUAAUGACAGAUACUUCUCCGCAGGGUCGGAGAUAUGAGGGCAGGGAACCUGAUAGAUAGAGUUUCAAAAGCUCUUAAAAUCUAAACCAGAGAAGACGCGUUUCUCUCUCCAAAUAGAUGAAUCUAAAGCUUCAGAACUCGCAGGCAGUAAAAAGGGAGCUAAUUUCGACACAUAACUCCUUGGAAAAAACUCCUACAUAAUCUCUCGUCUUAAACGUUCUAAAGAAACAGGAAACAAGUGUGCAAGAUCUCGUCUUUUCAAUAGAAAAAUCCCAGUUCCAUUAACUGCAACAACCAGAGUACCAACACAAAGAGAUCUAAUUUCGACACGUAACUAGUCAAGACAAAACUCCUACAUAAUCUUGUCUUAAACGUUAUAGAGAAACAAGAGCCCGAAUCGCCAAACAAAGAUCUCUCUCUCAUUUAGAAAAUCUUAACUGAAACAAGUGGUUUUCAAGUACAAUCGUUCUUAGCCACACACACACCCUAACAGUCAAUCCUAGAUUCUCAGAGUAUAAUCCGAAACGAUAAUGAAUCAGACGAGAUACCUGCUUUAAGGUUGUCGGAUCCUCGAGUGUAGUUACGGUCUCCACAGAACUGGGGAAUAUAAACAAAUCAAAAUCCAGGAUAAGAUACAAGUUAUAGAAGAAAUGGAGUAAGAAAACGUACACGUUACUGUGUCUCCUUCUCCAAGCUUCAAAGACGACGACGGAGAUGAAUCCCCAUAAGGCGAUCAGAAGCAGAGAGAGGCCAAGUUCCGCAACUGUUAACAGAGACUCCAUUGCCGGUGCUCCCUCCCAAGAUUUUCAGAUCUGUUUUUGCUUCACGAGGGAGAGAGAGAGAGAAGAAGGGAGAUGGAAUGAAUCCGUGAAGAAUUAGCAAAGAAAGCUAAAGUUUUAUUGAUUUAAUCCGUGAAGUGAUGAGUGUAAAGGAUUUUGAUUGAUUGUAAGAUAAUUCAAACCCUAAAUUCAAUUUUGACUUUUGAGGUUAAGACAUUUUUGGUUUUUGUGAUUGAGCCCAUUUAGGUUCGGUUUUGGUCGGUUCUGUUUUAAGCGAUGUUUUCUUACUUAACCGAAUUAAACCGACAAUGUGUCCGUUUAACCGUUUUGAACUUGAAAACCAAGUGCAGAUGUGAUUAUGAGUCUCUCAACAUCCAAUCGUCUCCAGAGCAGAGACUUUAUUCGUUAGCAUAUUCAAAUAUAUCGACUGAAUGAGAAGUCAUUGCAGUAUAGCACAUGUAGUUUUUGUUUGUCUGCUGGUAUUAUAAUAUUAUAAAGGAAAAAAGAUAAUAACAGUGAAACAAACAUGCUUAGAAGUUAGAACAAACUCUUUAGUCAAAAAAAAAGUUGGAACAAAUUCUCUCAAAGACAAAAUCAUACAACUGUGGAAAAACAUAAAAGGUACCUGAACGUGUUAUUUUGUAUAUUAUCCUCUUUGUAUAAAGCCUAUAACCUUGGCUACUAUUGUGUAAACCCCCCAUAUAAGAAAAAAAAGACCCAGCCGCAACAACAAACAAAAAAACAAAUAUUACACUCAGAAAAAUUGACUCAAACAGAGCAAAAUUCUUUUGGCCUCAUCGAUAGCCACAUUUGUACAAACACUCAAGGAGCCCCAUGAAUUCUCAUCCUCUCGCGGCUCUUCUUCUUCUUCUUCACGAAUCUCUCUGCCUCUUGUUCGGUAUGAAGAGCAAACUGAAGCCUCUUUAGAUUCUCAGCACACUGUCUGUGCAGUCCCGGUGAGAACAUUCCUGGACCUUCUUGAUUGAUCGGUCCAAGAUGGCGCUUGUACGGUGAAAGCCACUUGGAUUGCAGGUAGUUCAGCGAUCUCCAUGGAGGCAACGGCAUUGAGUUCUGCUUUAAGGAGUAUUUAGCCGCGUCGACCAUUACUUGGAGGAACUGGUUUAGUCUUGCAACCGUUCCUACGUAGACCACUGGGAGUGAUUCCAUUAUCCGCUGGUAUGAAUCCACAGCUCGUGCGAUUUCGAAGUGACUUCUGAAAUCAAUGUCGAUGAUCAAACGGUCGUCUUGGCCAACAGGAGAGUCGCUCAUUAUGAUGUCUAUGUAUUCGUUGUCUCCUGAGAAAACAGCAAAUCACAUCAAUCUUCUGUAUUAAAAUUGUGUAAAAGGCAGAGUUUAGAGGUGGAAACACUUACCACCAGGAACUUUGCCAGUGCCUUGCCAUCUUGCCGAACAAACAGCAGCGUUAUAUCCGGAAAGGCGUAAGAGCUUUGCGAGAUAAAACCUGAUGCAACUGGCGUUACAUGUACCGGACUUCACAGAGUGGAGAUCUUUCUCUUUAAUAGAAAGCAUCAGGGUCCGAACCGCGGAGAGAACCUCGGUUUCGUGCUGAGGCAUUGAGUACUUGAGAAACUGCAGGCAACAGACAACGAAAUUUUAAAUUAACAAAAAGACUUCAACCUUCCGUAGAAAUCGAAAUACUUGGGUCUCAAAAAUGUGAUAUGAAGUAUGCUUCCUACAGAAUAUAGCAACUCUAUACAGAAAAAGCUACCAUUCUAUUUCUAACCAAUUUUUUAUGAUAAAUCUCUGAAAUACUUUAUAACGAGUGGCAAACAAGGACAUAAUAAGCAGCUGAAGACAGCAUGAGAGUAGUUGCAACCAAUCUUUAUGCAAGUGUUCUCCAUUGGAAUGUGUUUAGCAGCUACCUACUACAGAUACCAUCCUAACAAAACUGUAUCUAAAGGCACUAUAAUAAACCAUGUUUAAGCUCAAAACUAUAUCCGCUGUACUAAUUUAUGAAAGUGCUUUCAACCUUCCGUAGAAACUGAAACACUUGGGUCACAAAAAUGUGAUGCUUCCUACAGAAUAUAGCAACUCUGAACAAAAAUGCUACCAGUUAACCAGUCUAUGACAAUCUCUGAAAUAAUUUAUCAGGAGUGGCAAACAGGAACAUAAAUAAGCAGCAGUACACAUUAGCAUGAGAGAGCACAGAGGCAACAAUUCUCUAUGCAAGUGCUAUCCAUUGGAAUGUGAUUAGCAACUAAUGUACAUAUACCAUUCUAACAAAUCCAUGAUGUUCUUUGCAGUACUUUCAUUCGGAAUGGCAUCCACUAUAAGCAGCUUUAUACUUGGAUGCUCCGUUCAAUAAUCAAGAACCAACCAAUCACCGCAAAAUCAAGAAUCUAUAAGGCAUCAUACUAAACCAUAUGUCCAAGCACUACAAAACUAUAUCCAAUUUCUACUCUUCAACAUGAUCCCAAUUCAUACAUCCAAUAAGAUUAUCACCAAAUCGCCUCUACGGUACCUGAAUUUUAUCGGAAAGGUAAGAAGGAUCCGGGAAUCCCGAAUCGCUGUCGCUGCUACACCACGAAUCACCACCACCGCCGCCGCCGCCGCUUCCACCACCUCCCGUCUCGAUAAAAUCCGUGACCAUAAGGCCUAGGUCACAUUCACCGUCGAGGCUAGAAUCUCUCCCUCGUUCCCACCACUCCUCCGCCGGAACAACCCUCAAGUCCAACCCCAUCGUAACCUAAAUCGAGAGCCAACGAAGAAGAAGCUUGGCGAAAAUUUAAACGAUUCGAAUAAAAUGGAAAAAUAGAAAGGAGGUUGAAUUGACUCUCGGCACAGAAAACGCGUUUCGUCCUCUUCUCACGAGUCUUGUGUGAUUGAUUUAUUGUUUAUAUACAAAUGGUAGAGAGAGAGAGAGAGAGAGAGAGAGAGAGAGAGCUUGAAGGUAGAAAAGACCAGGAAGAUAGGCGGAAAGGAAGAUGAAGCCAAGGUGGGUAAAUAUAAUACCACUACACGUGUCGUAAUGACGCUAAUGCCCUUACCGGAUUAAUUAUAUUACCAUUUGAGCUCGUUUUUUCUAGUUGUAACGAACCCAAGGUUAUUAACAGAAACAAAAAAUGAACGUGGACAGAGCCUAGGGUUAUAUUCGUAACGAAAUGCGGAAGUUAUUUUAACAGCGCCCGAGGUUAAAAGGGUAAACCGGUAACUGGAAGUAGCUGGAGCGUAGCGGACAAUCUAGAAGAAACUACUGGGUUUGGCUUGGGGACGAAGUUUAAAGGCGUCUUUUUUAUAAACGUUCUUAAUUAAGCUGACACGGACGAAUUUUAUAUUAAUUAAUACCAUAAUCAUCUUACAUUCUCGAAAACAAAAUUGACCAAAAUCGAUGUUCUUUAUCAAAUAAGAUUGACCUCUAAUUGCUUCUUGAAAUUGGCACAUGCUUUAACUACACAUGUGCCAAUCAUCUUACAUUUUCGAAAACAAAAUUGACCAAAGUCGAUGUUCUUUAUCAAAUAAGAUUGACCUCUAAUUGCUUCUUGAAAUUGGCACAUGCUUUAACUACACAACUCAUUUUCAAAAAAUUGAAAACUAAUAAAACAUAAAAUAAAUAAAAAUAUAUAUAUGAGAAUUAAGAAAAAAACAUCUUAAUGGGCUUUACUUUCACUACAGUUGGGCCUGAAAGGCCUUAUGUGAUAUUUACUUGCGACCAUCCGAGCCAAUUUGGGAAACAUCCAUUCAUGUCUACACAAACCCAACCUUGGGCCAUGUACGACCAAACUUUUUGACCUAUGUGCUCAUAACUUUCUUCCUCUUUUCCAUUCUUGAUCAUUUAAGGAUGGACAAGUAAUCUUCAAUAUCUGAUUAAACAGUACACUUAAGUUUUAAUAUGUUUUGCAAAAACUCUUUUAUAUUUGGCACUUGGAAGAUCAUAUAUGAAAUACCGAUUUCAUACUCAUGAAUUCAGAGGUCAUGCAUGAAUAUUAGAAAAGUUAGUUGAAAUCAACUGGCACAACAAUAAUGUCAAUUUAAUAUUUUUUUUGCACCAACUAAGCAAAUUUUAUAAACUGGGCGACAUCUCUCAAGUCUAAACCAUAUAAAGAAAAAUUCUCACCAAAGAGAAAACAAACGAAAAGUAAAAUAAUUUCUCGUACAUGAUAAUGGGAACAAAUGGUAAUUAACUUUCAGGGAAAAGACGUUUAGCUUAUGUGUGGAAGACAAGACACGGCAAGUCCAAGAAGUACCUCCGUACGUCAAGAUUGUCCAGCCCGUGUCGCGUAAAUAUUUAAGAUCUUCUAUGAUUUGAAUAUGGAUUCUUGUAGAUUAUUUACAAAAAAGUCCAGUUAGUACCAAUCAGACAGGGACUUCCAAAACAAUACGCGACACAUAAUCAAAAACCUACCACCCAAGUCAAACCUAUUUUCCUUUUAAAUACAUUCUUGGUUAUGACUUUCAUGAGAGAGAAGGAAUAAAAAUGAAAGCUUGGGCCUAUUAUUUUGUGUGUAAUAAGAAACUUUGUCAAUCUAGAAUACCGAGUUUUCUUUACUUCCGUACGACAGGAAACAAAAUGAUUUUCGUACAUUACAUCUCGAUUUUCAAAUUAGUGUCGGGUGAUUGGAUUUUACAACACUGAUACAAAAUAAUUCUUAUAGUUUAAGCAAAAAAUUGUGGUACACAUAUUAGUAGAGACCAACCUACAUCUAUCGCGGAACUUUUUUCUGCACAACAAGAAAACAAAGAUAAAAAAACAUUGUUUAAUAGAUGAUGAUAGUUGACACAAAAAAAAAAAAUGGUGUCAAAAGAAAAACAAUUGAAACAUAUUUUAAUUGAAAAUGCAUUUACAAGUAGAGGGUCAGUUCAUGACGGCUAACCAAAUGUUGACUAAAAAUGUGGGAUAUCUUGAAAGAACAAGAAGAGAAGGUUCAAGUCCAUGACUGUAGCUUUGUGGAAUUUCUAUAUGAUCUUAAGUGCAACCCAACGAAAACAUAAAAAAAAUUAUACCCAACAAAGACUAUUAAAAGCCAAAACGAAGUCUUAGCUGAAUUGUACCAAAUUAACUGAUAGAUUAUAGAGUUGAGGUCACAUCCUGAGCCUCAAACUGCGUCAUAUACAACUAUUGUUAAUUUCAAUAAAAAAAAUAUUGUUAACGAGAUCCCAAAUAGUGGAAUCCUAUCAAACCCAUUGAUAACAAUUACAAACUUGAGUGAUAACCAGCUAUCGAACAAAAAAAAAUAUCAGAAAAAAAUCGUCAGAAAUAACGUAAAUCGGUAAAAGAAAAAAAAUCAUUAUAAGAAGCUAAUAAAUUAGAAAUUAAUCAAUUAUACGUAUUUUAUGUUACUUUACUUUACACACACAUGACAUGACAGUGAUGACACACCCGAGACCAAAUAAAUAUUUUGUUACGACAGCAAAUAUAAAGUCUUCACUCGUGUGUUUCUCUGUCGUCCCAUAAAUGGUUAAUUUUCAGAUAUGUAGGUAACAAAAAAAGGCACCCAAAACCAUAAUUUUCUUCUCAAUUUCCACGAAAUAAAAUCAGCUAGGAUAUAUAUAUUACCCGCGAAAGUUAAAAUCAUUAAAGAUAUUGCCAAAACAUUACGUAAGACUUUUUUAAUAGUGGGUCAAGACAUAUCCAGAAUAAUUGGUCUAUACAUUUUCAAAUUUAAGAUUUUUUUUGCACAAACGUAAUUUCUCUUAUUUCAAAAUAAAAUAAAAUAUUAAUUAAAUUGUUUAUAGUUCCUUAAAGUAUUUAGAGCCGGCCUGAUCAUGUCGAUAAAAUAAAAUCGAAUCAUACACCUUUUUAUCUUUUGGCCAAACUAUGUUCAUUUGUUUGACUUUUAUUUCUCAACACAUACAAAAGACAAAUCAACCAAUCCUUAUUCGGUCACCCCCUCGUGCCUCUCAUUAACACCAACCCUGUUUCUCAUUUCGUCACCUCGCCAUCUCUGUUCACAUCUCUCUCUCCCUCUCUUUAACCGCGUGGGUUGUCAAAAGUUUCUAUAAUUCCUCUUAUCCUCUCUGCUCAUAAACCAUACAUAUCCUCCUCAAGAAGCUGAACAAGAGCGCUCAAGAAUCAAGAAAGUGGAGAAAACGCACUUCUUCUUAGCUAAAUGGGUUCUUGCUUCAGCUCUUGUGUCAAAGCCGAUAAUCUUUUUCACAAUGGUACCAUCUCCUUCUUCGUUAUGUUGAUUUUGCUCCAGGUUUGAGUUUGGUUUAACAUAUGUUUGUGUAUGUUUAGGUAAGAGCAGCGAUCUUUACGGUUUAAGCAUCUCAAGCCGGAAAUCAUCGUCCACGGUGGCUGCUGCUCAGAAGACGGAAGGGGAGAUUCUUGAUUCAACCCCUGUCAAGAGCUUCACCUUCAACGAGCUCAAACUCGCCACCAGAAACUUCAGACCGGACAGUGUGAUCGGUGAAGGUGGGUUUGGUUGUGUCUUUAAAGGCUGGUUAGAUGAAACCAGUCUCACUCCGACUAGACCCGGAACCGGUUUAGUCAUCGCUGUUAAAAAGCUUAACCAAGAAGGGUUUCAAGGUCACCGUGAAUGGCUGGUACAUUAGCAUUCAUUUCUUCAAAUUUCAAAACUUGAGAGUUUUAUUAUGUGUGUGAUUGUGUCUGAUUUGUUGUGUUGUGUUGUGUUCUGAUGCAGACGGAGAUUAAUUACUUGGGACAAUUGAGUCACCCCAAUCUAGUGAAACUGGUUGGUUAUUGCUUGGAGGAUGAGCACCAUCUUCUUGUAUAUGAGUUUAUGCAAAAAGGAAGUCUUGAGAACCAUCUAUUCAGAAGUAAGUCCUAUUGAUGAAACAUCUUUGAUAAGUUUAGUAGUAUAAUAGUUUCACUAGUUUUAUUCAUUAGCCUUUUGUAUGCUAAUUAUUUAUACAAAAUGCAUAGCUUAUCUAGAAAUGUCUUUACAUAAUUACAUGAAUAGUAACUUUCUUAAUAACUACAAGAAAAUAUAUUUUAGGCGAUUUUGUAAUAUCCUAACAAUCUUGUUUUCGUAUUGUGUAUUUGUACUAAUGGAAGUGGUUUUGGAGCAGGAGGUACAUAUUUUAAGCCGCUGCCAUGGUUUCUACGGGUCAAGGUUGCGCUUGAUGCAGCAAAGGGACUUGCUUUUCUUCAUAGUGACCCUGUCAAAGUGAUAUACCGAGACAUUAAGGCCUCCAACAUUUUGCUUGACGCUGUAAGGCAGAGAAUCACGUAUUGAAUGAAUUAGAUGAUCUCACUUUUUUACUGAUGACUUUGGGUUCCAUUGACAGGACUACAAUGGGAAGCUUUCUGACUUUGGGCUGGCGAGGGACGGUCCAACGGGUGAUCGAAGCUAUGUUAGUACAAGGGUUAUGGGUACAUAUGGCUAUGCGGCUCCCGAGUAUAUGUCUUCAGGUAUAAAGUCAACUAAAGGUUGAUCAAAUUCUAUAACCGGGUAUAGAUAUAAUGAAUACUUGUUUCAUCUUCCCGAUUUUGUAUACUUUUAGGUCACUUAAAUGCAAGAAGCGAUGUAUACAGUUUCGGUGUUGUGCUUUUGGAGAUUUUGACGGGUAAACAAGCGUUGGACCAUAACAGGCCGGCUAAAGAAGAAAAACUUGUGGAAUGGGCUCGACCGUACCUCACAAGCAAACGCAAGGUGCUCCAAGUAGUGGACGCUCGGCUGGACACGCAGUACCUACCCGAAGAGGCAGUGAGAUUGGCCAGCAUUGCUGUGCAGUGUCUCUCCAUCGAACCCAAGUCACGUCCGACCAUGGACCAAGUGGUCCGUGCCUUGCAACAACUUCAGGACAACUUGGGAAAACCGACUCAGCCCGAUCCGGUUAAGGAUGCCAAGAAACAGGGUCUUAAAACCGGAGCUAAGUUACAAGAAACACGAUUUAAACAAAGACCUUUUGGGAAGCAUUAAGCUGGUUAAUAGUUCAGUGAUGGACGGCCAGGCACUUGUUACUGCAAAUCCAAUACGGUUAUGGACAAACCGUGAAGGUCGAGAUUAAUAAAGGAUACAUAAAAUUUUGCCGGCAACAAGUCACAUACUCAACCUUAGAGAAACAUGUGGUUUUAGCCUUUAGGCUUCCUCACGUGCUAGUCGAAUGAAGUAUAUAUGUGGUAACUUUUUCUUGGUGUGUUGUAACCACUAUUGUAUUUUGUUUGUUCCUCAAAACAUUUGAUGUAGAGAUUUUUCGAAUAUCUCCAGUUUUUGAAUCAACAAUUUUUCAAUGUUACAAGCCAGAAUACUAGAAGUUAAUCAGUGAUGCAAAUGCAAAACAAAUAACACAAAUCCGAAUUUGAGUUUUCUUGGCUAAUGUAACUUAACCACUAGGUAAAGUAUUGUAGGUUGUUUUGGAGAGAAAAUUAUGCAAAAAGCAAUUUACAUGAAGCAAAUGAAAACCUUAUGAAAUAAAUCACAAAUGUAAAACCAAGGCACAACCGGUUUUAAAUAUUGUUCUCACCAUCGUUUUAUGUAAAUCUGUAUUGAGUUAUUAUCAAUUUUAAUUUAUGCGUUUUGGAUUGGGUAAUUACACUCUUGAAUCAAUAGUAGGGAGAAAUCGGGGAGCCGAGGCUUGAACUAUACUACGAACAGAGACCAACGCAAGAGAUGACCGAGCAGAAGAGGACACUGGCAAGACAUAAGCAUGUGAGACGCAACAGCUUUCCACUAAGACAUAAUCGUCGUCACAUCACUACUCUCUCAAGUACUCACUCAGGGCUCUCGUUCUGUUAUGUUCAUGGAUGCCACUUCUUCAUGUGCCUUUACAGGUAAGUAGUUAUACGUUGCCUAUUGUUUACGUUUAUAAGCUUUUCAAAUUAGUAGAUUAGCUUUUCACACAUAGUAAGAACUAAUAAACAAAUUAAAAAUAACUAUGAAUGCAUUCUUGUAUAUAAUUAACAAUUUACAAUAAGUUUGAAUCAAAGGUUAUUCAAAAUCAAAUUAGUUAAUUUUUUUAUAAUUUAUCAUCAUGAAAAUAUUUACAAAAUUUUGACCAAAAAAAGAAAAGAAAAUAUGUACAAAAUUAUAACAUCAAUUUUUUUAAUAAUUUUUCUUUAUCAAGAUAUUUAUCUUUUUAUAAAACGGAUAAAGUAUAUGAUGUAACAAAUUUUAGCUAAAUUCGUAAGUGGAGGAGACAUGUCCGGUUCAUAUCACCAAAAAUAAAAUAGUAAUGAAUAACAAGUAAAGGACCUUGUGGACUUGUGCUACGUUCGCAUCAAAUGCUGUCGGAAAAUACUUUUAUUGUUUACUUUUCAAUUCAUCGGUCAAAAAACCAGUUCCCACUUAUUAAAGGCGUUUUAGACCGUAUUAUUCUUGCUUCUCGUCACAAAAUCUAAGUGGGAACCCUGAGAAUCUAUCACUUUUCACUAACGUGCAUUAGCUACACUCUUCAGUGUCAGAGUACUGUACUACUGUGUCAGAGUAACUGUUUUGCAAAGGCUAGUUAAAAACAAACACGAAGAUUAGUAAAUAGUUUCACAACAUAACCAUGUUUUAGAUUACACGUUACAAGUUGUAACUUACAAGCCAACCAAUGUAAAAUACUUAAGUAGCUGCGGGCUGUUGCAAGAUUUUCUCACAGCCACUUCAGCUAAAUAUAACUCACAAUUAAAACACCAAAAAAAAAACAAAAACAUUAAUAAGAAAAUACACAUAAAAGUCAAAGAUACUAUUCUCCCCUCAAUUAGCGGGGAGAUUUCUUUUGUCUCGAGACUCUCGACCACUUCAAUGUUUAGUUUCUCGAAACUCACUUAGACCCUGAAAUUCUUCCCGACAAAGGUUUGACCAAACUGCCAGUUAGAAGGAACGAUGCUCCAUGAAGUAGAGGUUCUACGGUCACUGCCGGUGACACGGAAAGAAAGUGACUGACCAACCAAAACAGCGUUAGAUUGCCAGUUCUGACCCCAGUUCCUGCUCAGACUCAUCCAACCAGUCUUUGAACCUUUCACGCUCGUCCUCACGAUGUCUCCUGCUCCGGCAACGUUGGUGAUCAGAACCAAGUUGAAGUAACGGUGACCGUUGAUUGUGAACCUUAUUCCUCCUCUCUUUCUGCAUGGCACCCUACAAAAGAAGACCAACAAUUUUACACUCGUUUACUAACUUACUUGCAUGAAUAUAUGGAUUUUUUGUGUAUUAGAGAGCUAAUCUUUUUAGUUAAAUUAAAGCCAAAGUUCGUUAGUUAAAUUAUCUUAAACAAAAUAUUAUAAUGACACAACAAAAGAUUGUUUUUAGUAAGCCCUUUCUAAAAUAAGAUUGUUUCUAACUAAAUUGAGAGUUUACAUUAAUUUUAAGAGGUUUUUAACUUAGAAAUAUGUUAAAUAUUUGGUAUUUUUUAUGUUCUUGUAAUACAAGAUUUUGUACCUGCGGUAUGAGACAGGGACAAUGCCGGCACGGUAUUGAGCAAUCUUGAGGAAAACAGGCAUGGCUAGGUCGAAGUGUUCACGUGGUGGGUUGCACCAUCCACCAUUAUCGCUCGCCUGAGCAAAGUUUGGUGGGCAGAAGUUGGUUGCGGUAAUGAGGAUAGAUGGGCUACCUGAAUGGCACCACUGUGGGUCGUUGGCACAUUUUAGCUCAAAGCAGGCUCCACAACUCAUGCCGUUGUUAAACAGAGCCGUGCUCAAAGCAGCCGUGUUAGUUCCGUAGCCUUGGCUAUAAAGGUUACCGUAACCACAAGCUCCUCCUGUAAAGUCAAAACAGAUUAAAAAUCAUUUUGUUAAGAAUGAACCUUUCUUUUGGUGCAUCUACUCUGUUUUUGUGGACUGACCCAUAGUGCCGGAGGCGUCGCUGCCGCCGUAGAAAGUAGCGUGUGCGUUUUGCCACGCGCCACCGGAGUAGACGCCGGGGAUUCUUGCGUCAGCGAGGUUAAAGAGGAGAUAUGCAGUGAAGAGAAUUGCUAGUUUAAUAACAGCCAUUUUUGUUUGUGUUAAUUUGAGAAGGGGUUUUAAAUUACUCUGAGAGUAAAGAAGAUGAUGAAGAAAGAACAAGAGCGCUUUCUUUCGAGCUUGCGCUCCUGUUAAAGAAGAGUUACGUUUUGUUAAUGGGAGAGAUGAUGGUGAGGACUGAGCAGCAAUUGUGAGGUUCGGUAUUUAUGGAGGGAGGGUAACUCCAAAAUGAGAGAGAGAGAGAUUGAGAAAUAUUAUUGGCUAUCUUUUUAUUGUUUUUGUCAAAAUUAAACUUUAAAAAUUCGAUUACUAUUUCUACGUAAGGUGGAGGUAGGUUUGUAACCGUUUCGUCAUACUUUAUACAUAUAUUUUUAUCUAUUUUAUGUAGCUAGAUAGCAAUGAUACUCAAAUAUCUCAUUAUUUCGGCAAAAUAAAGAGUCUUGAGUUCACUUAUGCGAGGCGUUUCAAACUUAUGAUCGGCAAAAUAAGAAAAUGUAACUCGACGGAAAUUUUGUUUUUCUAUUAAGCUUAACUGUCAUUAGUAUAAUCGGUCACAAAUAUAUUUUUUAUAUAUCUCUUAACAAUUUUUUUUUACCAUUGCCGCUCAAAAAUUCACUUGCAUAGAAAAAUUUGAAAAGAAAAGAUUACUUUAUCAAAUCGAGUUUCAAAAGGAGAAAAAAAUAACAAAUGAACGGCUCCACAUUGCCCGCAUUCAACGGGGUAUCAGUUGUGAAUCACACAGUAUACACACGACCCGAACUCUAUCGGAUCUAUUCAAUCAAUGUUUUAUUUAUGUCAUGAAACUUGUCAAAAGAUCUACAUUAAAUAUCAAAGCUGUAGCACUUCUUAGUUCUCACGGACAAAAGUCAAAGCGUCGUAUAUAGUAUGUUUAUAUAAUAAAAAUUCUCAUAAAACUAAUGUUUAUCUAUGGACUUUAUAAAUAUACUUUGAUAGUUUGAAAACUUAAGAAGUAGUGGAUGAAGCUUUUGUUCUCUUGAAUUCGAGUUCAUUUCAAAAAUAAAUUACAGUUCUUAACUUUUAGUGAUUAGCUUCCGUAGUUUAGGUACAUGAACUUCCACUUUUUUUUCUUCUUGUUGAAAAAAGAACAUGCACACUAACACUCUUUAAUCUUUUUUAAUAAACACACUUUAGUCUUUAUGCAUCGGCGCGCCACCAUCAUCAAAAAGAGCAAUCUAAUAGAAUUGAAAUAUCAUAAGUGCCAACUUCAAGUUAAUAUGAUUAACUUUCAUUAACUUCUACUGUACUUAUAAACAUGAAAAUUAGUAUGUGUGAGAGAUUUUUGUUUAUUUUGUAUCAGUGUGAGAGAGAGAUAAUUGGCAAACGAGGAAAACAGUUAGGGGCGGUGACAGGUUGUCGAGCAGCGUUAAUAUAUGGCGAUGACAAGGCAUAUCUAUGCACCAACCAGAUCUUCUUAUAUCUGCCACUUCAGCCCAAGCAUUCAUACUUGGUAUUUUUUUCUAAUUGAUCUCGGCCACGUGUUGAAAAAUAUACAAUUAUUUUAUCUAAAAAAUAUUAUUAAAAUUUUAAAUUAUAUAAGAUAUUUUAGAUAAAAUAUGCUUAUUAAAACAAUUAUUUUUAUCUAAAAGAUAUUAUUAAAAUUUUAAAUUAAAAAUUACUUAACCAAUUACAAAAUAAAACUAUUAAAUUUGAUUGGUUACAAUUUUGAUAAAGUUAAAGAUACAUAGAAAUAUAAAAACAAUUUAUAUAUUUGAACAUAAAAAAUUUUCUAAACGUUUUAUAUUUUUGGAACGGAGGGAGUAUAACAUCAGCUCAACAAGCUUUUGUCAUAAGAAUACAAAUGCACUUGCAUGUGAACUAAGUAUCUACCACUCAUCUCCCAACAAAUUCCCGUAUUUACAUUUAUUUAGCUUCAGCGUUUAAAAACAAAAUAUUUUUUUUGUCUAAAUAUAAUAUUGGUAUCUAAUCUUCAAAUAUAGCCUAGACUUCUCUCCCACUCCCAAAAAAAAAAAACGAUUUAAGAAUUUAAAUUUGCCGUGUAAUAACCUCAAUCAAGCGUCAUCACAAAUGGUUUAGCAGAAUCAAAUUAAAUCAUAAAACAAGUGCAUCUGUUUUUUUUUUUUUUUGUAACUGAUGUGCAUCUGUUUUUCUUCUUUACUUAUUUUUAUAAACUAGAAAAGUCAUAAAUAUUCUACCGUAGGAGUAUUUUGACUAGAUAAGUUGUUGAUUGUUUGUUCGUCGGGUUCUAUAUUCACAUUGGCAAUGCAGUCGACCAACGAUUUUAGAACAUUUUGUGCCUAUAGUGCCGUGUGAGUCUGAGACUUGUGUGCCUGCUCUCCAUUAGUUAUAACGCGAGUAAUUAAAACGUUUUUUCCAACUUCCAAGAAACUCAAUAUCAGUGGCAUUAACCAACACUGAUGUUUUUGGGGGGCCAAAAUUUACACUCCAACAAUAUAUAUAUGGGCAUAUAUAUUGUAUUCAUCUGAAUAAAACAUUGUGUAUGAGCUUUUGAAUGAUACUUUUCAAAAUGCUUUAAAUGUAAAUUGAUAGGCUUGCUUGAUAAUGACUACUCCCUCCAUUUUUUAAUAUAAGUCGUUGUAGAGAAAUUUUUUUGUUUCAAAUUAUAUGUCGUUUUCGGUUUUCUAUGUAAAAUUUAUUAGUAAUUAAUGUUGUAUGACCAAUGGUAAUAUAUUUUUUAUUUUUCUAUUGGUUGAAUCGUGGUUAGGUAAAUAAUUAAUGAUGUUUUUGUUUAGAAAAUAUAAAAAAUUAAUAGUUUUCUUAAUCUACGUGUAUAGCUGUAAAACGACUUAUAUAAAAAAACGGAGGAAGUAUUAUUAUAUCGAAUGAUAUGAGCAUUGUGAAUAUUCAUAAACAAGCUCACUAAAUACUUAGGCGUAAGAAAUAAGUACGUAUAGAUUGCUAAUUGAGCUACAUUCAAGCAACAUAUAAAAUCAUUAUUAAUUUUUUUUUUUUUUGAAACUAUCAUUAUUAAAUUCUUUUAAUAUGGAAGUAUAAUUGAAUCGUGCAACUAGUUUGUAUAUCCAAUCUCAGCGAGCAAAAGAUAUCAUGAUUAAAAUGCUAUAUUUAUUAUUUCACACCUAUUUUUUGUUGUUUAAUUUUGUUUGCACUUUUUUUGAAGAGCACACAGUCAAUAGUCAGAGUCGUGCUCACCUUAUCAAUUUUGGGGCAUUGGGUUCAGGUCCCUUCUCACAUUAGUACAUUUUGAAGCUUCCAUAUUCAUAAAUCAUAUAAUCAAUAUAUGAUAGUAUGAUAAAAACUAUAAUUAUCUUUUAAUACUUUUUAAUAAUAUGACCAUUUAUGCUUAGUUGUUGUGAAAUUUUAUUGUAUAUUUUUUUUAUUUUGAAUGUCGAAAACAUUUUCUUGUAUAUAAUUUGAGUUUGUAUAUACAAUUUUCAGUUGUAACCAAAAUAUAACUUUUGCCAUUAAUUUUCAUAAAACUGAUUUUUCUUAAAAAUAAUUUUAAAAUAGAAAAUGAAAAAAAAACAAUUUAUUUUCUGAUUUGUAUUAGAAAAAAUUAAUACGUAUAUUUAAAUAUAAAAUAAAUUAUUUUUGUCCUAAGUUCCUAAUAGCCUUCGCACGGCACUGUCAAUAGUAUGUACUACUAAAGAGUGAAUCCUACUCAAAUUUUGAGGACAAAUGGAACGACAUCAUCUCAUACGAGGUGGGCUAUGAAUCAUGAGUUGAUAGAAGUGGCAGAAGGGUAAAUUGUAAUUGCCAAAAAGGUAACUGAGACCACACAUGCUACGCCAUAACCCCAUAGUAGGAACUCAAGAUUUCCCUCGCAACUUCGCAAUACAAACAAAGAGAUCAGCAGAUAAUAACUGCAGUGAAACUCAAAUUAGUUGAAUAAAUAUAUGAAAUUUGAAAUUGAUCGUUGCGCUAAUAUAGUUUCCCUGGCGCACAUUUUUUAAAUCUCUAGUAAGAAAAAGAAACAGAAAUUAAACGUUCAAUAGCGUAAGGGUAAGGGAGUGGACCAUUGCCAAAUUUAUGCUCCCCUUUUUCUUUUUGAGAAAGAUUUUCAUGUCUCCCCUCUGCAUGCAUCGAUGUCUCGCGCUCAUAAUUAUUAGGCUUUACGCUAAAUGUUUUUCACGCAAAGCAAAAUUCGAAUCCUAUAUUUAUUAUGUUUCACCUUUUCUCUUAACAUUUCAUUGGAUUCUUGUACGCUAUUUCACAUUCAUGUGUAUUUAGAGCAAUGUAAAACUCAAUUUUUUUUAAAAAAAUGGAGUUAUUUAUAAUGCAGUUGAGAUUUGUUUCAACUCUAUUCUUUAGUGUUGGAUUGAAAAAUGGAAUAAUGAACAAAAAAAAUAAAAUUAUGUUUUCAUUUAUGGAGUAAAUCAUUUUUACUUUAUCAUGAAGUGAAAAAUAAGUAAAAUUGAAAUAUUUAUUAUUUUAAACUCUAUUUUGAAGUGAAUUAUGGAUGUCGUCUCUCGCUAAAUAUAAUUCCAUUUUAAUUAAAUUUAUGUAUCUGUAUAUUAUAUCUAUAUCUAUAUUUGUAUAUGAAUAUAUGUUUCUUUUAUCAGUUUAUCAUAUCAUCAGAUUUGUUGAUUUGCUCCAGUAAAAACCAUUUCGCACAAGCUUUUUAGCCGAUACAACUUAGUCUACAAGCCAGCCAAUGAUCGUUGAUUAAUAAUGCCAAACUCUUCAUAAGUCAGGGCUGCCUUUCAUGACCAAUUAAUUAGCCUGUAUAAUAUUUUCUCUAAUAGUCGUAGUUUGGUUCUUCAGCGUCAAUGGUGAGAAUAUGUCUUACACGAUUUUUUAUAGUUUUAUUGUAAUACUAGUAACAAGAAUAGAACAACCUUUACUAAUUAGUGGUGUGAUUGGAUAUAUCUAAUAUUGCUGUUAUUUUUAUUACAAAAUAUGAGCAACGACCGACGGUGUUGCUUACGAACAAAGCGAAGUUAUAUAGGACAUACAUUUAUUUGCUUUAACUUUGAUAAAGUACCUAUCAACUAACUUAACCUCCACGACGAUUCGAUAUCUUUAGUUAGGUUCAUUUGUCUCCAUACACGAUUUCUUUAAGUUAAAAUUCUCUUGUUGACCUUUGUUCUCAAAAACUAGCGUCACCUUUGUUCUCAUUUUCUUUUUGUUUGACAUUUUGAAAUAUUAUUUCGUCAACCAACUGAAUAUUUUUGUUAUCUAGUAUCAAUUCAGCCGAAUCAAAUAGUUGAAGAGACAAUUUAGCAAGGGAAUCAAUUAGAAAAAGACAAACUUGGGUGUUGUAGACGAUGCCAAAAGGCCGUGACCGUUCUCCAGACAGGGUAAAUCCGAUGGGUGAUUAUGCAACAUAUUUAAUCAUAGAUGCUAGUAUGACAUGUUUAUUAGUCAGGUUCUAAUAUUUUGGAACGUUGAAUUAUGUAACAUGAGUCGUGCUCGGUGUAGGAAUUCAACUUAGGGUUGUUCUAGCGGAGGCAAAAGAGUAUGUGUUUACGCCAGUUGGGCACUUCAAAGCAUGAGAGGAGUAUGAAUCAAUCGAACAUCAUUUCUGUUGGGUCCUCCUCAAUAGAUUUAAUUAAGGCCCUGAAUAAAUCACUCCAAUGGCUUGCGUUAUUGGGUCAUAUUGUAGGUUUGCUAAAUUAUAGCAAAGAUCAAGUGGCCUGAGACUUAUAUUUUGAAAAAAGUAAUUCAAGUGAUCGAGGAGAGUUUGAGAUAGCCAAUGACUGAUGGGCAAGGUCGGAUCUAAAAUUACAGAGACCAUAAACAUGUUUACCUAAUUAAUUUUUUUUGAUAGUUGAAGGGCAUGAGAUUUAUGUGUAAAUAACUCUUUAAAAUUUGAAGGACAAUGCAAUUAUUUCAUCAAAAUCUGCUGAGAACCGGCCUUACUGAUAGCCAUUUUCAGUUUUGGUCGAGACUUGAGAGGAUGGUCGGUCUUGAGGAAAACUAAAUGAAAUAUUGGUCAGAUUUCCAAAAUUUUUGAAAAAAAUUACACAGACAUAGUCAAAGGUAGUCGAAGUGUAGGUGUAGACUAAACCCCAUAAACAAACGUAACUCUCUCGAUGAUGAUUGUUAGCUAGCAAACUUUUAGGCUCUUUCCUGAACCCCAUAACUAAUAUAUUUCAAAGUGCUAGUCAUCGGGUAACUAUUGGAAACAAAAGACGACACUAAAUGGCUACCUUCGUCAGUAUAUUCCAGUUACUUGAAUGAACAUUCUUUUGAGAAAAAGACCUUAUUCUGUCUAAAUCGACUGCUUGGAUUACAGAUGUGUUAGGAGGCUCGAGAUGUGUUCAACUCAUUAUGAUGUACAAAGUGAUUAUGCUUUUUCAACAUAUAAGUCAAAUGGUCGUAUAUUGGUCUUGAUGAUCCAUCUUAGAUACGAUGUGUGACAUUAAAACACCACGAUUAUGAUCAAAAACCACACAUGGAAGAUAAUGAAUGAGCCAGAAAAUAGGAAACAGAAAACCGCAAUUCAGUGUUCUCUUCUCAUUGACAGAAAGAGUUCAUUAACUUCAUUGACAUACCAAGCUCAAUAAAGCAUAUAACAGGUCUUAACAGAAUAUGGCUAACACUACAAAGGCUGUCUCCAAUUAUCGAGAGCAUCAUCAGAGAUGCGUUGUAAUAACUCUAUUAUUGUCCACGUUUUCUUUCUACUAAAGUGACCACAAAAUAAUUGUUCCCUUUUAAAGAUUCUAGCCUACCAUCAUAUCAUUUGCUCUGUCUGUCGUUCAAAGAUUAUAUAGCUGUACAAUUAUAGAAACUCAAACUGUACUUAGUAGUAACACACAAUAACUACCAAAGAGGUUUAUACCUAAUCAAAUCAAUCUCACUAAACCCUAAAGCUUUUAUGUAUCAAUUUACUCGCAUAGAUUAAAGAAUAUAAUCAUUAUUACACUGAAGAACACAAAAAAAAUGUGAAAAAUUCAAACAAGAGGGUUUUGUCUUUUAAUGUUUUGUUUUUUUUUUUACCUUAAGAUAAAUUAAGCUAAUAGAGCUAAUGUCGUCUCCUUGAAGAAGAAGCAGUCCUGAACAUAGAAAACGACGAACUGCUCCUCCGGGUUGAUCUCGACCCGGACCCCGAUCCAGCAGCUACGGAUCCAGACGACCCGCUGAAACAUCCGAAAAGUCUCAUAAUCCGACCCGCAAACCCGCCGGAUCUCUCUCUACUACCACCACCUCCUUCUCUCCCUCCUCUUCUCGAACCCCACGCCACUCUCCUCGGAAGCCUCUCGUCUCCGAGCCUCCCGCCGUCGACCUCCGUGUACACCACCGGCAUCAUCCUAUCUCCUCCCCUCCAUCCUCCGGGGAUCCUCCCCACCGCGAAUCCUCCGCCCGGUAACCUCCAAAUCGUCAAUCCCGCAGCGGAAUCCUCCUCCUCUUCGUUUACCACCGCUCCGCCGCCGCCGUCAUCCCCCGCCGACGGAAGCUCGUGGCGGCACACCGGACACGAGUUUCGAAUCGCGAGCCAGGGGAGGAUGCAAUCGGGAUGGUAGAUGUGGUUGCACGGCAUCUCCCGGGCGGCGGAUUUCAACUCGAAGUUUUCUUUACAAACGGCGCAGUGAGAUUGAGAAUCCGAUUCGAGAUGGGUCGGGUCGAUCUCGAUCACGGGUAAAGCCUCGACGGCGGAUUUAGAAGCGGGUGGGUUAUCACAUGAGUUGUUGUUGUUGGCUGUGAGUUCGAUCUGAGAGAUCUGAUCUAACAGCCGAUCGAAUCCGGAGCCUAAGAGAAACUCCGUCAUGCUCGGCGGCAACGGUCUGAGGCCUGAGUCGGUGCCGUCGUCGUAGUACAUCUGGAAAGCGGAUUCGGAGGGGUUAGAUCCGCCGCGGAGGACGAUGACGGGGUUGGGAGAGCGGUUGCUUGAGUUGCUUCUUGUGCGGGUGACGGUGGGAGGAGGAGGAGGAGGGCUGUUCUCCGCCGUGUGCAUGGAGGAGGAGGAGGAGGAAGGGGGAGGGAAGCGCGUGGGGCUGCGGUGGUGACGGAGGAAGGAGGAGGGAGGUGUGAAAUCGAGGGAUUGUUGGAUGUGUUCGAGGAAGCCUCCGUCGCAGUCGGGGCAGGAGAUGGAGUCGGAGACCCAGACGAAGCGGCUGCAGCUGUAACACCAGUACGAUCCGGAAGAAGACAUGGUGAGAAUGGAAUCGAAAUCAAAAGAACAUCUGGGAGAGUUUUUGAUUGAUUGACUAAACGGAGAAGAAGAAGAGGAGAGAGAGAGGGGAUGAGGAGGGGAAAGGGACGGUCGUGGUUUGUCUUAACAAGAAACCGUCCAACUCGUGUGUUGUCACGUUCUCUUUCUCAUGUCUCUUCCUCCUCUCUUUUUUUUUUUUUUUUCUUUCUUUAAUCUUUUGGUUGUUUGUUGCUGCUAUUAAACAAAAACUGUUUUUAAUACGUUUUCUUCUUUCUUAUCUCGCGUUACCUUUUUUUAUACAAACUGUUCCAAAACUGAUUAUAGUAAAACAAAAUUUAAAUCGUACAGGUAUGGAAAGUAAAUAAAAUGAUUUAAGAAAGAGUUGAUUACAUUAUAGGACACAUUUAGUCUUUCUCUUACACUAGAAGACACAUACCACAUGUGAGACACUUUUUGGUGGGACCUAAUGUUUAGUUUGACAAAAACGCCCUUGUGAUAAACUUUUACCGAAAAGUUUGUGUUUCUAGUUUAGUUAUUACUUUUUGUCUUUGGUGGUUUGGUUAGUCAAAGAUUUAUUUUUAGGUCGUUUCUUUUGUUGUUUGAAUUUUUUUUAAGAACAAAUAUUUUGGUUAUACAUGUGGAUGUUAAUGUUACUGUGUCCACAGAUAAAAACGAUUUUUGAAAUUUGUGGAUAGUACAUAAUUUUAUUAUAUGCGGAUACUACGUCGAAGUGGGUUGCGCUAUUAUUUUGUAUUUGAACAAAGGUUUUUAUUAUGUUGCGUAUGUGGAUGCCAAUGUGUACACUGAUAAAAAUGGAGGUUUCUUACUAACUUCAAACAUGUCCAGGAAGAAAAAAAAGUGCGAGUGUUGAAAAACAACCACAUACAAAGCCAUCCUCAGAUAUAUCAAUCAACUGGUAGUCAAUACGGUUCACAUGUGGAACCUAACAAAGAGAAAAACAAUCUGAGUCAGAUCAUAUAUGUCGUAUAUAUAAAACCAAUCUUGUUAAAGUUUGUUGUUCUAAGACUUAAAACCCAAUUGUGGGAAGAAAGAAUAUCUUCGAGCUUCUUGGCAGUGAAGAUAUCAAUGGUAACAAAGUGACUUUGAAAAGACUAGUGAAGAAGAUGAAGCUGGUUCUGGCGCUACUAAUACGGAAGGGAAGCCUAUGAUUCCGAUAGUUAACACGGUGGAGAAACCAUGCCCGCAAUUAGAGAUCGAGAUCGAUCGUCAUCACUUUUCUCCAAGAGCUCCUCGUUAAAGUUUGUGGAUGUGUCCUCCUAUAAGUCCAAAACUCCAUAGCUUAAUGUAUAUUACAUAGCAGGAGAUAGAUAAACAGAGAGUUAGAAAGCUGACCAACUUUAGCUCCUUUCUCAACGACGCAUAUUGACAGAUCAGUGUUCUUCUCCUGACAUAGCUGCUUCGAUCGUAUUGCAGCAGGUGGACCAGCCUGUCCAGCUCCAAUGUUCAGAACGUCAAACUCUAUAGCCCUCGACUUUGAGCUGGCAGCUCGCGACUUUCGACGAAACGGAAUAAGGAUACCCAGAUCGAGAAAGGAGUAGAUUAGCAGGGUGUGAGGUCCUUGGAGAAGGAGGAGGAGACUGAAGCUUUAACAUCAAACAACUCGUUUGGAGUAGUCGUGUGAACAAUACGGGGCCAAUUAAGAUUCGUGGACGGAUGAUGCAUGGAUGAGUGAUGUGUGGACGUUUGUUGUGUGGACGGGUGAUGCGUGGACGGGUGAUGUGUGAACGUAAAGAUCGUCACUUUCCUAGGGGUUGUCUUUGUGACAGAAUCUCCGCCGUAAAGAUCGGUACUUUCCUCGUCUCCACCACCAGGUUUGGUCUCAGGCCCAUUGUCCAUGGCUUCCUCUCACUUAUAAUGAACCUGAGAAAAUACAAACCUCGUCACUGGUACAGAUCUCGCUCGCUGGAUCUCCUAAACCUCUCUCUGAUCGUGCUUCUGAAUCCUCAUAUUCUCUCAUGGGAACAACCAUUCCACUGUCAAUCUAACUUCUUCUUGUCCUACAUCUUUGUAUUUUUUGUUGUUGUUGUAAUUGUCUUCUCUGUUCUCUUCUUAUUAUCCAAGAUAUGGUUCAUCUAGGAUUCUAGGGAAGAUAAAGAUUUGAUGGAAGAAGCACUGGCAUUUUCGCAAACACUUGGCAGAGCGCUUUAAGAGCACUAAGACCACUGAAUCCACCUCUCAAAACCAGAUUUUGAGCGUAAGCGAAAGAUCUGCAGCAACUCACGACAUCAAGAUCACAAUCAGAUCGAGACUCUUAAUAGACACAUAUACUCAAAUCGAGACUUACACGCGACUGGUAGACUGAAAGGAAGAGUCGGAAUCCCCAUGAAUUGGGGACACAGCUCCGAUCAAGAAUCGCCGCUGUGUCAAUACCGGAUAAAAUUUAACACUGAUUCUUCUGGGACUAGAGCCAUCAACUGGGUGUAGAAGGAAGUGACGAUCCCUGAAAACUUGAUGCAGAAAACAAUGGAGGUGGGCACUGCCAUAACUUUGCUUACCACAUACUAGUGAGAGUUGAAGGAGGGAGAGAGAUGUAUGAUGGAUCUCUCAUCUCUCAUAAAGCUAACGCCUUUAAACAAAAAUUUUAUAGAAAAUAUUAUAUUUGCGUCUAGAAAAUAAUUUCUGAGUUGAAACUUAAAAGAAGGGUAAGAUGGACAAUAAACACUCAGAAUGUGUCUCUCAAGUGGAAUGUGACUUGGGAUGAAAUUGUAAAGUGAUAAAGUGCCUUAGAGAGUAAAAAUUUCUUUAAGAAAUUAGCGAUGAUUUGAUGGCAUAGCUAAACUCCACAUUAGAAUCAAGAGAUCUGAGGUGUAUUAAUUAAAGAAUAAUGAAAAUCAUAGGUUAUGACAUAAUUUAAUAAGAGAGUAAUGAGAAUUUCCUAAGUAAGCCCAUUACAUUUAAAAUAAGAGCCCAUUAAAACUUUUUAACUUUGCCUCAAAAGUCUUUUCUUACACUUCUCGGUCUUGCAGUUUUAUUUUUUCUAAGAGCAAUCUCAACCCUUUGUUAUUUUCACCUCUAUAAUAGCAUUUAUAGGUUAAAUUGUUCCAAACCACCUCUAUUUCUUCCUCUAUAAUAGAGAUCGAUCUCUAUUUUUUACUCUAUUUAUAAAGGAAGAAAUAGCAUUCCUCUAUUUUUUACUCUAUAUUUUAGAGAUUGCUAUUUUAGGGGAAUACAUUGGAGCAUAUCUCACCUCUAUUAUAGAGUUCCCCUAUUUUAGAGGUGAAAAUAGCAAAAUACAUUGGAAAUGGUCUAAUUACUAGGUUCGGGCCUAGUCCCUCCAUGCCCGAAACUACAACAUGUGAUAUUAGUUCUGUCAUAUCAGUCACUCAAAUUGGGACUUCUGGGUCGGUAUUACAGGUUCGGGUAGAAGCCUAGUCGCUCCAUGCGCAUGCCCGCAUGUAAUAUUAGUUCUGUCACAUCAAGUCACUCAAACUGGGACCUCUAACACAAUGGUCAGAAUCUUUUCCAAUUGUGUUAAUGACUUCUGGUUCGUUCGGUUUUAUCAGUUUUGGAGCGAUUUGAUCAUUUGCAGGUACGCUUCACAACGUCUUCUUCUUCGUUGCAGAUUCUGUUUUUUUUUUUCCCUUGGUCAAAGCAGAUUCUGUCUUUCUUCUCUGAAUUUUGAUAGGUUACCUGAAUAAUAUGCAUACAGAUUAGUUUUGAUUAAAUGGCUCAUAAUCAUCAUAUGCACUCUGCACUUUGAUUCAUGGAAAUCGAAUCAUUCUCUUUCACAUCACUAUCCUUCUUUUGUAAUAUAGAAAUUUCUCACCGAUCUAUAAUUGCAUCAGACCAUUCUAGAAACCUUUCUUUUGUGCAUGUUCAUCGUGAUUCUCUUUAGCUUCAUUGAUUCUUCUUUACUUUGAAAUGCAUUACAUUAACUUGUUUCGAGUUAUGUUCAUACAUUUUCAUCAUCAUCGUAUGCACUCAUGCUUUACCUUGUAAAUGUAGAUACAUUUUCUGGCUAAGUAGUUUGGGAGUGAUAGAAGAGUGCAGUUGAUGCACAUUGAAAGAAGAAACGUGAAAGAUAUUAAGGAAAAAGUGCCACAUCAAAGUUGUAAGAGAUAGUAACAGCUUAUUGUCAGUUGGUUUUGAAUUUAAAUUUCAUCAAAUUUAAUAUGGAACAACUCAACCUGAUCUACAAUCGAUUCGUCAAAUAUUCCGAGACUAUGGCCAAAGAACUAUAGUUGGAAUGCCAUCUACUUAAUAAAGCAAACAAAAAGUUGAGAAAUGGUUUAUGACAAGGGAAUCUUACAAUAUUAAUGUUUGCACAUGAUCACAAAAAAAGAGAGUACAUGAAGCAAUCCAAAAUUACACAAAAGGCAACAAAAAAGAGAGACAGUAGUAGAAACACAGCAACUUAACAAAGGGGAAACUCAAAAGUUGUAGACACAAGUUCCAUCAUCACUUCUAGCUGUUGGAUCAAAGUUGUCGGCUUGAGGAUCAGUACACCCUUCUGGAACAGGAAGGUUCACUUGCUGUGCUGCUUUACCUGCAAGGCAAGUUACACCCAUUUCAAAAACCCUAAUUCCAUUUUUAUGCUCUCGUUCAAAAACGAAAAACAAAGGAGUUCAAACCUCGAGUUCUAACCAUAGAAAGUUCCGCGGCCAAUGGCGUCCGCGUUUGCGUCUCCCAAGGCAGCCUCGUUAAGGUAUUGGUCAGCAAGUUGGACUCUCUUGACGUUCUCUUGCUCCAUCACAAGCAUGUUUCCGUACUCCAUAAGCUUCUCAAGAGUCAUCGCUGGUUGCUCGAACACUGGAGGACCUUCCCUAGAGUUCACCAGCCUCUUUCCUAUCUUCUCAACUCCAAGUCCCUCAACGAACUUCCUCACUUCAUCAUCGUACACUCUCGCCCUCAAUGCACCAAAGAAAUCUAUCCACACAAUAAAAGAAUCAGAAUCACAUGAAAAAAAGACAAUAAUAACAAGUACUCGUGAUCAUCUUUAUUACCGAUAGAUUGUCCAGGGAACUGGUCAACAAGCGUGACAAUGUCUUCAUCCUUAACGUUAUCAGUCCUGAAGAUACCCUUGCAGACACCAAUACGGUCCUCACGUGUGGGUGCCCAGUAGAACUUCUCCAUACGCCCGUCACGGAUGAGAGGUGCGUAGAGAGUGGAGAAAUCGUUACCGGUGACGAUGAUGGGGACACGUGCGUUUUCUUCCUUGUUGUACAUUCCCGGGAGCUGGACGUUGGUUGGGUUAUCAGCAAUGUUCAUGAGGGUUGCGUUAACCAUCUGGUUGUUGACUGUGUACUGAGUAGUACCACCCAUACGACCAGCACCAGCGUCGAGAUCGUUGAUGAAUAGACAACACAUUUUUCCCUUUUUGAUCAUGUCUGCUGCUUCACGGUACCUUUGACGGAUCAGCUUGGCUGGUUCUCCUGCGUUUCCACUCUCAAGCUCUCCAGCACUCAUCAUGAUUGGGCUGCAAAAAAGGAUUUAACCAUUUUAAUAUUUUAGUUAUUAUUAUUGUCAAAUUCACUUUUUUUUUAUUGUUAUUGAUUUUGUUUUUUGUUUUUUUUUUGUAACAUGUUAUUGAUUUUUGUUAUCAUUUGGUUUACUCAAACAUUCUAUUUUUCUAUUGAAUUUUCAAGACAAAUAUAAAUUCUAACUUUGUGGGAUAAAAUGUGACUGGAACCUGUUAUAUAGAUUAGAGAGAGAGAAGACUCACUUGAUGCCCAUCUUGGCCAUGACAAGCUCACACUGGAAGGAUUUACCUUGACCUUUGCCUCCCCAAAUACCCAAAAUAAGUGGAACCUAUAAAAAUAAAAGAAGUAUUAUACAUACGUCCCAUAGUCUUCAAAUUGUUGAUUUUUUAUUAUUAUUAAGAUUAACCUAAAAAAUGUUUAUGACCCCUAAAUCUCAGAUCCGGCCUUCUCUAUGUACCUCAAGAAACUGUGAUAUUAUUAGUUACCUUGAUGUUAGGCAAGGUCAAGAAGUUCUUGGUGAUGUGAACAACAAGCUUGUCCAUGAAAGCAGGAGCAAUGUAAAGCCCAUCCAUCAUGUUGUCCAAGUUGUACCUAUUUAUCAACAAGAAGAAACAAUUUUAAAAAAUCCUAACCUUAUGGGAACUAAUGAGAGGUCUCUAAGAGAGAUGAACAACUUACUGCUUAAGACCUUGGCUAAUGUACUCAUAGGAGCUAAGAACGGCAUUGUGAGUUCCGGUUCCCAUGGGAGCUUGGAAGACAGAGUCAACCAUACCUUUGCCUCUGGUGAUGUCUUGUUGAUCAUCAGACGUGUCGUAGGCAAGUCCCCUCCAUCUGUCUCCAUCGGUUUGUUUGUCUUCUUUGACAGCGACCACUUUGAAUGAUCCGUUGCUCUUCUUGUUGUUGCUCUGUGUGAAUCUCGACGCGGUUACAACUUUCUUUCCCAAGAAGGUCGUAGCUGGGACUGAAGCAGCUCCUGCUCCUGACCCGUUCAAGCUCAACUACAACACACACACACAGAAACAAGCCAAACUCAGUUCUGAACUCAAACUUAGAUUCUAACGACGUAGUGAAGACGGAGAAGGAGACUGGUUGAAAGUACCGGAGCUCUGUUGAUGGCACCGACGGUGGAAACUGCGGCGGCCAUUUCCCCACGAGUGUUGCGUCACACAAAAAGCUGAGAGAGAGAGAGAGAGAUUUUGAUCGGAAAAGAUGGAAAAUAGAUGUUGGUGUGUGUGCAAGAAACUCAAGAGAUUUAUAAACGGAGUGAUCAACAACUACUACGUUAUCUCUUCUCAACUCUCUGAUGCCACACGAUGCGGAUUGGCCAACUUGCCACGUGGCGACAGUAGGAAGCCGAUGAGGAUAGUACUAUCUUGAUUGGUCCACGUGGCACAUGUUUAUGAGGUUGUCGUGAAACGGUUGAUAUGUGCCACUGGAUUUGUUUUUGGCGUCUUUUAGCUUGAAGUGAAGAUUAUAACACUAUUUAUUACCACAUAUUCAUAUGUGAUCAAGAAACUUCUCUAGAACUUUUCAUACAAUAAAAUUCCAAUUUUUAGAUAAUGACAUUACUUGGUGAUGGUAUUGUUCUAAAUUACCAGUGCAAAGUGAUUGGCCGAGAGAAAUUGUCUAUAGCCAAUAAUGUAUAUUUCUAAUAUUAUCAUUAACCAUAUGGUUAACAAACUGAUCAUAAUUCUACCAACCGCUCACAGCUAUUAUUAUUAUUCCUUCCGUUUCGUUUUAAAGGUUAUUGCAGACCUAUUAAGAAAAUCAUUAAAUUUUCUAUUAUAUACCUAUUUAGUCCUCUAUACUCUACUUUAUCUGUUUUUGUUAUUUAACGAACUCAAAAAGAAAGAUAAAAUUGGAAAAACUAUCAAACACUUGCAUUGAAAAUAUAAAACUACAUUUAUAAUAAUAAAACAAAUUAAAAGCAUACAGCGACGUCAAAAAUGAAUUGGAGCGAGUAUUAUUUACGUUUUUCUGCACUAAUAUAAUUAAAUGUUAUAUAAAAUGUUGAAAAUACCAUGGCUUGAUCAUCACAUAUUUUUGUCGGAUACUGUAUUUUUCACCUUAGAGAAAGUCUGAGGACUAGGCAAAGCUUUACUCAGUAAAACACCAAAAAGAAAUUUACAGUCACAUAAUGAGAAAAAAAAAUACAAACAAUAAAGAGAUUACCAAACAAUACAUUUGUGUCGUGUAAGUGCAGUAGUUUGCCUUUGUAUUAAGCCUUAAGGAGACGCUUCUCGCAUGUUAGAAUCCUGUAACUUGCGUGAGGACCCUCGGAUGUGUCACGCAGAGAUGUUUGCCAACCCAUUGCCUUUGUGAUCUCUUGAAUCUCAUCCAUAACAUCAAUUGAAUCCCUAAUGUAUGCUCGUCCUCCAGGUCUCAGUAUCCGGUCCAUCUCUAACAAUAUGGUCGACAUCUCGCAUCUGAUACAACCAAAGUAAUCCAUGAGUGUUAAACCAUUACUCAGCUUUAUAACUCAUUGUACAAAAGUAGAAGGGCCAUCAUCAAUGGUUGAUAAUUAUUUACCUUUUUCUUUCUACUGAGAAGAGUCCUGAUGCAUGUAAGAAGUCAUAGGUCCUAGGGUAUGUAUCAAAUGGUUCACACCUGUUGCAGAAUGCAAGGUUUGUUAAAAAUAGUCAGAACCUUCGAAGACAUGAGCUCGAAAAGCAAGAAGCAUGCAAUACUCUUCGAAGAUUCACUAAUUUUAUGUUUUUGUGUGACAGAUUUAAGGAGAAAAGCAGUACCAGUCGUGCAUCACUCCUAAUAGUCCACGAUCAUAAAUGACAGGCAAUGUAUUAGGCCCGCUGAUAGGAACUACAUUGAGAACCCAGCAAUCGAGUUUAUGAUCAUUUAGUGCAGCUGCAAAUCUGCCACAAACAAAGAGAUGUUAGCUAAGAAACUAAGGUGUCAUUAUAUAUUGACAUAGUACUCAACAGAGAGGUUAUCGUUUCAUACCCGCCAAAGCCUGCUUUCAUGUCCAUGACGUUUCUUAGUUUCAUCUUUUUCCAUUUCAUGGCACGAAUAUAACUCCCAAUUAUUUCAUUCCAGAAUUUUGACUCUGCCUUGAAUAGCUCUUUCCUAGCAAUGUAGGAAUCAAAUGUGAUCGUCUGUAGCCUAUCAGGUGGAGUGUGGAGACGGUCAGGCCAUGAAGGAACAUUGCCUCCAUAUCCAUUCUCAGGUAUGCGACUGAUACAAGGUUUCAGGUUUGUGUACCUAAAGCAAGAACAAAACAAUAUGAGACAUAGAAAGUUUGAUUUUUAUGCACACAUUGUCAAAGACCAAGUCUAUAGGCAAACUAGAUGCAAUCAAACAAGCAAAUUUUGUCUUUGUCUUUGUACAAAGAAAGAAAGACAAAAAGAUUUCGUAGCUGUACCAGACAUUAUCGGGGUCAUCAGAUUCAUCGCAGAGAGGUUGUUUGGUUCCAGCCUCACGACUCAAAUAACAGGUGUUGUUGAGGGGCUUCUGCCAGAUUGCAAUGUAUCCUUCCUUCUGUACCAGUUUCCAGCAAAGGCUAUUCGUAAGAUUCAGCAUCUCUGCAAACCAAAACGUGAGAUUAAAAGAGCAGACCAUAUUGGCUGAAUCAAAGUAGCGAAUGAAAAAAAAAAAAAACUCUCUCCAUACCCACAGAGAAUAAAAGGGUUGUUACCUGUCCACUGUUCUUCCAGCGCAGCUUCAUGCUUAUAAACAGGUUGUGCAGCCCAAGCAAAAUAUCCUCCAGCCCGCAGCAUUCUAUUGAUCUCAAGGAGCAAAAUUCCAUCUUCAUCACAAAACAAAAACAGCAGAAUGAGAAUUUUCUUCAGAAGGAAUAGAAGCUAAAGCGUUCAUAUCUUUCUUCUCUACCAGGUGAAGAAUCAAGUAUAUCAAAGAGCCUUACCAUCACGGGUCCAGUUGAUUCUACAUCUCGAACAAUGAAUAAGAUCAAAAGCUUGGCUUGGAUACAACAAACGCCUUGUAGCAAAAGCAGCCGCCAUAGCGGGCACACCACGCUCAAGAGCAAACUGAAUCUGGUUCUCGUGGACAUCUUUUGGCGCAACAGACAUUGUCAAAACAUCGCGUGACAGCAAAUAAGCGCCAAAACUCGCCACACCACAACCAACAUCCAUAGCAACCCGAAUAUGCUUUCCAAACGUGAUAUCAGAAACCAUCUGCCAACACAAACUCCACAGUUCAACAUCAGAUGAAAAGAUGGCAUAAACCAAGAACUACCACUUGUUGAAAAAUGAAGCAACCUUAGACAUCUGGUCCAGAUACUGGUCAGCUCCAUGAAUAAACUGCGUUCCACCCCCAGGAAACUUGAACUUGUUCUUGUCUUUUGUGUCUCGCGAGAUCCAGUUUUGUCCACCUUUGUCUUCCACAAGACGAGUAUGAGGAACAUUGCUGAACCACACCUAUCCAUAAAACAACUCUUAAUCUUAAGCAAACCUCAAAAACAACAAAAACUGCAAUCAGAGCCGGUCCUGAGAUUUUUGGGAGUUAAAACAAUUACUAAAUUGUUGUUCAAAAAAAAAAAAACAAUUACUAAAUCAUCAAAUAUAUAUCUUUUUAAUCAAUUUAGGAGCCUAAUCAUCUAUCCACAUUAGUAAUUCAAAUUAUGGAGGCCGAGUAAGAGGAACAUUGCUGAACCACAACUAUCCGUAAAACAACUCAUCUUAAUCUUAAGCAAACCUCAAAAAAAAGAUUGCAUAGCGGAAGCUACGAUAACACAAUGUAUAUGGCUAAGCUCAGGACAGGCUCUGAUUACAAGCAAAUGAGUAGUACCUCGUCGCGGCUUCUAGGCCAAGGAAUAGGCUGACGGUAGCCUCUAGGAGGAGGAACCAAACAGUUCAAGCCAUUGCCUUUCUCAGGGCAAUGCCGCUCGAACUUCUCUCCACGCUCAGUAGAUUCAAGCUUCUUGAUCGCAUCAGCGUUAUCCAAACAAGGAAUGUACUCUCUCAUACUCUCGGGACACAUCCCGAACUUCUUGAUUCUAAACCUAUUAGGUUUAGACUCGCCGUCUCUUUCCGAUUCCACGGUCUCCGUUUGGUUCCCCCAAUCCUCCACGUUCUCGACCUCCCCCACCUCGAAAUCGUCGGACAUCGCGCCGUUCUCAUCGACAACCCCGAAGCUCUGGAUCGGAGGAGGAGGAGGAGGAUUGGGCUCCGUCUCCGUCACUACCGACGGAAUCGGAAUCGGAUUCGGCGGUGUUGUGGUUUGAUUGGAAGGGAUGAUCGCUGAUAGAUUGAAGGUUUUGUUACUGUUGGGGGAAAUGGAGAUCUUAGGGGUCGAGGUGCCGGAGGUAGCGGAGGAGGAGAAGAAGAGGAGCUGGUGGUAGGAGUCGUUGGACCAGUGCUUGCCUAAGUAGAAGGAAGCGACGGUGAGGAGGAGUAAGGCUGAGAUCUUGAUGAGUGUAGGGUUUUUGAGUAGAUCCGCGUUGGCUAGGGGUUUCAUGAUGCUUGCGUCUGAAGGGAUCUCCCCCGAGAGAUGUUUUGGAUCUGUGCACAGUGUGUUCGUGACUCUAUGAGUGUGUGUGCGACAGUAAGGCCGUGUUUGGAGUUUAUUGCGUUUGGUUUAAAGUACAUUUACAGAAAUAAUUCUCAGGAUUUUCAGAUUCGUUUACAAGUUGCGGCAAACACUCUGUAAGUAAAUUAAUUAAUUGACAGUAAAUGUUUAUUUUCAAAAGAGGAUCUUUAAAGUUUACAAACAGAGUCCUAAUCUUUUCACUAGUGUUGGUAAAAAAUAAUAAUUAGUACUUUCUUCGUUUUGCAAAUUACACUUUUUGCACCGAUUUAAAAUGAUUGAAAUACAUUAUAAUUUUAUUAAUUACACUUACUUACCAACAAUAUUUGGGAUAAAUAAUAUUAUUUAUAAAGUCAAUAUAUAUAUAUAUUUUAAUUAAUAUUAAAUUUAAAGUAAGUAUACAUUGCAUUGUAAUUCUAAAAUAAUUUUCUUUGUUAAAACACGGUUGUAUAAUAGAUUUAAUUUGUUUAACUGGUAAAUCUUAUAUUUUGACUAAGGAUUCAUUAAUGUUUAUACAUCCAGAAGUUUGGCUUCAAACUUCAGAAAAUGUAAUUCAUGUAGAUUAUGAAAAAAAAAUAUUGCAAGAGAUCUUCAGCGUGGUGCAUGCCUACAUGGCGUACCAUCGAACAUGGAUCUCAUGAAACAGUUCGAUGUAGCACAGUCAGACAUCUAUUCUGAUAAGAUGUGGUAGUUGUCGGUUAUAGAAUCAUUUAUGUAACAUUUCUUAUAGUUUUAAUAGCAUAAUAACCACACGUUAAAAAAACUAAUAAAUUCUAAAAAAACAUUUUAAGAUCACUAGAUUUUUUUUAAAACUCUUAAUUUAAAAUGGUUUCACUAACUGUGGAUUCAAAAUGCUCUCUAUAAAGUAUAAACAAAUCAGUUAGAUAACACUAAAUUUUAAACAAAUAUUUGAAAUUUAUAUGUAAAUAAUAGUGAGUUUAUCAUUUAAAACUCUCGAUUUUUCCGGUUUCAUUCACAGAGUCUGUAUAAGUUGAUGACAAAAAAACUCUUGAUUUAAUUUUAAUUUUUAAACAACAGUGAAUUUUGAUAAUCUUGAUAACACUAGAUCUAGAUUUUUGUUAUUUAAUAUUUACUUUUUCAUUGUUUCCAUACAUAUGGUAAAAUAUUAAUUAUAAAUAUGUGUAUGGAGUGAAAUUUAGUCUUUAUUUAUGUAAUGUAUAAUUGAUUAAAUUAUAGCAAUUUCUUCAUUUAUAAUUUUUCAUAACAUAAAAAUGUAUAUCUUGUACAUGUAAUUUUACCAAACACAAUAAACUCAAAGUAUGAAUUGACAUAAUUUGUAUUACUACAGAUACGUAAGUUUUAGAAUUUUUACACAUAUUAAAAAUAUAUUAAAUUUUGAUUAUUAAUGUAUUAUCUUUGUGAUUGCUAUUUUCUAUAACUUUUAACAAAUAAAAAUUCAAUAAACACAUACAAUUUAUCAUUAAAUAAUUAUUAAAAUCUAUAAAAAAAUUAUAAAGCAAUAUCUUUUUUUUUUCCAAAACGAAGGGAGUAAACAUUAACUAAUUUCUUUUAGUGCGAAUAUCUAGCUGGACGGUUGCCACUGACAUAAUUCUCCACAAAAAUAUCGAGAAUCAGAAAAGAUAUUUUAUUAACACAUCGAUCAUGUCUAAGUUCCACGCUCACAUAAUAAAAACCACCAAACAUAACAAGAAAACCUAGCAACUACACAAAUUAUAGAAGGAAGCUAAACCCUCUAAUUUCCUACAAUCUCUGAUACUAUGGCAAACACUUCGACAAGGGUCUUGUCAGGGAAAUUAAACCGGACAAUGAAACCAUACAUCAAGAUCAAUAUAGAGAACCAACCUACCAAGGUAAACAGAAUAGGAACAAGACAUAUCAAUCCAGUCACUGUCCCUACGCCAAUGAUCAAUCACAAAUGGUCCUUGCCAAACUUGAGAGACAAAAGUUGGCAAAUUGCAACAAGGCCAGUGAUGAACGACAUGGUAAACACGAAUACUUCCACAUUCUUUCCAAACCAGAAAGUGACAAAGCAGAUUAACACGGCACUUACCAGCUCCAACCCUGCCAUCUCGACCGGUUCCAUAUCUUGAGGUGAGUCUCCAGGAGGAGGACCAGUCCUGCAAGGACCGCAACACAUAUACAUGGCUCCUAUCACUGUAUAUUGUAUUAUAAGAUAAUGCGCAGUGGAUGUAAAUGCAGUUGCAGUCGCGCCUCCCAUAUCGUUGGCUUUUCCAGUGAGGCAGAACAUGAGGAGAGAUAUCGACAUAGCUGCGAUGGAGCAAAAUAAUGUUAUUCCCCAAAAUUUUCUACUCCCAUACCUGUUUGAUAUCACUUCUCCUCCGGCCUCCAUUUCUUCCAGUGUACUCGUUGACAUAUUAUCUUGUUUUUUCCCGUUAACCAUCUAUCUCUUCAUUUUAGGUUUAGCUGGGGUGCUCAAAGCUAUUAUAUAGAGAUGAUCUCUUUUGAACGGAAACUGACAAAGAAACAAACUUAUUUUGUAGAAUAUUGUAUGAUUGGAUAUGCUUAACAAAAAAAUAUAAUGAAUGAGCAAAUAAACUAAUUCCUAAUUAUCACUGGCAUAACUUUAUCUUUAAACCUUAAAAAUAACAAUCCAAAAAUAAUCUUUGAACUUUAAAUUGAAUUUUCAUUUUUUUUUAUUUUUAUUAUUAACUUUUAGUUUUCGUUAGCAAUAUAAAAAAAUCUACUCGAAUGACUUUUUUUUUGAACGAAAUCUACUCGAAUGAUUAAACAGAUGAUACAAAAUUACAAAUACAAUGUUUUGGUUAAUAUAAAUAAAAUGUGAGGUUGUAGACAAACCUUAUGUGCAAGUUUAUAUGUCAUUGUGUUUGUUGUGAGUGACAUUGUGUGAUUGUGAACUUGUUAAAAUACAUCCUUACACUUUUGGAUCUACUCCAAUUGUGUUUUUAAAAAUAUUAAGUUGACUAGUUCAUACUUCAUCUUUGAGCAAUUUUGAAUAAAUCCUAUAUCCUAAACGUUUACAUUCCAAACUCAAAAUCAACUGCUGAGGAUUCAUAUUCCUGUAAUCUUGGCUCAAUUUAAUAAUCAUCUUAAGGCUAAACGAAUCUAAUCAAUCACAGAAUCAAGCGGGAGGGGGGCAACAUAUAUUAUAACAAGUUCUGUUCGGAUUCAGUUCAGGUUUGUUUGAAUUCAGUAUGAGUUUAGUAGCAUCUUCAAUAACCAGUUGGAUCUAAUAUAAUUUCAAAUUUUGGAUCUUAAUCGUGUUUCAGGUUCUAAAACAUGGAUUUGUACUAAGUUAGAUCUGAAACUAAAUUAAAAACAAUGAAACAAAGACCAAAGAUAAAAAAAGUUAAAAUGAAAAUGAAAAUGAAAAUCGAACUUUCAUCAAACGUGAUGAGAAUAUCAAUUCAUUAAAAUGAAAGCCAAAUGAAGAACAACAUUAUUGAAAUGAAAACCAAAACAAGGUCCAUUUAAAUCAAACCAAACAAAAGAACAACAUUAUUAAUGAAAUGUAAACCAAAUUUUUCAAUCUUCAGUGAACGUCUUUAUAUCUGUCACUCAAAAUUAUGAGAUUUUGUGAUUAGUUUCAGUUAGUUUGAUAUUAACACCAUGAUAAUGUAAAACAAUUGUCGACUAAUAUGAGUAAGUGAACAACAACACAAACACGAACAACAAUUCGUAAAUCCAUGUGCUAACGACAAUUAAAGAACAAAGAAGAGACACUGAAACUUGAGAAGUGGAAUCACAGAUUUCAAAAAUUGAAAUUACAGACAACUGAAAUUCUAGAUUUUUUUGUUGAGAAGUUAAAUUAGAGAGUAUAGAUAAUGAAACUAUCUAACAAAACUUUACAACUCUGUAAAAACAACUUAACCAGAUAAACCCGAACCAAACUUCCAAUUAAAACUUUCACUUUAUGGUGUACUCAAUGAUUACAUAAAAGGACAAGCACAUGAAUGAUUCGUUGAACUCUCUGAUGGAGCAGAUGAAGAUUUAGACGAUUUCCGAAAUCCCAUGUUUAAGGUUUCGAAUUUGAAAUCACUUAAUGCCCAAGGAGGAAUCAGAUGUAUAAUCUUGUUUGAUUCAAGUUUAUCGGGUUUUGAUUUUUAGGAAGAAUAAAAUUUGACCCCAUUCAGUUAUUUUUAAAACUCAUUUCGGUUCGGAUAUAGUAGCACAUAUCGCAAACCCAGAUAAACCCGUUUAAAUUCAGAGUCGGUUAUAUAUCGGGUCUUGGUUAUCCAAAUACUUGUUUGUGAUUCAAAAAUACACACUUUAUUUCACAAAAUUGUCAAUUUUGAAAAGUUUGCACGAAAAAAAAACUUGGUGAAAUGCUUCAAAAAUGAUCAUUAAAAGGAGAAAAAUAUAAACAUAUUAAAAACUAACAACUAAAAACUCUUUAAACCUAUGAUUUAAAUUUUAAAAUAAAGCGACAUUGUUUAUAUUUGAAGCAAACCUUUCAUAAUAUUCAGUUAUCAAAACAUAAAUACUUCAAUAUUUGAUCAAAUACCCAAAAUAUAUAGGAGUAUUAAAAUAAAUAUUUGAUUUAAUUCUUCGUGUAAUAGAUACUUAUUUUAGGUAUUCAAUAGUAUAUUAUAAUAUUUUGGAUACUUAUCUUGGAUUGAAUUUAUGUUUGAUAUUUAUUUUUCUUGGAUUCUAAAGUUUCCAGAUUUUUUUGAAUACUCGAUUUGUUUGAAUAAAACAUAUAAUCCAAAAUAUCGUAGGCAAGAUCCCCAUCCAUGUGGUAUUUAUAUCAGAUUCGGAUUCAUUUUCGAGUCAAGUUCUGUCUAAAUUUUUGGAUUCUAUUUAUUUGGCCACCUUUUUUGUAUCAAACAUUACUUGCAUUAAUAAAGACACUAUAUCCAAAUUACAAUGAUAAACUAAACCCGAACCGAACCGAUGAUCCGUCAUAUCAAAAUCCAGUCUCAUUCGGUUAAGAAUAAAGAUCCGAACCCGGCCCAUACAAUUUUUAUCGGACUGGAUUCCGUUCGGUUCUCGGUUCGGGUUUGGACUUUUUGCCGAGGCCUAGUUCCACAAGCAAGCCCCAUUGUCUAUACUAGGUUUUUUUUCCGCGCUUCGCGCGGAUUAUAUAUUAUAAUUUUUAUUUUCUUUCAUAUUUUGCAACAAAAAAUUACAUGUCCAAGACAAUAAAACAUAUGACAAUAUAUAGUUUAGAGUUAUUUUCUUCUAAAUAUUUGAACUGAUAAAUUCUAUUUUAUUAUAAUUUAUAUUACGUUGCUGAUUUUGUUUUGGUUUGAUGUUCUGACAUGCUAUAGCUUGACGAUGUUGUCUCGGUAUAAAUUUUUAUAAUACUUCUCUUUAAUGGGAAAAAAUGUUCUUGGUUAGGACUGGAUUAAGUUGGCAAGUUAAUAAACGACUUCUUGUGAUUGAGCUAUCUCCUUUAUUUUAUUUUCUUCGAGUUUUAUCUUUUGUACUAUUUUUAAUUGUUUGUUCAAGUUAAUAAAAUCUUCCAUAGUAUUGUCUGAAUAUUUCUGAAAAAAAUCUGAGAAAAGUUUUAGUUUGUAACCAUGUUUUUAUAGAAAUAGUGCAGUAUCCGUAAUAUUAGAAAAACAGAAAAAAAAACUGUUUGAAUUUUAUUGUUACAUAUAUUUUUAAAUAAAAUUUGUUGAUGUAGAAAUAUACAAAACUAUGUCUAACGUAUAUUUUACUAUAAAUAAGAUGUAUUUAUAUAUGUGAAAAUCAUUUUUAUAAAUACAAUGCAUCUAAAUAGUUCAUACUAACUCUACAUGUAAGAGUUGAGUGAGCAUCAUACUAAAAUAUCGUCAACCCUUACAACAUGGUAGAAAUAAAAUCUAUAAAUAAGUGAAUCUGCAAACUAUCUCAAUUUAUCGACUAACAAUUUUGUACUAUGUCUCUUGUAAGGUCAAUUUCAAUGAAACACCAAAAUAUUAAAUUCAGUAUAAUUUCACUCCAAUGAAAUAUCAAAUAUGAUAUAAUCUUACCAAAUAUCUAAUAUUCUAUUAGAGAUAAAUUUACACAAAAUAUGAUAUUAUCUCAUCAGAUUUGGUGUUUUGUGAAUAGUAUUAUACGAAACUUAAUGUAGUACUAUUUAUCACACAAAAUACUAAAAUAAUAUUUUAUUAUUUUUAUUUAAUUAUAUGUAGAUUAGUGUUAUUGAUAUUUUAACUUAUAGUCAAAUAAAUGUAUCAUAUUAUUUUGUUUUAAUUUUUACAUUAUUAAACCUUUAUUAUAUAAUUUUCAGUUUUAAUAUUAAAUAUUUUAGUUUUAAUUAAUAUUUGACAAAAUAAAUAAAUAUAUAAACUAACUAAAAGAAACACAAAUAAAAUACAUAAAGAGUGAUAACAUAAAUAACCAUUUUUUAUAAAUAAACAUAAAAUAUAAAUCACAUAAAAUUGAAAUAUUAAUAAUAUAAAUAUUAGUUUUGGUGUUGUUUUAUGUUGUAUAGAAUUUGGUGUUAUCAGUCAUGGUUAGAGCUGCUCUAAAACAACCCUAGCUCCACUAAAACAAAGAACUCAAUAUUUCCAAACGCAUACAAAACUUAUAUUUCCAAGAAACACAAGUAUCCUUUGCCAUAUGUUUUAUUUCGUCACCGACAAAGAGCUAUUUAAUGUUUCACUACAAAAUAUAAAUAAAUUUUACUCCAAGCGUUUAAGUUUAAUUAUCGUUGUGAAGUUAAUUUUUUCUUUUAAAAUAAGUAUCGUUUUAUAAUUUAAUACAAAAUUUAUUGAUUUUAUAUUUCAAUCUUGUUUUUCAUUGGUUGAAAUGUGAUUAAGUGUAUUGGUAGUGAUGUUUUUAUUUUAAAUAUAUGUAAAAUUAAAUGUUUUCUUAAUCUGUGUGUUCAAGUCUAAAACAACAAUUAAAAUGAAAUAGAGUGACAUUUUUCCAUUACAUAACCAUUUGACAUUAAUAAAUUAUACUUAUUUCGGUUUAAUUGUAUAAUACUCAAAUAUAUUUUUAUUUAAUGUGUAAUUAAUUUAAUAAAAAUAAUUUAAUCAAAAUCUAUUAGUUAUUCAAAACGAUGAAAAAUAGAUUAAUGUUCAAAAUUAUUAUUGGAAUUGUAGGAGGGCAAUUUUUUUAUACCAAAAAAAAAAACUUAAAAUAACACUCUAUAUGUAACAUGGAGUAUAUAACAAAAUUAGUAUUUGGCAUGAAAGAGCUAUUUUAGCCAAUUCUCGAUCAUAUUAUACUUAAUAAAAUACUACUUUAAUUUUUUGGAAAACCUCUAUGAUUCAGUGUAAUCUAAUAGUUGUACGCACAUCAAACUUUAUUAAUCAAUUUUUUUGUAGUUCCGAUAUAAAGAAGGAACAAUAUGAUGAAAUUAUUCAUUAAUCUGUAAUUCCAAAAACAGUUAUAUGUUCAUCAAAUAUAAAAUAGUUAAAUGAUAAAUUGAUGUCUUAGCCUAAUAAUAUGACACCAUAAAAUUGAAGUACUCGGUGAAAAAUAUAUAUUUAAAUUAUUUUUAUUUAGAAUAAUUUAACCGUAACUGUUUACGUACGUCAACUAUAAUUAUUUGACAAUAACUGAUUUUUUCAUUCUCUUGUAAGAGCACCAGCAUCAGUACAUUCCUCAACUCAAAGCUGCACAUUCAGACGUCCUUUCAUAUUUUAUGGGGAUCGCAUACGUAACUUCUCCGCCAAUCACACUUGCAUGAUUCUGCUGUAAUAUUGAUGGAGUUGGAAUUUUCUCACUUGGACAAAGAAAAUCUCAAUAGGAACCUCAGAGUUCCUGAAAAAGAGGGGGCAAAGAAGAGACCCCAAGGGCAUGAUCACCGGGGUUUACAUUGGAUUGGUUGUUGUAGCUGCAACUCAGUCAUACUGAUACACUGGCUAUGUUCUUGAGGAACUCUAAUACCAUUUAGUUUUUUCACAAUGUUUGUUCUUCGUGUUCUGUUUCCUCUUCGGUUCCAGUAUUGCUAUCAUCAAUAGCGGAAGUUAGUGAGCUAAGAAGCUGUAGAACACGGAAACAGGAAGCGCCUUCAAUUGAUCAUGUAAUACGCUUCAUAUUCUCUGUUUUGCUCAAUGUUGCCAGCCCACACCUCGCAUGCAGAUGAGGCAAUCAACCCACUCGCCAACUGAGCAAAGAGCUGAACAAAGGGCUAGCGUUUGAGCAACCAUUUUUGGCAAACCUUUGGAUAUGAUUUGUCCACCUGUCAUUGCGAUAUGCAGCUUCCGCUGCUUCUGGGGACAGUAUUUCAUUUACCUCCUAUAACAGUUAGAGAAAAAUUAAUGAAUGAAUUUCGAAAAUAUUGAUGAGCUAACUAUGUUGUGAUGGUAGACUAACCAACAUAAGAUAAAUAGAUAUUUAUACUAUGGUGUUUUUCUUGUUCAACAUCGUCAUUAGAAGAUACGAUAUACAACAAAUUCAUUUCGCUAAUAGUCAAUCUGGUAUUACCUCUCUAUGUUUGAAUUUGAGUGUCAUUCUUCAUCUGCCAAAGAUUCCAUGCCAGGAUGCUCAAGUCAAUGGUGUGGCUUAUAUGAAGUGAAAGCAUCAUUAACCAAGAUCCAUCCACCAACCGAUGAUCCCUCGCCUCUUCUGCUUUCUCAAACACAUUUUUUGGCACCACGUUCUUGAUUUUCUUGGAUAAUCCCAAGUGGAUAAUUCUCGGUCAUUUACCUAGUAAACCAUAUCAACUCGAGCACAUUAGAUCAAAGAGGAUACCAUAUUCUAUCCAACAAACAGCCAACUUAUCAUUCCUUAAAUAAGCGGGAGAGUCAUCAGCGUGGAAACAAAAAAAUCAAAAUAAACUGUCCAAGAAAACUGAUUUACCUUCUGCAUCCGAUGCUGAAAAUUGAAAGAGAGUUUUGACAAUUUUAGGGAUGUAUGCUCAGCUAUGCAAAAUAGGCAAGUGAUGUUCCUAAUCACAUUCACCUUGGGAACAUAAUUCAACUGUAAAGCUAGAAGGAACAGAGAAACACAUGGAAGGGUUUUGUUUUAGUCGGAUGAGAUAGUAUUUCACUGCAAUGAAAUGAUCCUAAAGGCUGCUCAAGAUGUACUGGUUCUGGAAACUCACCACCUCUGACUUGGGAGCUCCAUGGCGGAGAAAAACAGCAUUGAAUUUGUUUUCUUAGACGUGUGUGUCAGCUGUGAAAUCAGAAGGACAAAAUUUUCAUUCAUCAAAUGUAUCAUAUCUAAAGCUGUCUUCCUCAUAGAUUCCACAUCUCUAGCGUUUUGUUCUGUUAAAGUUGGGUUAGUGGCUGAAAAUAGCAAAACCAAAACAGAUAUAUCACAAAGACAGUGAUGAUAAUGACCUUAAAAAUAAGGCAACCUAUUAUAAUCUAGUCGCCUUUUAUAAUGGAGAAAUGCAGUAAGAAUACCUCAAUCCUAAGGACAUUGGACAAUAGAUAAGAACGAAGGAAAGAUGCAGCCUUUUUUGCACUGGGUCAAGAUAAAACAAAACCUUACAAUUGACCAAAAAAAAACAAAAAAACAAAACUUUACAGAUGUCGAAAAUUCUUCCUUUAGCUAUAUAAAAAUCAGAACAAAAAUGAGCAAGAAACCAGCUGUCUCACGAUUGAUCUACAUUCCGAAAGAGAAAUACGAACCUACCAUGAUUCAUGGCCUCUGAAAAUAUAAAGCACGUUUGUUAUUUUCAGAUCAGGAACACUGUUUUCUUCUCUCCUUUGCAUUGUAAAUAGACUAUAGGCUUAGUCAAGAACCACUCGUCGAUCUUGAUAAUCCGAGUCUAGUGUAACUUCUUGUGAUACUAUUGUCCUGUGAACCAUCACAAUUUAAUUAGAAACUGUCAUCCUCGAGAAGCAGUGUAAUUCAAAAGCUGAAAAGAGAUUAGAUUAAAUUUCUUACAAACGGAGAGACAAUUGUCUUUUAUGUGGGAAUGACCCCAGGAAUAUGAAACACUAUACAAAACCUCGAAAAUCCCAGAAAGCCGAUGGGAUAUGGAUCUGUAUCCGAUGAAGGUAUAAGAAGGAGAAACUAUACGCAAAGCCAGGAUCUGUAAAAUCAAAAGAAGUGGAAAAGUCAUUAACAAUUUAACACUGCAAGUCUGCAACAACCAUGUAUCUGUUUCAACUCACGUUAAAUUAAAACAUUCUUUCUACUCACUAUUAGCAGCUGUUUCACAGAAAUGUUCCGGCGAAAGGGCAUCUCACACAUCACUAUCUGUCUCAAAUCUCUGCCUCGCAUUCUCAAUAAUAUCCUCACCAUUUUUCUCUUCAGUUUUCGUACCACUUUUAUGACAUCAGUUUCUGACAGCCGUAUCUGGCUUACAUGCCACCUUCGUUUCCUAGUCUCCUAGAUAUAGAUUAACCGGAAUCGGAGCUCCGCCUUUCCCUAGCCAGGAGAUUCGUUGUUGAAGAAUUGAGCAAUAGAGCCAUGCCGGUUGAUUUCUCCGUUCUGGCAAUCUGGCAAUGGUAGCCAUAUGCUGCUGUGAAUAUUUGGUUAUGGUGAAUUAGGUGAGAAGAGUCUCUGAAUAGAGGUCUAUAUAAGGUUGAGGUUGAGGCUUCGUAACAGUUGCAUGGCCAUCGAUUGUUGCAGUCAAUAAUGAAGCCUUAUGACUUGAAUGUGGGAAGCCGCUGUUACAGAGGAGUAAUGAAGAGAUCAAAACUGCAGGAUUACUCCGAAGUAAAUGGAAAGACGAAGAGGAUUAGUCGGUCUGUUUACCGAAAGUUUUGGCCAAGGCGUGAAAUAAAACAUUAUAAUAUGUCAAAAUGUCUUCGAGAAAGCCUAAUAUCAAAACGUUUUCUUGUGGCUUACAUGUCACCUAUUGAUUGGCUGAUUUUUUAAUCUGAGGUGGACAUCCUCUCCUUUGAGUAUAUCUCCCUUUUAGUAUUGUUAGAUUAUAGGUUAUCAAUCUCCAAUCCAUGGACUUCGUUCACCCACCAAUUUCAAAAUCGGUAAAAACUACUCAUAACGCGACGGCGAACAUGAGCACUGCGGUUGCAGAUCACCCAAAUUCAGAUUCCACCUCUACAACGGUCAUGGAGACGGUGAACGGUUCGCACCAGUUCACGAUCAAGGGCUACUCUCUAGCCAAAGGCAUGGGCCCAGGGAGAUACAUACAGAGCGACGUCUUCUCCAUCGCCGGAUACGACUGGGCGAUCUACUUCUACCCCGACGGGAAGAACCCUGAGGACAACUCGGCGUACGUCUCUUUCUUCAUCGCGCUCGCCAGUGAUUCUAGCGACAUUAGGGCUUUGUUCGAGCUCACGUUGAUGGAUCAGAGUGGUAAAGGGAGGCAUAAGGUGCAUAGUCACUUUGAUCGGACGCUUGAAGGUGGUCCUUAUACGCUUAAGUGUAAAGGUAGCAUGUGGUGAGUUUCUGGUUUCUUGUAAUGUUUUGUCUUCUGUUUGAAUUGCAUGUUUGUGUUGAAGAAGGGAAGUGUUGUUAUUGGUUUCAUGUCUGAAUCAGUUCUGUGAUGUUUGUCUUCUGUUUGAAUUGCAUGUCGGUGCUUGAAACAGGGAACUGUUGUUAUUGGUUUUAUGUCUGAAGCAUUUCUGUAAUGUUUUGUCUUCUGCUUGAAGAAAGGAACUGUUGUCAGACUUUGGAAGCUAUAAACAUUUUAGUAUUAGUCUUAAUAUUUUUUUUUCAUAAUUUAGAGGUCACCAAACCUAUAUAUAUAUAUUAGUUCUUUAAAAUCUGAGGAUGAAUAUGAAUGUUUCAUCUGGUUGUGCACAAGACCGGCCCUGACUGUUAUUAGUUUCAUUUCCGAAUCACUUCUGUAAUGUUUGUCUUGUGCUUGAAUUGCAUGUUGGUUUUUUAAUAAGGGACCUGUUGUUAUUGGUUUCAUGUCGGAAACACUUCAGAAGUAGGGAACAUUUUGCAUGUGUUUACUUAGUUGAACUCGUUUUCUGCAUCAUUUGUUGAGUUCUUUCCAUUGAACUACAUCAAGUAGCUACGGUAAAAUGAGAUCUCCUUCUAACAUAUGACUUACCAUUACGAGUUUCAGGGGUUACAAACGCUUUUUAAGACGAACAGCUUUAGAAGCCUCUGAUUACUUAAAGGAUGAUUCUCUCGUCAUCAAUUGUACAGUUGGCGUUGUCAGAGCCCGGCUCGAGGUUCCGAAACAGUUUGGCGUUGUGCUGCCCUCGUCUGAUAUGGGUCAGGGGUUGAAAGACUUGAUAGAUUCUGAAGUUGGCUGCGACAUAGCUUUCCAAGUCGGAGACGAGACUUACAAAGCUCACAAACUCAUCCUCGCAGCACGCUCGCCGGUUUUCAGAGCUCAGUUCUAUGGACCAAUAGGGAACAACAACGUGGAGAGGAUAGUGAUAGAGGACAUCGAGCCUUCUAUCUUUAAGGUAAUGUUAUUUUCAUUAUCACAUUGUGGAUGGAUAGUUUUACUGACUUGGGAUGUGGUGAUUUUAUAGGCUAUGCUUAGCUUCAUCUACACCGAUGGACUCCCUGAUGUGCACGAGAUUACGGGGUCAGCUUCUGCGAGUUUAAUCACGAACAUGAUACAACAUCUCUUGGCGGCUGCUGACCUCUAUGACCUUGGAAGGUUAAAGGUGUUAUGCGAAGUUUUUCUAUGUGAGAAACUAAAUGUUGAUAAUGUGGCAACAACACUUGCACUGGCUGAACAGCACCAACUGUCAGAGCUCAAAGCCUUCUGCUUAAAGUUUGUUACAUCUCCAGGAAACUUGCGAGGUGAGUGUUGCAUAUAUAUUGAGUUUCAUUUUUGUUUUCCAGUCUGCAUUUUUAUAUGCCUAUGUCGUAUAUAUAUCAGGUUUAUACAUACUACUAAUGCUGUAAGCUUUGUUUGAGAGUGCUGCCAUGAAAUUUUUGUCAAUAACCUGCUUUGAUUUUGGGAAGCAAUAGGAGUAAUUGAGAGAAAAAUGAAGUAGUCCAUAUGUUAUAAAGAUUCCAGAUGAAAUUUAAGCCUUUUUGUUUCUCUCGUAUACUGAUCAUCUGGUUCUGUGUGUUUUCUUUGAUUCGGUGUAUAUAUUGGUAUGUGGUGCUUGUUCCAAUAAUUAUUCAUUACAGAUGUGUAAUGUAUUACUAUCAAUCGAAGUUAUGUGAGCUAAUUCGUUUUUUUUUUGUUCAACAAUGAGCUAAUUCGUUAUUUUUGUAUAUUUUACUUAUAGUUAAUCUUGCUAGUAUACUGAAAUUUCUAGUUUCUUGUCUUAUGUUCAAUUUGGAUAUAGGAGACUCGAUGUUUGAUUAGACGGCCUGAAGUUUAUCGUCCUCAAUUAGGUGCGAAAAUUAUUUAUUUUCUUCGACUAGUUUUGUAGACCAACCAGUUUAAAGUCUACAAUGCCUAGGCAUAUGGGUAACUUAUCUUUGCACUCUGGAAGAUAGAGAUGUUUAAGGAAUGUCCUCGUCUUAAUGUUUUUUUUUAUUUCCUGGUCUUAAUGUUGAGUUUCAGCAAGUGCUGGUAUUCACAUCUAAAAGACAGUACAUACAUUUGCUGAACUUGACUGAAACCAGUAGAUAUAUGUAUAAUUUUUUUCCAAAUAUGGUGAACUUUUUUAUUAUGUUUCAAAGAUAUUAUCCCUGAAGAGAAUCCAGUAAAAAAAAACUAAAAAGUAGGUAAUGUGUGUGUGUUGGUGCAGCUGUAAUGAAGUCUGAAGGGUUCAAGCACUUGAACCAGAGCUGUCCCUCUAUGUUGUCUGAGCUGCUGAGCACGGUUGCAGCAGGGGAUAAGAUCUUGACGAGUGAACAAGCAAGCAAGAAAAGAAGUCUGUGUAGUAGUGUGUUAGCCUAUGAUACAAAUGCUGCGAGGCAACUGAGGAGGAGGACAUAGGGGUCCGAUCCAAAUGCAAUGAAACUUUGCGCAGGUCAGCUUACUCUUACUGAUCUGGAAGCAAAGCAGACACCGAAUCUGGUCUUUGGUAGAGUUUUAUUGCAAUGGAAUAAUUUGUUCCUAGUAUGUAUAAAGCGUAUAGGCAAAAGACCUCCUUUUUUUGUCCUUCUUAAGUUCUCUUCAGUUUUUGAACUUGGCUUUGUGUGAUUCUUAGAAGCAUAAUACACUCUUAAUUAACAGUCUUAUGAAAGGGAGAAAUGUUUAACUGUUACCAAAGGCCAUAACACUUGAAAGUGAAGAAUUUAAAGUAACUUAGCAAGGACUCCAUAGAUUGUGUUUCAAGUAAAUACAUACUAAUACUCUGUAUAAUUCGCUAAUUACCCCCUUGGCAUCUCCCAUUAUUGUUGCUUCCUGAUGAAAACAACAUAUUUUGUCAUAAUUUGUAAAUGAAGACCAAAUUAAAGAAGCAAAACGUGCUUAUAAAACUUCUAUGCAUUACUCAGAUGUCUCUGAAGUAGUAUAGUUACUUAUUGGCAAAAAAAACUCUAUCCAUUUCUUCUUAUAAAAUCUCUAAAUUAAAUUCCUAACUAAAACCUUAAACCCUUAAUUAUCUUCUAGGGGUUUAAUCUCUAAGAAAAAAAAAACUCUUAAAUCAUUCCUAAAAAGUCACAUUCUGUUUCAAAAACCCUAGUCCUAAUCCUCCCCUUUGAAGACAAUCUUUGAGAUCCUCUCACUCAACUGUCUCGCUACAGGAUGCCUAGUGAAGUCAAUAGCGACACAAAUCUCACGAGUCACCUUGUGCCUAAACAUCAAAACUGUGAGAAAAUCGCAAUACAUACUGAGCUUAUACUCUUUCACAAACGUGUUCCAUCCUGACAUCAACACAGGCGUCUUCUCAUUCCACAUCUUGAACAUCAUCUCAUGAGCCUUCCCGUCUGGUCCGUAAACCGAAACCUUAGUCCCCUCUUUCCCAAGCUGAGUAUCUGAUUCUUCAAAAAGAGGCAUGAAGUUCUUGUCCACUUGCGCCUUACUUAGCAUAAGCCUGUUUUGAUCUCCCUUCACGUCGCUCAUUGUUAACUGCUUCCUUAUCGGUUUGCUGCAUCGUCCCAACACUGCCGUGGUCGCUUCCGGUAGAUUUUUUGGUGGAUCGCUGGUCCAUCGGAGGAGUAAGUCUAGGGUUUCUUCGGUAUCAUCCUUGAUGAUUGUCUUCUUCUUACCAGCUUGGAUUCUGUCGCGCAAGAACAUGAAGUGGCUUAAAGCAAAAGCAGCAGUAACCACCUCGUCCUGUUCUCGUCUCUUUUUUUCUUCUUCUGGAGUUAGUCUUUUUCUUUUUGCUCCUAUCGUUGAAGUCGCCAUGAUAUCUCUGUUUGUGUCAGCUGAAGAUACCUUGAAAUGCAAGGUUUCUAGGGCUUUCUCUUUUCUUUAUUUCUCUUGUGAAAUAAGUAAAUUAGUUCCUUUAUAUACCGACUUGUCUGACAAAAUAGACCUUUAUAAAAUAUCAAUAGCUUGUAGCAGCCCAGAAAAAGGUUUCGUUUCGAGGCCCAAAGCCAUUUAUUUAGUUUAAAAAUUAAAACCAUUUAUAAAAUGAUAUAAUGAUGUAAUUAGGAGCCGUGGGAGACAAGGUUUUGGAUAAAAGAAACGAGUGAGGAAUACUCUUUAGUCUUUAGAAAAGUUAUUUUUAAGUUAUAAACUCUCCCGAGUGUUUUAGAGAGAGUGAUGUUUUAAGUUAUAAACUCUCCCGAGUGUUUUAGAGAGAGUUUCAUCGUAGAAUCUUUAUCCGUAGAACUGUUCAUCAAUAUUACAUAUGUUGUAAAUAGUUAAUCAUCGUACGUAAUAUAUUUAAAAAUUAUAUGAUGAUGUAAUGUGUUAUCCAAUGUUAAAGAAAAACACAUACAAAAAUCUAUGGGCAAAUGUUAGGUGGGUUAAAGGCUUAAAUCAAUGGGCUGCCUAACUCUUUUACUUCUUGACAUUGAUUUGGUGUAUUUUCACACCUUCUUUGGCACCUUUUCAUAUAUAUUUUUAAUCAUUCGACUCUUCUAUGCUAUUAGCCUAUUCCACUUCUCUUGAUGGUGGCGUGUAUUUGUCAAAAAUGGAAUAUAGCUUCAAUAUUAGAUCUACUAUCAAAUAAUAUGAAAUAAAUAGCUUUUAUCCAUAAAAUGUUAUAAAAAGAAUGAAUUUUUAGCGAGUCUUAUUCUAUUGAUAAGAGUACGUAUUUCCAAUGUAAAACUUUAUUUUUUUUUUUAAAUGGGGUAAAAGUGAAAAUGAAGUAAAAUUCCUCUAAUCCUACUCUAUCUCUAUAAUGGAGUAAUUAACAAACAAAAAAAUAGAUUACUUCAUUUAUGAAUUAAAUUUCAUUAUGGAAUGAGAUAUGAAAUUGGAUUGGAACAUUCUUUAUUCCAUAUUUAUUUUUACUCUAUUUCAGAGGAAAAAUAGAAUAGGGAUGGAGAUACCCUAAUGAUUUUUUUAUAUAUGAAUCAAUAAAUUGAAGACCAAAUAGAAUUGGAGGAACAAGUAAACUUGAGAAUCAGUUAAAUUUAUAACAUUUCUAUGAUAUAUAUCACAUAGUAUACAUAAACAUAAAAUAAUUUAUGCAUACAUAAAAUUGUCCCGUAUUAUGAUAUGUCAACGCGUAAGCUAAUUUGAAUCUUUUGACAAAGUGAAUACUAAUUAUAAUAUAUACUCUUGAUUCUCUUGCCAAAGUAGACUAAUUAGAAACAUAUAGAUUUGUGUUUCUUUUUUCUUAAAACAUUUUGAAACGGUUAGAUUUAUUGCAGAUUUUGGAUUUUUGUUUGGUUACUGUGACAUGUACUAGAGAUGGGCUUAAACGAAUCUUGUUAUAGUCAAUUUUUUGGAAGUUUCUGAUCAUUGCAAGGGGAUUGUAAAACUUAGUUCCUUUCUUUUCAGCCAAUGGGAAUUAUGAGAAGCCAUGAGACCUCUAAAUUCCUUCCAGAUGUAUCUUCUUGUGCAAAAUGUAUGUUUCUCUCUUCCGUUUUUUGUUUGGUGUAAGAAAACUGAAUACACAAAUAUGCAAGUUCAGGCAUCAAACCCCGUCGCAUGUAUGUGAAAUCAUGCGGCCUACCGAACCGCUCUCUUUCAAUUUUUUAUUAUGCAGAAUCACGUUUUGAUGUUUUCAUAGAGGGUUUUAAAUUAGUUUAAAGAAAUGAAAUAGUUGAUAGAAAAAAACAAAUUAUUAUAUACCUUCUAGUUUUUUACGCAGAAUGCUUCUUUCUCGCAAAUAGUAUUAUUUAUGUGCUGCAAUAUAAACUUGUUAAUGUACAAGAUGAACAAAACUCAACUGAUGAAACAAGAUUCUAAACAUAUAUUCAUACACAAUAUCCUUUCCUUAAGUUAAAUGAUGAAACAUUAUGUAUAAACAUACAUUCAUACACUGAUUUAAAAACUGUUAAAACCACAUUAUUAUUUAAAUAGACAAAUCAGAUUCUUCUAAAUACUUUAUAUGGAUCACUACCUCUAUUAAAUAAAAAAGUAUUAAGAAAACUAACAAAGGUAUAACAUGUCGGUUGCACCGCUAUAUUUUAUAAAUAUCCAGAGUAUUAAGAAGAAAAUAAAGCUAAAGGUAACAUGUCAUGUAACGUGGGGUAGAACGUAAAAUAAAAAAAUAUAUUCACAUGAAUUAAAAAUUUAAAGAUGAAGACAAGCAAAAAAUAAUUGGAAAAUAUAUAUAUAUUUUUUUGAAACUGUUUUUCAAUAAUUGGAAAAGAUUUAAGGAGUGUGAUACAUGUGAUGGAUCAAAUUAGGUAUAUUCCAUUCCUUUUAGCUCUUCUUUAGUGUUCACAGCCUUUGCCACGAAGCUUAGCUCUUAUCCAAAAGAUUGGCCCGCAUUACAGAGACAUUACACAACUUCAGUAUCAAAAAUAGAAUCUGCAUAUUCUUGAAAAUCUAGGCUACCAAACCCCUCAAUAGAUUUACAAAUCUAGUCUACUCAGAUUAGUUUACUAUAACCUGGGUUUUCUAUAUAUGUCUUAUUGAUUUAUUUGAGUUUUUCCUUUUCUUUUGGUGUGAGGAAAAGAGUGGAAAACAAAACUUUUUCCAAGAGCCAAAAUGUAUAGACUUUCAGUGGACUGUUUACCCCAUGUUCUAUCAUUUCUUCAUUAUGUGAAUAUCAGUUUUAAUUAUUCACGUAAGUGGAGUUAAUUAUUAUAAGUACUAAAUCUUGUUAGAAGGUUAUGAUAUGAUACUUUCAUGUUGACUGCUGCUCCGGUGUUAAAUUUAAUAUAUUACUAUGAUGACAUAAUAUAUACAUCUUGGUUGAUAAAGAAAUGAUUUACACCACAUAUACAGAUAUGCACACAUCUAUAUUGAAAAGUUAGUUUGUGGAAUGAAAAAAAAAAAAAACAGCUAACAAACACAAAGUCUUCAAUACCACAAAAAAAAAGCAAUUUAAAAAAAAUAUAUCUGAAAUGAGUCUAAUCUUACGAAAUCGCGAUAUGAAAUGAGCUGGGAUUGGUAAGCAUAUACGCGACGUUGGACCUUUACUCCACCACCAAAAAAAAAAGUCAAAGGUAACAUAUAAAUUUUUUACAAUAUGGUUUAUUCAUAUUAAUAAUUGUAUUUUUAUUGUUUGUUAAAUACUGCACUCGUUUCGUUAUCUUCACGGUGGCUAUGUAAUAUAUAAACAAACAAAUGGGUGUCCUUUGAUAAAUUAUUUGCCUUUCAUCUCUCAACGAACGCUCUUUCCUUCCUGAUCACAGCUCAGCCUGACCCCAACUCUCCCUCUCUCUCUCUCUCAGGCUUCAGAUCUGAGAUCUCUUCCAAGGUAAUGCCUAAAGUCUCUUACUUUCCUCCCGGCGUGAUGUUGCAUGUCCUUUAUUUCACCUUUUCACCCUUCUUUCUGAUUUGAAUUCUGGUGGGUUUUUGCGGAUUCAUUGAUUCAAGUCCUUGACUUAGUGAUCAGCGAUUUUGACUAUUAUGAUGAUAGACCGAUCUGGGUUUAAGCUGAGAUUUUUGACAAUGUUAGUGACGUGAUGCAAACAUUUUGACAGCAGUUGGGUUUGAGUUGCUGUUCUUGUCUGAAUUUUGGGCAAAGGUGUUAGCUUUUGUCUGAUUUUAAUUUUGUUUCUGAUCUAUUGUUUUUUUGAGGAUCUAAAACUCAUUGGUCUUCCUCUCUAAUUGCUGUAUUGCUUGUUGUGUUGCUUCUAUACCUUCAUUACAUCUAACGCUCUCUGUUCUGUUUCACCUUCUUCUGGUCUUCUUUAGUCAAUUCCACAACGUUAUGGAUUCAUACAAUGUGGCUUUAGACUUGAUUUACUCUCAGAUCUUUUAGCUACCAACACCACAUUGCUAAAGAUCUGUCUUUGGCAAUUUACAGGAAAGAAGGAUUAAGAUGAAGGCUCUCAUUCUUGUUGGAGGGUUCGGAACUCGGUUGAGACCAUUGACUCUCAGUUUCCCAAAGCCCCUUGUUGACUUUGCCAACAAACCCAUGAUCCUUCACCAGGUACUGUAAUGAUGUUCUGCUAGUUAUUAUUGUCUUUUGUCUUAGUUUUAACCGAAGCGUGUGUUCUUUUGUAGAUAGAGGCGCUCAAGGCAGUUGGGGUUGAUGAAGUGGUUCUGGCCAUCAAUUACCAGCCAGAGGUGAUGCUUAACUUCUUGAAAGACUUUGAGGCAAAGCUCGAAAUCAAAAUCACUUGCUCCCAAGAGACUGAGCCUAUGGGUACGGCUGGUCCUCUGGCUCUAGCUAGAGACAAACUGGUUGAUGGAUCUGGAGAGCCCUUCUUUGUCCUCAACAGUGAUGUGAUUAGUGAGUACCCACUCAAGGAAAUGAUUGAGUUUCACAAAGCUCAUGGUGGGGAAGCCUCCAUUAUGGUGACAAAGGUGAGACUAUCGAACCUAACAAUCUCUUGCAAUGUUCUAAAAACAGGUCUAGGUGAUUUUCUUUGAAGUCCAUUUAUGCAACUCAAAUCCGUUUAAACUGGUUACAGCUGGCUUUAAUUGAUCUAAAUUGGUCUAAAUAUGUUAAAUUAGUGUAAAUCCAAAAAUUUGUCUAGUUUAUUUUUUUUUGUAUAUGUUAAUUUAUUAAAAUAUUUUUAUUUAUUAAAUCCAAAAACUAAAAUAUCUAAUGUAAAUGUAUAAAAUAUAAAAACAUAAAUCCACCUAGGCCUACUUUGACUAAUUAGUCCUCUACGAAAUUUAGUUACCACCUAACAAUUUCUUGAACAUUUAUCUCUUAUUAGGUGAUAUGUAAUAUUUGUUAAUCUAAUGUGGUAUGUGUAUAUUGGUUUUACAGGUUGAUGAACCGUCCAAGUAUGGAGUUGUGGUCAUGGAUGAAACUACAGGAAAAGUGGAGAAGUUUGUGGAAAAGCCAAAACUCUUUGUAGGCAACAAGAUCAACGCUGGGAUUUACCUUCUGAACCCAUCUGUUCUCGACAAGAUCGAGCUAAGACCGACAUCAAUCGAGAAAGAGACCUUCCCCAAGAUUGCAGCAGCUCAAGGGCUCUACGCAAUGGUGCUACCAGGAUUCUGGAUGGACAUCGGGCAACCCCGUGAUUACAUAACGGGCCUGAGACUCUACUUAGACUCUCUGAGAAAGAAGUCUCCCGCCAAGCUAACCACUGGUGCACACAUUGUUGGUAACGUUCUGGUGGAUGAAACCGCUAAGAUUGGGGAAGGGUGUUUGAUAGGACCAGAUGUGGCCAUUGGUCCAGGCUGCGUUGUUGAGUCAGGGGUUAGGCUUUCACGGUGCACGGUCAUGCGUGGGGCGAGGAUCAAGAAGCAUGCGUGUAUCUCGAGCAGUAUCAUAGGGUGGCAUUCGACGGUUGGGCAGUGGGCUAGGAUUGAGAACAUGACGAUCUUGGGGGAAGAUGUUCAUGUGUGUGAUGAGAUAUACACCAAUGGAGGAGUUGUUUUGCCACACAAGGAGAUCAAAUCCAACAUCUUGAAGCCAGAGAUAGUUAUGUGAUUAUCUAUGUGGAAACCUUUUUUGUUUUUUUUUUUGUGUAUUUUUAUCUAUCAAACUUUGUGCUUCUGUUAUUCUUCUUUGGCUUUGAAUAAAGUAAAAACAAAAAUGAUGUAUAUCUAUCUUGUUAGUCAUUUGGUGUUUUGUCUCUAUUUUUUUGUAACUUAUCAAAACAGUUCUCAAUUGAAUAUUAUUCUUUUUCUUUUUUCCGAGUACUUAACUAGAGAGUGCAAGAGGGAACAUGUAGUAAACAUGUAGACUAUUACCAAGAAGAGUGGACUCAGCCUUGAGUUUUGAUGUAUGGCUUUUCCGGAUGAAAUGCCAUUGAUGCUUUAACUGUGAAUGAAUACUAAAAGAAAACACUAUACUUUGAUCAAAAAAAAAAAAAAAAAAAAAAAGAAAACACUAUACUAAUGGGCAGAAAGGUUAUGUAUAGCGUUCUGUUGCUUUCCAUUUCCUACUGCAGCUGUUUGGACGAGAAUCUGAAGAAGACAUUCUACAAGUAAUCAGAUGGAGUAAAAGGUGAUCUGCACUUAGUACAUGUUGAAAAUGUGAAGCGAGAGUAAAAGUAAUAUGGGCCCUUCGAUAGGCUCAGACUAGUGCCGAAAGCAUGAAGUUAUAUCCAUGUGGAUGUCCAAAAACAAUAAGACUUACUUUCGUACAACAGAUGUAUCGAAUUUGAAAUGUAAGAAGUUUGUGGAAUAGUGAAAUGUAAGAUUAAUUCUUUAAGUGCCUGAGAAAGUCUGAAAUGUAAGAGCUAGACUCUUAUGUUCACAAUGCAAAUCCAAAGAUUCAGAUAAAAUGACAAAUCAGAAAGAUGUAGGUAGCCUUACAACGAGUUUUUUCUUUUGGUUGGACAAGAGAAGCUAAUAAAACAUUCUUCAUCUUACUUAUGAGCAAGACCAAGUGGUAAACAGAAACUUAUUUGUGGUGCAAACUCUAAACCCUAAAUCAAAACCACAUCACAAGGGAGGGUUUCGAUAAAAAUAACAAUAGGAUAUCAUAUUAGCAGAGAGGAAACAAAAAGCUCAUCCUCUCCUCUCUUCUCCUCUCUUCAAGUCUCAACACAAACACACAAAGACAAAGUCUUCUAUGUUUAGAUGGGAAUGUCUUGAUGGGUGUAAGCAAUCCCAUUGUCUCCAUCCACAACUUGUCCAUUUCCUCUCAGUAUCCUGUAACAACCGCAACCAUUCACAAUUACAAAACCAUUUCACAAUGAAAAUUCAUAGAAAGCUAUGACACUUAAACUGUACCAUCUUGUUGUAAGUAAUCCUUCGACUCCCACUGGACCACGAGCAUGGAUCCUGCCAGUGCUAAUUCCCACCUCAGCACCAAGUCCAAAUCGAAAACCAUCAGAGAAUCUUGUGCUUGCGUUGUGGAACACAGCAGCACUGUUCAAUGACGCAUAGAUUAAAGUCAGUUACCAACAUGAAUCAAAGUCUGAGAUCGACUAAGCAAGUUCAUGAUUUUUUGUAUUAUACCUGUCCACUUGGCGAAGGAAUAGCUCUGCAACUUCGGGAUCCUCUGUCACAAUGCAGUCUGUGUGUGCACUGCUCACAACAACAUUACAAGACAAGACAAAGAGUGAACAUCUCCAGCACGAGAUGCAAAAGAUUACAAACAAAAAUGUCUGUUAUAGUUCGAGUAUUUACCUCCCAUGUCGGUGAAUGUGAUCAAUAGCAGCAUAGACGUCUUCUACAACUUCAACGGUGCAAGCCUUUGAACAAUACUCAUGAUUGAACGUCGGUGCUUGUGGUAUGUUCAGUAUUGUACUUGCCUUUGGUCCACCAUACAAAGUGACUCCUGCAAUUAAAUAUACCUCACGAGUAUAUUUAAGGUAUGUACAUGUAUGAUUCUAAAUAAACAGUAACAACUAUCACUUACCAUUGUUCUGUAGAACAAAUAUAAGAUCAUUGAGCACACCAUUCUGCUCAUGAUCCUUAUGCACAAGAAGCGUUUCCUGAAAAGACAGAGAAGAUGUAAUUAAAAAGCCCACUGCAUUACUGAAAUCUUGAGGGAAGGUAUGAGUUUCUUUUACCAUCGCAUUACAGGCUGCUGGAUAAUCCAACUUUGAAUCAGAAACUAUGCGCUUUGCCAUGUCCACAUUACAUGCCUUGUCGACGUAUACAUGACAGAUUCCAUCUGGAAGUACACAAUUAAAGUCAUCACCACUCCUUUAGAACCAUCCUAAAAUUCUAUGGAAAAAAGCAAAGUUGAAACCGUACCUGCAUGACCUAGCACAGGGAUUUUUGUAGUACUUUUUAUCUGGGAAACAAGCUUGUUGCUGCCUCUUGGGAUCACAAGAUCUAUAACAUCAUCAAGCUGUAGCACAAAAUGCAAAUGGUGGGGUUCUAGUUUUAACAAAAGAUAUUAACACUUGUUGCAGCUCCAAGUUUUGUAAAUAAUGUUUACCUUGAGCAAAUCAGGAAUCUCUUCCCUUGAAGUCACAAGUCCAAUGAGUUUACCACCGACAGUCUCUGGAAUUGCAUCAGUGAUCACCUAAAAAAAUUUACCGGGAAAUUAAGUUAAUUAAAAGAGCUUUAAGUGGUAACUUUGAGGCAGCCAUAUAAUGAUAAAUUCUGAUGGGGCUGUACCUUGUGUAAGAUAGCAUUUGAUCUCCGAGCCUCCUUUCCACCUUUCAGUAGAAGACCGUUUCCACUACGGAUGGCAAGUGAAGCUAUCUGUUUGGUUUGUGAGUAAAGGAAAGCUUCAGCAACUUCACAUUUCUAAGAAGAGAAAGGACAUUGACUCUCUUAACAUACCUGGACAAGUGCAUCAGGUCGGGACUCAAAAACAAUCAGGAGUACUCCUAAUGGGGAUGAGGUCUUCUCUAAAACAAGACCAUCUGCCACCUGUUAAAACCAAUUAUCACGAAGAAAAAUUAGCAUAAACAACUAGUAUAUGUCACCAAGGAGGAUCAUAUGAUAACAAAUAUCCUCUUGAGUACCUCAGUUUUCUUUAAAACACGGCCGAUUGGAUCUUCCAUAUCGGCUAACUUACGAACUGAAGCUGCAAGGCUCGAUAUCUAUCAACCACAAAACAAGGAAGCCUUAGAUUACACAAUAAAGUCAUAAAAAGAUGUAAAUUGGCACAAUACCACAAGAUGAAGACUGGCUUACCUUGGCAGGUGUCAUAACUAAACGUGCCACCAUUGACUCUUCAAGUCCAGCUUCUUGUGCUGCAGCUACAUCUAAUUCAUUCUCAGCUCUGAUUGUUUCCACAUUUGCUUCAAGAGCAUCGGCAACACUAUACAGAAUUUGCUUCCUAUCUUCUGAAGAUAAGGCCUGAAGCUUUCUGGAACUCUCCCUUGCAGCAACUGCCAUGUCACGAGCAGUAGAGUCUGUGACCGGAGCCCAUUGACAAGCAUCUUGAUGGAAUAAGGUUCCAACACGCAGUCCUCUGAGGACUUUGUCUAUGUUCUCAGUUGAAAACCCACUUCAAAAGCAAAACAAAUUAUCAACUUUGCAUCCAAAACAAAAUAAGUUUAGAUUGUGCAUUUAUAAGUGUAAAAGUGUCCACACCUGGUUAUGAUGACAGGGAUCCCAGCAUAAGCUGCAUUAACCGCGGCUUUCACUUUUGCAGUCAUGCCUCCUCUUCCUAGCCGUGACUUGUCGCCGAAUGUAAUCUCAUCUUGAUGUUUCUCCUUGAUGAAUGUGUGGAUCAGCUUAGAGUCAGGAUCACUUGGAGGACCAGUGUAGAGACCUUCGACAUCACUCAGGAGAAUGAGAAGAUCAGCUUUCAGUUCCAAAGCCAGUAGAGCAGCUAAGCUGUCGUUAUCCCAAAAGAUGCCAGAGGAAUCCUGCAUAAUGUAGCUCAACAUUAGACUACAAGAUUCAAACAUCAUAGAGGGAGUUCAAAAGGGAUAAAAUGAGAGUAAACAAACCUGAUAAGGGGCUCUUCUGGUGCUGAUAGCAUCAUUCUCAUUGAAAAUUGGAAUAACACUCAAAUCAAGCAUGGACUUGACAGUUUCACUAAGUUGCUUCCUGAAGUCCUUGUCUCUGAAACUACUGUCAUUCACCAGAAGUUGAGCAGCCGUCACAUCCAGCUAAUCAAAAAGAAAACAAAGCCAUCAAUAUCUGGAAAUUUACACAAGAAUCUAAAAAAAAAUAAGACCAUAGAAGGAGAAGGAUCUCACCUGGUCGAACAUAGUCUCAUAAUAAGCCAUAAGACUACUUUGUCCAACACCAGCACAAGCCUUCCCAUCAAGCUCACUCUGAGGCUUCUGUAGAUCCGCAAAACUGCAAACCCAUAAAAAAAAAAAAAAAAAAACUUUCACCUCAAAGAACAAAACAACAUCUCACAUAAGCCAAAUGGCCCCAUCACGCUUUUUAAUUACUAUUAAAGGGAGAAAAUGGUUAAAAGUAGCCAUUAUUUUCUUAACCUGCUAUUGAUCAUCUGUCUGUAACGAAGCCUUUGGCGACCAAGCCCAACCGCACCAGACGUCACCAAAAUCACCUCAAAUCCAUCCGAGUUCAACUCCGCAAGCUGACAUUUUUUUACAGAAUUAAAGGUGCAAUUUUUACAUUUUUAUAUAUAUUUUCACAUGUCUUUCAUGAAACCUUUUAGGUUAAUAACAAUAAAUAAAUAAAAGAAAACCUGUUCACAGAGAGCUCCUAAGCGACCAAGAGCCAAUCUUCCACCUUUCCCAGUUACAACAGCUGUUCCAACCUUUUUAUAUAUUUACCACAACACAAAAAAUAAAAUAAAUAUUAAUUACCAUAAAUAAAUGUUUUUUGAAUAUUCUGAUUCGUCUCUUUGAAGAUCAAGGCUUAUGUUUUCCGACAGCCAAAUCUAAAAAUAAAAAAUGCAGACGAAACAUUGAUAGAGAGAAAGAUGAUGACAAUAAUACCUUAACGACGAUGCGUUUGACGUCUUUGGCGAAAGCGCGUGAACGAUCUGUCUCCUCCAUUGUAACGCCUUUACCCUAAACCUUUUUCCUCUAAGGAGCGAGUUAACUCAGUUGGUAAUCGUCAGUGACCUCGUUAAGGUCUGUUGCGGGAAGUGUGGAGAUUAAUGAGGAAGAGAUGAAGGGGUUUUUAUAAUAAAACACAACUGCACCCAGAGAGUCAGAUCCUGCUACCAAACCAUGAGGUGCCACGUGUGGUGUAAGGGUAUAUUUGGAAUGUUGGAUCCUGAUUAUUGAAGUGGCGCGUAUUGAUUGGGUGGUGUAUGGUAAAGAUGUUAGAGUGCGUUGUAUGAGAUAAUUUACUCGUGUGGUGGGUAUUUUGGGUAAUUACUAGAACAGCACAAAUGUAAACAAAGUAUUUAUUUUUAGAGAAAUGUAAAUCCGAUAUAAUCGAAUAAAUUUGUUUUUUGAAGCUGACAAAAUAAAUUGUUUGCCUACCAAAACUUGGGUUAAACAUAUAAACAGUUGACGAAAAAAAGAUUGAUGUAUCUCUAGUUUGUACUAUGCUAGUUGCUAAGUAUACAUCGAUUUCUACACAUUAUUGAGUGCAGUGAUUAUGAUGUAUCUUAUUAAAUCACCAUAAUUAUUAGUUCAUACGCUAAUUAAAAUUGGAAAAGAGAAAAAAAAAUUCUUAAUUGUAAUUUUUUUUAUUUCAGGACGGUUAAUGUAACAUACAUAUAUUCUUGGUAUAUAUACAUAUAUGAAGCUUAAGGUUACCAGUAUGUGCUUUCUGUAUGUUUAAAGUUAUAGUUCUUUGGUUGUGUGCUUUUGUCUGUACAUAUAUAUCUUUAUAUUAUGCUCAAAGUUUAUGUCACCUUGAUGCAAGUAUACAGAUCAGAUUAGCAAAACCAUAUGAUUUCUUUUGACCUUUUUGUGAAGUUCUCUGACCAAUCUACGUAAUCCCAUUACUCUCUUGAAGAUUAGAAUUUGUUUUUCUAAGUACAAUAAAUUAUAUUAUUACAGCGUGAUAGUUAAUUUUGUAUGUUGUUUGUCAUUGGGAAUAAGAUCGGUGCAUUUAUCUUUAACUCUAUUUCACAUUUUAUUCAGAAAUAGAGUAAAAAUAGGAUUACUACAUAAAUAGAAUAAUGUUUUUAUGUUCAUUGUUCUAUUUUUGUUCCAUUUAAAAUAAAUUAUGUUGUAGGAUUUAAGAUGGUCUAAUAAUCGUUGUACGACAUAAUAAUUAAGUUAUUUACCUGGUACUAACAAAGUUCGAUGGUGUAAUCCGUUUGAAUAUCGACUUAUGAACUGUAGGGUUGAUUAGUUAACAUAGACUUAUGUACUAUAUAGUCUUGCUGAAUGAAUAAUAAUUUAAUCAAACCUAUUUCUCGAUUCAAUAGAAAUCUGACCUAUUUUUUAUAUAUAUCUCGUUGUUUGGAAGAUAUGUAAAAAGUUUGAUGGUGUAAUCCGUUUGAAAUCGACUUAUGAACUAUAGGGUUGAUUAGUUGACAUAGACUUCUGUACUAUGUAGUCUUGCUGAUUAAAAAUAUAAAAUAGCUAUUAAUUAAAGGUUUGUCGUUUUUAAAUUUUUUAUACGAGUAUUUUUUUUAUAAUAAAGCCAAAAGAUAUUGAACAAAUCCAGAAGAUGUUAAAAACUUAAUACUUCUUCCGUUUUUAAAUAGAUGAUGUUUUAGAGAGUUUUUGAUGUUUCAAAAUAUAUGAUGUUUUUAAUGCACCUUUUUCAUUUUAUCAAAAACUGUGUAACCAAUAAUAUUUUGUAGUUUAUUUUGUAAUUGGUUAAAUAACUUUUAAUUUAUAUUUUAAUGAUAUUUUUAAGAUAAAAAACAAUUUUUUUAAUAAUUAUGCAUAAUCCUAAAAUUUUAUGUAUUUUGAAACAGAUAGAGUAUAAUAUAAAGGAAGGACGGGGAGCUAUAUAUUAUAUAUUAUUUGAUUAGAUCAAAUAAAAAGAGUGGCCAGAUCCACAAAAUUAUAUAAAACUAUAAAUUUAAAAAAACUUAGAGGUCUAGUUUUUCAAGAUAACGAUGCAUAUCCAUCAGGUUUCAGAUAUUUUAUUUAUCAUCUUAAGAUAUCUCAUUUGUUCUCGGAAUCGUCAUCAUAUUUUCCUAUACAGAAAAAGUGAUAAAAUAUGGUAAUACCUAACAAAACAAAUAUAUAGAAUGUUACGAUCUUCAGAGUUCAGAUAUUUGAUUUUCAAGAAGAAAAAAUCCCUUAUAUUGAUUUGCGGGGUUAGUUUACUGGGCAAGGUUGACAGUAUUGAGCUAUAUAUCAAUUAUCAAAGCGUGGUGACGAAAGUAAAAGCUUUACUAGACUGAUAUGCAUAAAAAGGUUGCAUUUUAGUAGUUGAUGAUUCAUCGCAUAAAUGUUAAGAAUUCGAAUAUUGUAUUUUGAUGAUUCAUCGUAUAAAUGUAAGUUGAGAAUUCGAAUAUUCUUGUAUCGAUAUCAAUCAUAAUCAUAAAUUCAUAAUUGACCGUUGUGUACUAACUAUGAUAAAAAUAUAUAAAUCUUAAAAUAUUUGUUUGGAUGUUGACCAAAAAAGUUUGAAUAUAGAAAUUGAAAAUGACUCAUUUUGUUAAAUAUUUAUGUGGUAAAAAUUAAAUAUGUAAUAGCCAAUCCAAUAUCAAUAGAUCUUUUUUUGGCCAACGCCAAAUUUUUAUUGAUCAAUAGUCUAAUAUAUAUAUCAUAUUUGUAUGUUAAAAUAGAUUAUGGCCAAUCCAAUUUAUGUAGACUAAUAUAAUAAUAUAUAUGAGUGCUCUUAUCGAGAUUUUCCAGAUCGUUCAUAUCAUUGGCCCUUUAAAAACCAAUGAUCAUUUCUGAUGGAUUCACAAUUUCACAUGAAUCAAAUAUGAUAUUUCUAGUCUGCUGCGAAAAAAAUAUGUUGUAUACCAUGUACAUUACAUUUGUAACUCGCACCUGAUGGGCUUAAAAAUUACAUGGUAGAUCAUCAAGAAUUAGCUUGAAUGCAUGCACAUGAAACUGGAAUAGUGAAUGGAUUUUCAUUAAAUGUGUAACAAAUAAAACUGCUUCUUCUUCUUAGUAUCAUCUUAUUCAGUAUUUGUGAUUUGCUUUGUAGAUUACGGAUAUCUAAUUUUUUAUUUGUUUUGCUUCAGAAAAUACAUAUAUAUGGUUUUUCGGAUAUUCAUAAAUUUAUAAAUAUUUACGAAUAUCUCGUCCACUUUAUUCAAUACGAGUAAUUUUUUUUAAAAAAACUAUACAAUUUUGUUUUUAAGAAAACAUCUUUUACAUAAUAUAGAACAAAAUUAAAGAUUAGUGAAACUAUAUGUUCCAUAAAUAUUUAAAUUUAAUUUAUUUUAGGAAAAUUGUAGUUUUAUAAAGAUUUCAUAUUUAUUUAUUAAUUUAAUAAUUUUAUAAGUAAUUUUAUAAAUGAAAUUGAUAAAAUUAUAUGUUUACAACUCUCUAUUUAAUUGUAGAUAUGAUAUACUUCUAUAUAAAACGGACCGGAGCUGAUAUCAACCCUAAAAUUUUUAGUAUUUGUGAUUUGUUUUUUUUUAACAGAUAUUAUUUUUAAUAUUUGAUUUGCUUUGAAAACUUACAGAUAUCUGGAUAUUUUGGAUGACUCCAGACUAAUAACAAAUCAAAUCAAAUUUAGCAGAUAAAAUGUUAAGCCCUAGCUUGAAUAGCACUAAACUUAAUAAAUGCAAUGAAUGGUGCAUGAGGCUUUGACCUCAGUUCCAACUUUCAAGUUCCAAUACUGAUAGUAGCGAGAGCGACCUCAGUUUUCCUCAGUUUCUAAUUUCUAGUAAUAUUUUUUUUUUUCAUAUUCGGUCGUUGUGUUUCUCUUUAUUUGAUAAUAGUGGAAGGAAUGCACGUGGUUUGAUGAGAUUAGGGUCUCAGAUGUCUGAUCGUUUGUGAGGAAUCAUUUGUCCUAUGCGCAUGUGCCCUCUUUUUAGUCUUUACCACCAACUCCAAUCGUGUAGUCGUAUAACAGGAUUUCAUUUGUUUUUUUUGUGUAUUUAGUUGUUAGUAUGUUAUCUAAACUAAAAGAUCUGCCUGGUCAUUCGGAAAACAAGAGAAACGAAUAAAAAAUAAAUGUACGGAAAUAAAACAGCAGGAAUAAAAAGAAAUAUUUGUUACGUUUUAAAUUUAACAGUAAUAAUUUUGUUCUUUAAUUCUCUAAAAAAAAAAGAAUGAUAGAGAAUCCUAACAAAAUAAGAAAAUAUGAUCACCAAUCCUAACCCUUUCCCUCUUACGGAACCGGAAAGAUGCACAACCCUAAACCCUUCAUUUAUUUACUGUUACAAAAGACUUAUCACACUACUCAAUAUUCAAAAAAUGUUAUGCUUCCUACAAAAAAAAGAGGAUGUUGUGUUGUCAUUUAUUUUAGUAUGUGAAAAGGCAUCGUUAGGCCAAAAUAAGAACACAUUUUUCUCUGUGGUCUUAUAGAUAUUAGAUAGAUAAGAUAUUUCAUUCGACCAACAAAAGAGAAGAAGAAAAGAAUAAGAUAAGGUGAUGGGAGUAUAUAAAUGUCUUGUAGAACAUAUGCUACGUACACUUGGAGAAAUUCAACUGGUGUAGUUGCAUUAAUCAUUUUAUUUUGCAGCCAUUGUAGAGCCAUCACGAGUCACGAGCGUCCAAAGAGUUAAGUGCAAUCACGUUAUUUUUUAUUUUACUUCGGUUGCACUAAGUAGCCUGAAAUUACGUGAGAACCAAAAAGUUUUUAUGAGUUUCUUGUACUGUUUUUUUUUCCGUUUGAUUCGUGUCUAAACUUCAUGCAAGCAAAUACUUCAUCUGUUUUAUAUUAAAUGUCAAUAUAGAGUAAAAUUUUCGUUAUAAAAUAAAUAUUAUUUUAGAAUUUUAAUACAAAAUUUAUUAAUUUUAUUAUUUUAUUUCUUUUUAUUAGUUGAAAUUUGAAUUUUAGUUAGAUAUAUAUAUAGUAAUGUUUUUAUUUUAAAAAUAUACAAACUAAAUAUUUUUUUAAUUUGUAUGCAUAAAUCUUAAACGACAAUUAAAAUGAAACGAAAUAAUAAUAAAAAAUUAUCUCAUCUUUUAUUUUAAACAUAGACUACAAAAACUUAUAGUAUCCACAAUAUAUUCUUCACAAAUGAAGUAAAUGAAUUUGGCUUUUGGUUUCUCAAAAGUAUGUAUGUGGUGAUAAGACGCAGAUACAGGAAGAAAAGUUGGAGGAAUCACCAUAUAAUAAUUUAGAUAAAAUAAGUUAUUUAUUUAAAGAUUGAUAGAGACAAUGAUUGCCACGGGGGAAGAUCGGUUUGUUCAUAUAAUUUAUAUUGUUCUUUUUACAAUUUUUUUAAAUAUUAUAGUUUACUUUUUGUUAAUGGAGAGAGCUUGAAAAUAACUAAGUAUUCAUUUUUUUUUGAGAUGUCACAAACAACAAGUAACUCGGGAGGAAAACAAAAAUGUUAAGAGAAGUAUUUUGUUUGAGAUGCCAAAACUAACGAGUAAACUAUGUAAAGUUAAAAUAGACGGUAAAGACUAGGGGGUGGGAAUCUCUGUUUAAGUUGGGAUUUGGUUUGGGUUCAGUUUAGUCUGGUUCCAAUUUUUUUUAACUAAAACCAACAAAAAUUAGUUUGAUUUAGAUUGUGUUUGUUUCGGUUUAGUUCAGUUUAAUCGAAUUGAUUAUAGUUUUGUUUCUACUUCGUUUUAAAAAAUAAAAUUUAUAAAACAUAAAACAAAUAAUCAUUAUUCACUUAUUCAUUAACUUAUUAAUAUUUAAAUGUCAAAAACUCGACGAAAAAAUGAAUCAAUAACUUUAAAUCAUUAUCUUCAAACAUAAUUUAACGUCAUCGUAGUAGUUUUUUAUAGUGUAGGAAAAUUAUGUUUUUAAAAUUUUAUUGAUUAUUGUGUUUCUAAUAUUUAUUUUGAAGUAAAGUGUAUAAAAUUAUAUUUGGUUGUUUAGGUUAAAUGGUUAACUAUCCUAAAAUUCUAUAUUUUUAUUAUAUUUAAUUAAUCUAUCUAAAUAGACUUCUAUUUUUUGGUUCGGUUUAAACUCAAACUAAAUCGUACAGUUUGGACUGACAAAACUAUAACCAAAUGGUUAGACGAAGAAUUAGAGUCAUAUUCUUAACAACAAACGUUUCUUGAGGAGUCAGUGCUGUUUAACUAAAGAGAAACGUCGGUUACAACCAUCUAGAGUUAGUGUUAGGUACUAGAAAACAAGUUAGUAUUUGGUACAGUUCACAUGCUUUGUACUGAAAAUGUUUUUUUUAAAUAGCCAUUCUGAUAUCUGGCAGAUAAAAAUCAACCAUUAAAAAACUAAGACAAUUCAACUCACCAAACAAACAAGCAAACAAGAAACUAAGCCAGUCAAAACGAAUCCCAAUGAUUCAGUACAGUGUAUAUGUUACUCUGUGGGUUUUGUUCUUUUGUAAUGACAAAUUCAUUGUUCUACCACAGCACAUCAAAAUCUAAAACGUUUUUUUUACAUACAUUAUAUAUGUUUCCUCGUGUGUUGUUGAGAUUAAGGAAAGAACCAGACUUUGAUGAAGAUAGAAAGAACCAUUUGCAGACCAAACGCUACAGCCAAUACAACGGUCAGAUCAUUGCUCGCCUCAAGGUAAGACCGUAGAUUCAGGGCAACAAAGCAGGAUGACCCGCCACCAGCUAAGAGUAUAAUCACCCAUCUCAGAAACUCCACUGGAAUAAGCAAUGGAAGCUGCAAAGAAGAAUAAUCAAUGACUAUUAGGUUGAUUCUAAGUCACGGUACAUAUUGUCAUUGAGAAGUAAGCUACACUACCAUUUUGUGAAUCAGACACAAGUGUUGCGGAUACAGGAGACAGAAACUUACAGUGGUUGGAACAAAAACGAAGAGAGAGUAUCCCCAGAGGCACCAGAAUCUUAGAAGAUCAGCUCUGGAUCCCAUAUACCGGAGUGAGAAAUAAAACGCCACUGGGACAAUGAUUGCAUAGCCAUAGAUUAAAGAUGCUGCCAAGUUUAUAUAGUUCACAUCAAAGACCCAAGGAGCUUCACUGUUGGUUCGUUUCUUCACGAGGUACGUGGCACAGUUUCCGAGAGAGGAAAGCACAAACACAAGCGUGGUGCAGAUCCAGACAAGGCCAUACCUAACAGAGAGAGGCGAAACCCACACAGACAAGUCAUUUAUCUGGAAACUUGUUCAAGACCAAGGAUAACAUGUUUCCUAUGUUGCAGACUAUGAAAUAGAUAUAAGCUUAAAUAUAAUGUGAGGAACUGUUUUAACAAGCUACAGCUAACAAGCUAUAGCAUAUGAAAACUGGAUCUGGAUGCAGGCGUAAGUCUAUAGUACCUAAGCUCAGAUGGAAUAUUCAAGCAGCAAAGGUAUAAUACCACAAACCUAUGACAUAUCAAUUUUACUAGUGAGAAAUUUAACGUGCUAUCGGAAAAGAUAACAGUUAACAUGGUAACAAAACAACAGGCUGAAGAAGUAGUGGAGUUAUUAAGGAAAUCUCAUAGGUAGAUGCCAAAGAAUUCUAUAUCAGAGCAAUCACUGAGAAGAGUCACAGAAGAAAGGGUAUUGAAAGACUUACAAAUCAGGGUUGGCAUCAAUCUUGCUGAAAAAAUCACCACUGGUGGGGUACAAGGAACUCAUCAGUCUGUUCAAAACAACGUCCGUGUCCACGUUGAAGUACUGGGCGUAUGAGUAGACGUUAAAGUAUCCCUUCCAGUUGUUUGAUGGCUGCUGUUCAGGUCCUUCUACAAGACAGAACAAAGUACUUUUAUCUAGGAUCUGGACUCAGAUAAGCAUUCUUUCAACCAUGAUGAAAAGUUAGACGUUACUUCGAAUACAAAACAAGCACUUACUACAAUUACUUGAUUCAUAGAGACUACUGUCUACUGAUAAACAUGUCUUUAAGAAGAAAAAAAAAAGCCAAAAGGAGCAUAUAUAAUACCUGUUGGGCUCUCAAGAGUUUGAUAACCCUUUGAACUGUUUCCUUGAUGCGGUGGAAAUAUCUGCAUGUUUGCAGAAGGACCUGCAGGAGCAGUAACCAAGCAACAUUCAAACUCUUUCACUACUGCAAAAAAAAAGCUAGCUUCUAGCAAAAGAACACACCUUCGUUUACGGUUGAUAUAUGCACAUUCGUGCUUUUCUUGUCGUCCUCGCUGAUCACAGCCUUCAAAGUACAUGUUUUAUUUUUGUAUUAGAAAGAAUGAAAGUGAAUAUCUCAAUCCAAUCAUGGAAGCAUUUAAAACCCAAAAGACAACAACUUUUCAUAAAAGGAAAGUCCUUUAUCCUAAUCAGACACAAACCCAUUUGAAAGAUUCUAAAAAUUGGUGGAAUCGGAGAAGCAAAGGGUGUGUGUUUGCUAGACUUACGGGAACUGAACCAAGCAAAUGGCUCGUCUGUAGAUUAGAGAACGACUCGUCCAUCGAAGCUUAGUUGAUCGAAAGGGAGAUUCUUUAUCUCACCCAAAAGAAGGAUAAGAUCGGAAGAAGAAAGAUCGGGCCUUUCUCUGAGUUUUGUGAGGUUUCUUAGUUUGCUUUCUCCGUCGUCGUUGUCCUGGAAAGCUAUUGCGAAACGAGAGACAAUGAUCCACGCGCGGUUUUUCAGUAACGGAGGUACACGCACCGUUUACACGUGACUUGGGCCCAUAUAGUCACAAGUUUUCAGGCGGCCCAUAAUUGAAUUUUUAAUCCAAUUGAACCGAACCAAACCAAACCAAACCAGCUUUUUGGUUUUUGAAUGUGAAGCGCGUUGCUUUUUUUCUGGAAAAUUUGUCUUCUGUAUAUGGUUGACUAUUUUGUUUCGUCUUUGACUGGAAACUACUGGUUGUUUGCAUUGUUGCAGCGCUACCGUUACAUCCAGGCAUACCAAGUUGAUCUUAAGCUCCAGAGUAUUGAAGAGUCUUUCGUAUCCGAAAAUCGAAUUGGGGAAGAAGCAAUGUCUAGAAUGCGAUCACAGAGUCAUUGGAGGAAAGAGUUAGUUGUAAGUUAUUCCAGCCACCUUUCUUUGUACAUGUGUAUCAUCAUCCUUCCUCAUGAUGCUUGCAGGAUUGUCUGACUAUGUGGAAUAGUACAAAUUGUCUCUGUUGUCAACAUCAUCUUCAAGCCAAUCAAAUUAUUAGGACUGAGAUGUUUAGUAGCAUUUUCUUGAAGUGUUUGUGAUUUUGGAAACUAAUUGAGUUUUUUUGUUUGUUAUUAGUAUUCAGUAAUUGCUUAAAAACCUCCAAACAACCAAUCUCCUCACUCAAAAUCCAAGGGGAGACAGUAUGUUCUGAGAUUCUAUAGAAAGUUACAAACCAACCCUUUGUGUGAUCCAUCCAAUUCAAAUUAAAGACCAUAACAGAACAUUAAAUAUUGUGAAAGUUACAAAGGAAACGUUCCAGUGAAGCGGAUAUGAUCAAGUGUGCGACGCAGACCGUACUUACAAACCGCUGCAUUUGCUGCUCUGAAACCCCCUCCGUAAGCUGGAGAUGCGUCAUGAGCUAUCUGAUGCUUAAAGAACUCUCCAAGUUUCUUCUCCACGUUUGAUUUUCCUCCUUUCUUGUUAGAAUGAGAUGAUGAUGAUGACGACGAUGUAGCAGAUGAUGUUGAGGGCAUGUUUCUUGAAGAAGGAUCUGAGAGAACUUCAGAUUCAAGCCACAUGUAAGAGAGGACUUGGCAGAUACCUUCCUCUACCUCAGGGUUAAGGUUCCUAUACCCUAAUGAAAUCAAGAAAUUAAACAACUUAAGAUGCUUAUAGUGUUUUGAAUUUAGUGGACAAGAAGUUCAAGAAAUGUUCUGAAAUAUAUUUGAAGACCAUAUUAUUACUUGUUUAUUUUACGUAGACUAAAAGCAAAAACGAUAAACAGUUUAGUUUUGUAAAAUAUUAUUGAACCGAAUAAAUCGAAUUUACUUAAACUAAUUCAGUGAUAUAUAUUAGUUUCUUAUUUUUUAAAAUUGAUGGAGGUGAAUAGUAAGUACCUUUGAGCCUUAGCCAUCCAUGCAUCAGCUCGUGGGCAAGAAUUGCUCCAGUUAAUAGUCUUCAUGCAUCCAGCAAAGUUGCGUUAGGUUACUAACCACAUUCACUAUCUUUUUCGGUUGGAGUAGAAAAGUGAGAGAGUUUGAGAAAACAAAGUACCUAGGGAGGCCGUAAAGAACGAGAAUCGCAGUGACUUCACAUUUACGUGUAAGCUUUUGAGGCUGAGUUCUCAUACCAACAAGACGGUGAGCGCCAAGUCUCGGUCUUUUAAGAACCUAGGAAGAACCAAAAACAUACCAAAAAUAAUGCUUAGAAUUAAAAAUUACGUUAAGUUGUAACAAGAAUUUUAAAAGACUUACACUUGUGACUGUCUGUUCUUCAGACAAACAUAAACCCCUUGUCUCAGGCAUGUGAUGGUAUCCCUAAGGGAAGUACAUAGGACUUUUAGUUAUAAAUUGAGAGAAACUCAACGUGAAAAUGUUAUGUUUAAGUCAAAAGACCAAAAUAUUACGUGUUUCUCUCCGACGAUAGCGUCGUUGAGAGCUUCUCGCUGAACAAGAAGCAUGGGGAUUUGUUGCUCAAGUUUCAUGUACAUUCCUUCGUAAUAGUCACGUAUUGCAUGGUAAAGUGGUUGACAAUCUCCAGUGUCGGUUAUCGCAGUUUCCAUGCAUUCUAAACAUAAACUUCUCCCAUCGUCUAAAGUGUAAUAUCUCACCUCCCAUGACUUCAUAAGGUCACAACAUAUAAAAAACACAUAUGGACUUAGCAAUAAUCAAGAGGGCAUUUUAGUUUCAUUAUUUUUGAUUACCUCCAAACGUUCGCAGCUACAACAACGAGCGGUUCUAUCGUGUUCGUGAGAGGGACAAUACUUUUGAUUCCAAAACGGAUGGCAUCGAUAUUCGAUCAAGCCAGCAUCAUUAGUUGGGAUCUAAGAAAAAAUGGAGAAAUUAGAAUAUAAUAUAUACUAUGUUAUGUGUAUUAAUCUAAUAAUGUGGUUGUUAAGUUGCUUACAAAAUGGUGACAAACUUCGCAUUUAGGAUGAGUAAGCUCUUUGAAACAAAUCUGAUGGUAGGGUUUGGUUCCUGAUAGAGAGAACUUUGAGCCAAGUGAGAAAACAAAAGAUACAACCUUAGUACUCCAAACGCAAACGUUUGUAUCAUAUAUUGAUAUGUAUUAUAUGUUAAGUGUGUGUAUAUAUAUAUACCUCAUGCUCAGUGAUAGGGUAACGACAUGAAUCACAACAGAAGCAAUCAGGAUGAAAGAAUGUUCCCAUGCAUCCCAGAUAGUUCCCCAGUCCAAUAUCGCUAUUGCAACCGCCACAUAUUCUGCUACAAAUAUAGAUCAAACACCAUUUGUUUUUAAUAUAAUUUGAAAUAAUAAUUCUAUAGAACUGAAGUAAGAGUGUACAUUUUUGUACCUUUGUGGUCGUCUGACUUGAUAGGACGGUUCAUAUGGUGGAAUGAAAGAUGGAUUCAAUCCACUGUGAAAAGGCCUAGGGAAAUCUGAAUUAUUAUCCAAAGACCAACCAUAUCCUGCCCAGAUAAAAUAAAUUCAAUCUCUAACUUAUAGAAAUAGUGUUUGUAAUUAAUAAUCUUUCUGUUUUAUCUGUAUUCACUAAGGUAGACAAAAGAUAUACCAUAUGGUCGGUUCGUAUCGUCAGCUAGAGAAACUGACAAUACACGAUCUAGUUCUUCUUUGUCCCGUGAGGCUCUCGACCGAUCGUCCUGAUUCGUUAAGACGACCAUCCCAAAGCAUGUAAAUUAAUCUUUUUGUAAACAAGUUAUAUGGUUUUUAUGGAACUUGUAGGUCGAAAAUUUGGACAGCUAUGUAAAAUAACAAGUUAUAAUGAUCUCAGCAACAACAAAAAAGAAGAAGUUAUUGUGAAAUAAUUUCUGUUGAUAAAGAAGACCUUGGAAAAAAAAAACCAUCUUUACAAUUUACUUCUGUUGAUCUAUUGUUAUUUUCUAGCCAUUUUCAUUAUGCUAUUUAUGAUAUUUAUUGUUCUGUAUUUUCAUAUGUAUGCUACAUGUAUUUGUGUCAUUUUCAACAAUCUAAUUAAAAUUUAAGUUGAUAAAAAAACUAAUUGUUUUCUGUCCUGAACUUUAAAAGAAAACACUAAUUGUUCACCAUGUCGAUUUCAUCUUUUAGAGAUUCUAGUGUUUAAAUAUCAUUAGUUCUUAUGGGAAUCAGAAUAGGCCACCACAAUUCAAUCCAACUCUUCCAUCAUGCAAUGGGUGCUUAAUGUUCAUUAUUUAUUUCAUGGGUUAACAAUUAUAUUCCAAACCCAAUGAGCUAGGUACGUACUAGCUCAUAUUAACAUGAAAAAUGGGCGCUCCAUAAAACGUGAAUUACACGCGCCCCUAAUUCUUUGCUCUCGAAACCUAACUAAGCGACUCCUCUACAAUCGACGAAUCCGUGACGGCGGAGACGUCGCCUGCUGCUUCCGGUAAAGGUGAACCAUCUUCGCAAGUAAUCUCUCUCAUCUCCUUUUUCUGGCAUGGAUUUACCUGAGAUUCCUCCAUUUCGAAAGAAAGUUUUGUCGCCACAGUGUCAUGACAGCGACGGUUCUGCUGCUCCUUCGUCGACCAUGGCUCCUCCGCCACCUUGCUGUGACGACGUAUUCUCUGGCGUUCCGACUGCAACACCCGGCCUUCCAACCGCGAAUCUUCCUCACGAAGCUCCUCCAACCCUACCAGAUACUCCUCCUGCAACGCUACCAUUGGAAAGCCUACCAGAUGUUCAUCAACAAAUUCAAGAGACCGUGGAACAGGAACUAGCACCAUUUGUACCUUCUAUGGGAGCGUGGUCAAAGCCUCUUGUUUUAAAGUUCCCUCCUCCGUCUACACCACCUGAGCCAUCUACGCCUCGCAGCUAUGAUUUUCAGUUGGUACAGAGCCAGAUUGAAAAUUUUUGGCCUUCGCUGGAGGAAGGUACCAACCUUAAGCAGAAGAAAUCUUUGCUGAAAGGAGCUCCUCCCUCAUUGCCGAAUCUCCCUGUUUCAAAGUUGCCGCCUCCAGAGCUAAAAGAAGAUGGCUCGCUUCGCUUUCCAUGGGCCGCAAGGAUGAACCCGGCUUCCAGAAACUUGUUUCGUGCUUCGAGACCAACUUUCAGACUUGAUGGCACCCCUGAGAUCAUCAUUCCAACUAAGGUACUUGAACUUGGUCCUGAGAACGUAGGAGAAUAUGUAAUCGGGCAAUUUCAUCGCUGUUCUAUUCCUUCUGGUGGUCUAACGCAUGCUGUUGUUAACCGUCUGUGGGGUAGAAGUUGCAAAAUUGUUAGUCGGAAAUUAGGAGAAUCAUCCUAUCUUUUCCAUGUUCCCCACCAAGAGACAAGGAAUUGGGUUAUUCAACGAAGUGUUUGGCAUGUAGAUGAUUGCUUAAUGUUUGUGGCCCCUUGGAAUCCAGUAGGUUCAUUAAGAAUCCCUGAAAUCUCUACUGUCCCAGCUUGGGUGACUUUAAAAAAUAUCCCAACAAGUUGUUAUUCCAGACUUGGGAUUUCUCACAUUGCUUCCGGUCUUGGUGAGCCUAUGCUUACUCAUAAGCCAAGGCUGGAUCCGUUCAACAUAGGAGAGGCUAAGAUUUUAGUGGAAAUUGAGCUUGACAAGAAUUUUCCCAAAAAAAUUGCAUUGGAUGAUAAGCUUGGUAACAUAUUUUUGGUUGAUGUGGUUUACUCUUGGAUUCCAUCAACUUGUGAAAGAUGUGGGAGCUUAGGUCACAAAGCAAAAAGGUGCUUACUUAAAGAAGACAAGUUGGUUCUCAAUAAUGAAAGUAAACAAGAUCAGGAAGAGGUGGAGAUUCCUGUGGUUGAUAUCAAUCCUUUGUUGGUAAACACUGCAUCAAGUAAAGAGACACCAGCGAGCAACAUGCCUAAGGUGAGCACAGAUAUACUGCCAAUUCAAACAGUAGCUAAAUUUUCAACAGUGCUUCAGCCUCAUCAUUCUCCUUCCCAAUCCGGAGGUUCAGAAACUUCCUCAGAACCUCAGGGAGCUACUUCUCCUCAGGAUAGCUCCAUUGCUUUCGAACACUUGUUUCCUAGUGCCAAGUCAACUUCAGCCUCUACACUAGCAGGUUCACCAUCUGCUCACACUACUCCAGCCCAAGUUAUGGACAAUGUUCCAUCUGCUAUUAUCAGUAAUGAGGGUGCUACACCCUCAGGAAAUGAUCCAACAAUCAUGACCCCUCACUCAACCAAGUUUAUCCAAGAGCAUGGUAAUAUGGAAAGUGAUUUCCAUAUUAAUGAGCAAAUGGAUGAAUAUGGAAGUGUGUCAAGAGGGGGUAGGCUGCUCAAGCGUACACAAAGGUACCAAGAGAUGGAAUGGCAUACCGUUCGUGGACGAGGAAACCGAGGUCGUAAGGGUCGAGGUUCCUAAUCAAGCGCACAAGAAACCUUUUAAGUUUGGUUAAACUAAAGAGUUGUUCUAACUCAUUGGGUUUCUAUAGCUCUUUCAAUGCUUACUUUAUGUACUAAACUUUUUCAAACUAUGUGACUUAACAAAUCACAUCUUGUACUUUGUUUUUUAAUUGAAAGCCUUUUUACAAAAAAAAAAAAAAACAUGAAAAAUGCUUAUUAUUUUAUCAAUAUUAAAUAUCAAAAUUAAAAAUUAACAAAUUCUAGAAUUAAAUUUUAAUAUAUAUAUAUAUAUAUAUCAAAUUAAGUGAUAAUUUUUAAUAUUCUUCCAUUAUAGCUCACAAAAACAUUAAAAUCUAAUCUCAACUCAGCCGACUAAUAAAUCUUCCUAUUGAACCAAUAUAUAAACCGCUUUCUAUCUAUUUUUGUCAUCCUUAUUACUGCCCAUGACCACAUUGUCACAUCAUCUCAUUUUAAGCACUAAAAUGAAAUAAGAAAUGCAUCAAUUAGUUUCAUGGAUGUGACCAUUUCACAGAAUGUACAACUACAACGACCCGUGAUAUUUCAACAACAUGAGAAAAAAACGAAAAAGAGUGGUAACAUUCACAUGUCUUUUGCAUAUUGCUUUAAUAUUACCGAUCACAUGCCGAUAGUAUAUGUCUAGAUUUAUAUAGAAAGAAAAAGAAUGAAAAGACUAAAUUUAAUUAGAGUAACUAAUCUAAUGAAUAAUUUAAGAAAAUAUUUACCGAAGAGGAAGGAGGUAAAGGAAAGACCAUAUUCUCGUCCUCUUGAAACUGAGGAGGAUGAUGGUUAGUGCGAGCACCACCAGUGCCACCGUUAGAGCCACUCUUGAAAAGCUUACUCACCCAUUUCAUCAAGUUCCAUUUCUUCUCUGGCGAAGACGACGACCCAGCCCCUGUUAUAUCAUCAAAAUUGUUAGGUUAACUCUUUCAAUAUUAAGUCUAAAGAUAGGAUUCACACUGUGCAUGAGCCAUUUGGUGACUUAAUAUUCUUGCCAAAAACUCGGUAUCAAGCAGGGCCGGUUUUUGGAGACUAAGAAUUUUAGAAAAAAAUUAAAAAAAUUAAUUUUUAUAAAUUUGAGAAUUUAUAUACGUAAACUAUUUCUUAAAUUUUAGAGGUCCCAGAUGUAUGUUUCACUUGACUAUACCUAGGAUCGGCCAUGUUAUUAGAAACGUUGAAAAGAAAAGAAAACGCACCAAAGAUACAAGGAUUGGAGAUAUGGCUGACAUGAGAAACACCAUAUGAAGAAGAAUCCAUAUGAAGAUGAAGAAUGUCCCACACGUGUUUAUAUAACCGCGAAAACGUGUGAGUGAAGAGUAAACGACACCCGGAGAGAGAAGCAAAGAAAAGAAGAGUAGGAGGAAGAAGAAGGAAGAGGGGAGAAGAAGAUGAUGUUAUAAGUCAUUAAUUGUUAUUAGAGAAUAAAAACAUGUAUGAAAAGAGAACGAAAAAAGAGAGAAUCUUUGCAGAAGAGAUCGGGCAAAAAAAUGUUAAAGAAAAGGGAAAAGAGGAGAUGCUUAGCUUCAGAAAGGAAAGGAACAGAGAGAAAGACAUGUUUUUUCAAGAGAAUAUAUUAUAUCAUGCUGAGGCGGAGAAUCUCUCAAACAAUGGUGGUGGGAGGAGGAGGAUAUAGUUGAAACCUUUUGAAGCUUCUCUCUUUAUCAUUUUCUUUAAAACAACUUUCUUUUUGGGUUUUCAUGGCGACGCUAGUCCCGUUCAACUUCUACUAUAUUCCAAUUGAGUUUUGCUGUUUUCUUUGAUUUUCUUGUUUUUCUUUUAUAGUAUGAUUGAUAUUGUGGGUUAGUUCUUAUGUUUAAGUGUUGAUUUCGGUUUAGUUUUAAUAGUAACUACAUCAUUUUCAGCAACCACUAUCUCGGAUUUGGAUACCAAAGAAAUCCUUUAGAAAAAAAAAAAAAUUAUACGUUAAAGAAAAAAGUUUAGUUGCCAUACUCUCGUAUCAUACAACAUAAUACUCUCGUAUCAUACAACAUAAAGAGUCGUAAAAAAAAACGAUAUUCACACACAACAUCAAAUACGACAAAAAUAAAACAUUUGCGAGUUUAUUUUGAGGCAAUUGUCAAUAAUAGCACCUUUUGAAGUUUAUGUCUCAAAAAUAGCACUAGAAGGAGAAAGUCACAAAAAUGACAUUCAUUAAAGGAUAAAAUAUCUAUAAUACCCUUGGUUUAAAAUUAAAUAAACAAACUAAAAUAAAUCAAAAUAAAAAUAAAAAAAAAAUUUUUUUUUUUAUAGUUUCAGAUUAUAUGUUUUCAGAUUCGAAAUUUUUAUAAUUUUUUUUUUAAAAACAUUUUGAAUUUUUUUUUUUUUUCAGAUUUUAUUUUUAUAAUUUAAAAAUACUUUUUGAAACUGUUUUUAAAAUUUUUAUUUUUUAUUUUAUUAUUUAUUAUUUAUAAAAUUUUAAACCCUAAUUCCAAAACCCCACUCCUUAACUCUAAACCCUAAGGUUUGGAUUAAUUAACCCUAGGGGUAUAAGUGUACAUUACCUCUUUAAUGAAACCUAUUUUUGUGACUUUGAGCCUUGAGUGCUACUUUAGGAACAAAAACUUGGUUUAGUGUUAUUCUAGUCUUUUUCUCUUUAUUUUGUACGAUUCAACUUUGUUCUACCGAUAUCUAUUUUUUUGUAAUUGUCGAGUAAUCAAUAUAUAUAUUUAGAGAUUUUUUUUUUAAACUCAACAUCAAAAUUUUCCUAUCUUUAGAUAACCCAAAUUCAAAUUCAACAAAGUCUUCAUAAGACAUUCCUACAUUAUGUGAUACAUUGUAUCAUUGUUAUUUUUCUACUUUUUUCCUUAAUGUGACGUGACUUUAGGCUAUACACGAUAAAGAUGCGCUUUUGCAACGUUGACACUUGACACAAGUAACUUUAUGAUGUAAUUUUCUCAGCAAUUAAACCUUUAUGAAACACAAAGGACAGACCAAUUAUAAUAAAAUAAUUGUGGGCAUCAAUCUAUAGGAAGGGCCUGACCCGUAUUGACGCCACAAGAUGAAAAAGGGUUCAAAGUGGAAUCAACCACCCAAUUUUUACAGAACAAAAGCCUAACCUAUAGUCACUUUAAAGUAAGUUUUCAUAAAACAAAGAUAAUAGUUUGACGUUAAAUAUGGCAUCAGAUCAAAUCCACCUUGAGAUCUGACCAUUUCUUUAUUUAACUUGCUAAAGUCGCUCUAUGUAUGGACGAUCCCAUACCCUUUUUUUCCAAUUAAGGCUGCUUAUUUUUGGAAUAUCUCAUUUAAAUAAUACUCUAUCUCAUUUAUAAUAAGUAAUUUAAAAUAAUUUAUUUUGUUUAUACUAAACUUCAUGUAUGAAACGUUAAUUUGAUAUGUAAAAAAAACAUCUAUCCAUAUUUAAGGUUAAGAAUUUUUUUAGAAAGAAUUAUACAGUAGAACAUAUCUAACCUUUUCUUAAUUAGAGGAUAAAACAUCAAAACGAUAUGUAUAAUCAACCGUGGGAAAUUUAUAUGUCUGACUGUUUUAAAAUAUGAAGAUGAAAAGAAGAAUCAGUGUUGUUUUUCUGAAUCGGAUAAAUUUGGUUUCUAAAACUCUUUCGCGUCUUAGUUUUUUUUUUUGAUCAACUUAAAACAUUCAAUAAAAGGCCUCAGGCCCAGGAGGAGAACACAUUGUAGAGGCAGGCUUUAGCCAAAUUGUCUGCCUGCCCAUUAAGGUCACGAGAAACAAAGGAGAAGCAACAAAAAACGAAAGACGAUGAUAGAGACUCGAUGUCCGAGAGAAUUCCGUAGAGAUUCACCGGCUUGGUAACCGAGUUUAUGGCUCUGAUGAGCGAAAGAGAGUCUGAACGGAUCCAGAUUUUGGUGAUGCCGAGGUGUUGAGCGUGAGAGAGAGCCUCCCGAAUAGCUAACCCUUCAGCCAUAAGCGCUGAUGAGACCCAAGUUUGGUAUUGACAUCCAUCUGAUCGGGUGAGUGAUGAAGCUGAGUCGAAGAUCCAGGCCAGACCGGCGGUGAGAGAUUCCUUUUUCCAAGCGGCGUCGGUGUUACAAAUUACUGUCCCGACAGGGAUCGAUGGCGGUCUUGCUUGGUUCUGAGUAUGCUUCUGUGAAGAUUUGGCGGGGUCCUGAGCCUGUAGCCACUCACGAGCAUUCGCAAGGGAUUUAGUGGCCGUGGCUUGUGCAGAGGUUGGUCUUGACUCAAACAGAAGCUUGUUCCGAGUGGUCCACAGAUUCCAACACACCCAAGAGAAGAUGUCGCUGCUAAUCCCACUCGGCGGCAAGCAGGUCCAUGUCCUUGAUGUCUGAGCAGCUUCACUAAUUGAUAAGCAAAGCCCCGGAUCAAAACUCCCAGCCAGGGGAAUUAGGCUCCAUACCUGGGCCGCGUAGGGGCAAUGUAGUAAUAGGUGUUCCGUAGUCUCGGUCUGACCGCAGUGAAUGCAGUUAGUAUUCUGUAACAUCCCCCUCUUCUGUAGAUUCCCACCCGUUGGAAGAGCUCCUUGAAUAGCUUUCCAAAUGAAGAUCUGUAGCUUUGGCGUAGAGGAAAUAGACCACACCGAUCGAUGCCAAUCAAAGGAGUCAAGCGGAGCGCUACUAUCCACGAGCUCUUUAUCAGCAAUGGCCGCAGCAUACCCUGACUUUGCGGAGUAAAUGCCUGACUUCGCUGGGUACCAAAUGUAGGAAUCUCUUGCUUCUGUUUUGCUCGGUUUGAUAGUCAAUAUUUCCUCCACAAAAUCAGGCAUUAUCCUACUGAUCAUCUCUAUAUUCCAUUCACAGGUACCUCGAUUAAUAAGAUCAGAAACAUAGAGAUCAUUUGUACCUUCCUUGAGUGGCCCGUACGGUAUAAUGCGAGACGUAGUUGAUAUCCAAGCAUCCGUCCAUACCUUGAUCUCUGUCCCCUCUCCCACUGCUCUUCCAAUGUGGGAGGCUAGUAAGUCUCUACCAGCGAGGAUACCAGUCCAUCCAUGGGAAGCGCCUUUCACCAAUUGUACUUUGAGCAGUGGAGCUUUGUGGCAGUAUUUCCCGAGCAGGACUCUAGAUAGGAGACAGUUUGGAUUAGUGAGCAUGCGCCAUGGAAGCUUUGCCAGUAGAGCAAUAUUAAAGGUUUGAAUAUCCUUAAACCCCAAACCCCCCAAACUUUUUGGUUUUGUAAGCUUAUCCCAUGCUAACCAACACAUCUUCUUUUUCCCCGUGUUUGAGUCCCACCAGAAACGUGUUAGAGCCGAUUGUAUCAUCUUACACAAGCCAACCGGUAACAGAAAGCAAGUCAUUGCAAAGCUAGGAACAGCAGUGAGUACAGCCUUAAGCAUGACCAUUUUACCAGCAGAGGAAAGGAAUCUAGUAGACCAGCUUACUGCCUUCACCACAAUCCUAUCAAUAAUAGAUGCAAAGAGGUCUCUCUUUUUCCUCCCGAAGUGUUCUGGGAGGCCAAGGAACUUUCCCACACCUCCCUCCUUUGUGAUUCCUAGUAUGUCUUUGACUUCAUUUCUCACUAAAGAUGUGGUCUUUUUAGCAAAGGAGAUGGAGGACUUGUCGGUAUUGAUCCUCUGGCCCGAAGCAGAUUCAUACAGGGUUAGAAUAUGUUUCAGUUUCGCGCAGCUACGUCUAUCAGUGGGGAUGAAAAACAUGGUAUCAUCAGCGAACAGUAAGUGAUUUACACUGGGACUGUUUUUUGCAAUUUUGAUUCCAGGGAGAGUUCCAUCUUGUUGUGCUUUAGAGCAGAGGCCUGAUAAAACUUCACUACACAGGAUAAAGAGAUAGGGGGAGAGGGGGUCCCCUUGUCUAAUUCCACGCUGUGGUACCACUCUGCCUAGGACAGCAUCAUUUAUCAGGAAGGAGUAAGAGACAGAGGAGACACACUUCAUUAUCCAGGUAGUAAAAACCUCGUGAAAACCCAAUGUAGAUAAAACACAUUCGAUGAAACUCCAUUCUAAUCUAUCAUAUGCCUUGCUCAUGUCAGACUUUAUAGCCAUGGAGGAACGUUUUUUGGACUUGGUCGUCUUAAGAUAGUGAAGGAACUCGUGCGUGAUAAGCACGUUAUCAGAGAUGGCUCGGCCAGGUAUGAAAGCUGACUGGUUCUCAGAAAUAGCACAGUGUAGGACCGGUUUUAGCCUCAGUGAAAGGAGUUUUGAGAUUACCUUAUAGUAAACAUUACACAAAGCAAUGGGUCUGUAGUCCGAAACUACUUUAGGACAAGUAAUCUUUGGGAUCAACCUGAUAUGUGUAGCAUUGAUAGAGUGAGGCAUUGAUCCCGUUCUGAAAAACUCUUGUAUCUCCUUUAUCAUAGCAGGUCCGGUGACAUCCCAGUUGGUCUGGAAGAAACUCGCAGAGAAACCAUCUGGCCCUGGAGCCUUGUCAGGAUGGAUGGAGAAAAGAGCCGCUCGAAUUUCAAAAUCUGUGGGUGGCAUUAUCAACAUUUCAUUCUGCUCCGCUGUUAUCUUGCUCUUCAGGGCACUAUGCACAGUGUCAGUGCAAUCGCUUGAGGAAGAUGAGAAGAUCUCCGUGAAAUAAGUAGCUAUAACUUCAGCAAUUUGUUUCUCUUCGAACACUGCGGUUCCCUCUGCAGUUUCUAUCAUGGAAAAUCUGUUUCGGGCUCUCCUUCCGCGAGCAGCUGCGUGGAAAUAACCAGUAUUACGAUCCCCUAAGGAGAGCCACAUCUGCCUGCUGCGCUGCCUCCAGUACUCCUCUUCGGCCUUAUAGGCCUGUAGCAAUGCUAGAUUCAGCGAGGAAAUCAGAGGAUCAUCUGCUACCGGUUUGGAUAGCUCUGAAUCCAGACUCAUUUUCAGGUUAUCAAUAGCUUUUUUGCUGUUGAGGAAUUGGUCCUUACUCCAUUUAGAGAUAGCCUUUCUACAAUUUGAGAGUCUCUCCAUGACAUUCAAGUUCUUGUAUCUAUUCCAGGUUUUCUCAACUAGAAUAGUGACCUCCGAGUUGUGUCGCAGCCUUCUAUCAUAUCUGAACAGUCUUUGCGAUUUCAGCUUUGUAGGAUCAAAUACGGAUAACAGAGGUCGGUGAUCUGAGCCCUCGAAGAGCAGGUAAUGACUUCUAGCUGUAGGAAACAUAUCUGACCAAUCACUAUUACUCACUGCUCUGUCUAAUCUACAGUGUACCACAAAGGUCCCGGUCUCUUGUGAUCCUCUAACCCCUCUCCACGAUAAGAAGUUUCCAGUGUGUUGAAGAUCAAAGAGGUCACAACUUGAUAGGAAGUUCCUAAAGGCGCAAAAUGUACUUUCAGCUCUAUCCUUUCCUCCCGACUUCUCAGAGUUGUUGAUAAUCUCAUUAAAAUCUCCUGUGAGAUACCAGGCCCCAGAUCGUGAGGUUGAGAUGUUUGAGAGAUCAUCCCAAACUGCCUGGCGCUUAGAAACCUCGGGGGCACCAUAGACGAAGGUACAGAAGAAUUCCAAGUCCUUAAAAUUAACCUUAGCAUCAAUGAAGUUGUGGUUUGCUGUUAACACUUGUAAACCAAUAUGAUUUUUCCAGAGCAGGGCCAGGCCUCCCCCACCCUGUCCAUGGGGGGAAACUAAGUAGUGGGAAUCAUAGUUGAGAUCCUUGAGCUCUUUUAGAACAAAACUGUCCUCGUUCUUUGUCUCCAUUAGGAAGCAAAUAUCAGGAGAACAGCUUUGAGAGAGCUCUUUUA